UUUUUUUUUUUUUUUUUUUUUGUGGGGGGGGGGGGGGGGGUAGAGCACUGAUGACUGCAGUUAUAAUUACCACACAACCUGAUUCAUUGAAAUGAGUAAGGCUGGUCUUUUGAAGUUUUAGAUGUUUUUCUUUUGUGGUUCCUUUCCUUGCUUUCUCCUUUCGAGGCAAUUCAAAGGAGAUUCAAGCUGGAAAAUACCGAUUGGUAAAAUUCCGUUGGAAUCGGUGUGUUCCUUGCUGUUGAAUCAUUCUUGCUCAAAUUCAAAAAGAAAAAAUGGCAUGGCUUAAUUCAUCGCUGCUGAAGAACAGGUGAACUACAAAAUGAAUAACCGGGAUCAUAACGUGUAGUCCUUCAAAAUGAAAGUAAGCAAGCAGCCUCAAUAUUGUGGAGAACGAACUCAGCAAAUCAAAUACUUCUAGCUAAGAAAAUUCAUCCAAAAACUAAAAAAAAACAAAAAAGUAUUAUUACCCUUGAAAUAUUUGUGACUGAUUUUAACCGGCAUUCCUCCUUUUGCCAGCCAAUAUACAGUUUUCUCUGAAUUAACGAAGAAUGCAGCUGCGGAUGCUGUAAGGUCAAUCAAGAAUUGGUUAGAUCUCUAAACUUAAAUACAAACAAUAUUAUUGUUAUACCCAAGAAAAGGAAAAAGUGUUCCAACUAAGUAUGGGCAUGAACAAGAAUUUCAUGAGGGCCUGAGCAGUGUAAUUAAGGUUAGCCUUUGCAUAAGGCAUGGUGCGAACAGCAGCAGUCUGAAAACACUAAACAAUUAUGAGAAUCAAUCUCGAAUUAAUUAUGCAAAUAUAAUUUCAAGCAAAUAUUAUCUCUUGCUUGAAGAGAGGUUAAACAGCUUUCCCGUUGUAUGUAUUGUUAUCCGCAUUUAGGGCGCAUUUGAGUAAACUAAAGUUCCGAAAUCUGAAUCUAUUGAAUCACUGAAUUGUUAAUUUGAUAAGUGAGCAAUUCAGAACUAUUUAAUUAAUUAAAACGUUCUAUUUUUAAUUAUCAAACAUAUCUGAAUACAUUAAGUUCUGAAUCCAUUAAAUUUAAGUAUUAAAUUAAAUUACCAAACAGGACAUUAGCCAUCCAAGUGCGUGACCUGACGAUUCAGCAGGAAUAGUUUCUUUUCAUGAUUCAGGUCACUUAACAUAUUUCUUUUUUUGAAGUAUAACUAACACAUUUCCGUUACUUCAUGGUUCAGAUUGCUGUUUUAACAACUUGUGGCCUCUCUCUUAAUGCAUUGGUACCUGGCUCAAGAAAAUGUACCUGGCUAGUAAAUAAUUUUUAUUCAAUUGUCACCAGCUCUAAAUAAAAUGCUCUUCUCUUAGAAUAAAAGAUUUAAUUAACGAAGUCACAAAAAAAAAAAAAAAAAAAAAAAACAUUGACUGAACAUAAUUAUUCUAGACCAUCCCUCAGAGAAAUUGAUUAACAGCAUUAUUCAAGUUACUGGUCCUCUUGCAAUACCCCUCCGAAGAUGAUGCUAUAUGGAUCAAAUCCAGAAAAUGGAAAAUCAAGAAUGACGAAAUUGUCCUAGAACCCAAGCAAAAAGCACCUUAACAAGCGUUUGAAAACAACCAACCAAGGAAGAUGUGGAACCGCCACCUUGGGCUUAAGUGAAGCAUAAAGAUAAGGCAGUUCUGAUUCGAAUUCUACCUAGAAGAGACAUCGAAGAAAGAUUUAGGUUAGGCAUUACACAAAACUUUGGAAAACAACAUCCAACUCAUAUGCAGUAAUGCAGAGGCGGUGGUGGCCAUAGCAGGAGAUGCACAUAGUUACUAGAUGUUGCAACUGCAGCAGCAGAUCCUCCUUCGCUUUAAGCUGAUUUAUCGUAUUGUGUAUUUCUCCUGGCACACUCCAAGAUAGUUUUGUCUGCAGUUAUAAAGUAUGCUGCAAUAGAAGCUGCACGAGAUUGCGAAUCAAGUAUGAAUUAGCAUCAACUAAUGAGAGUGUUUUCACUUCUUAAUCUUCAUCAGUGAGCAAUGAUGGUCAAAAGCACGCAAUUCUUAUGCAAGUUCAAGUGUUUACUGAAAUUAUAUCAGCCAGUAUACUGCAAUGAUCUUCCCCAGGAAGCAUUAAAAGAUAUGUACAGUUGAGAGGACAAAAGUCGUUCUCAUUCAUCUUUCAUGACAUAUAUAUGCACCUUCCAAAGUUUCUGUACCAUCAAUGAACUUGACACGCAAAUCGGAGUUUAGUCUACAUACCAGCAGUACUCAGUUGAAAGAUGAAAGUAGAGGAAAUUUUUAAGGCUGUUGAAGCUUUUAAGAGAUGCAGAAUAUUUAUGCAUUACAUGGGUUUAGAAAAGAUUCGUACGCAUAUAAGAUCCAACCGAUUAGUUUAGGAGAAUAACAAAAAACUUGAGCCCCAGAUCCACUGUGUGGUUCUUGGAAUUUACUGGGUUAACUAAACCAGAAGCAGAUCUGACACACAGUCUGUAAUGUAAUCAAGUCUUCCCACUUCCUUCAGGAGAAGAAUGCAUCGCUAUUGAAUGUUCUAAAUCUAUAUACAUUUAUGAAAAAAUCUGUGGGUUGCUAAUUACAAAUUAAAGUUUCCCUCAGGUCUAAAUUCAUGCACUAGGAAGUGGUCUUAUUCUUUCUUCUUGAUACCUUACUUGAAAUGCGCUAUUAAAUUUCAAAGAAGUCUUGCAUCGUGAAACCUUAUUGGCCCGCAAAAUGUUUGGUGAAAACCAGAACAAGUCAACUCAGUUUACACACUCGAGUAACUAGCAAGUUAUGGAAGCAGCACAGCUUUUACCUUACGAAUGCUGUAUAAAUUUAUCAUAAGCAACAGAGCAAGGCCCUCAUUUUACAGCUACAUUAAAAUGGACAUUAAGAUGUGUCAUCAAAUUGAGAAGUCAAGUCCCAUGCUUACCGCCAGAUAUAAUGAGUGCCUGGGCAGUAUAGUUGAGAUUUGCCUUAGCCCAAGGAAUUGUUCGAACGGCAGUCAACUGAAAUUGUUAGGACAAGUCCAAAGAAAAAACAUUAUCAGAGAUAAGCACGAGUUUGUACAUUUCACCAAAGGCAGGAAAUAGGACAAAUAUGCGGAAUCUAAUGGAGAUCUGACAUCUCAUAUUUCUGGCCCAUCUUCUCAUUCAUGGGACACGAAUAUGUUUGCUAAAGUGCAGAAGAUCUGCAUGAGCACAUAUUGGGUAUUUCAAGUUUAUCCUAACCAUCUAGACAGUAGCUCCACCUCCCACCAUCUGCAUUCUACUUUCAAGGGGCUCAAAAUAUAAAUAUUCGAGUAUGUGCUUUAGGGAUUAAAUUGCACAAGUCGGGAAAAUAUUAAGCUUAGAUCCACGUUCACAGUUGACAGUAAAAAACAAUCUCAGUAAUUAAACCUCAUUAUCCUCCAAUUUAAAAUCCUUAACAACACUGACAAACAAAGGCAGUUUUACAUGCUUCGAAAGUUGGAACCAAGCAGACAAUUGUAGAGCGAUAAACUGCCAGGAUUCUCGGGAAAAAAGCCAGGAAUCUAACCAGUCCUAUGACAUAUUACCAACAGCCAGACGUGCACUUAGGAUUGCAUCCCAAUACAUCCAAUCACAUAUAGCAACACAAAUUGCUCCAAAACAAAUUCAAUACCGUUGGGAUAGCACUGGCAACACAAGCAAUUGCAGCUGCCUUGGCUCCUGCACGUACACCUUCUGCGAGGAGUGCACAGAAACCAUGAUUAUUUGCUUCUAAGAGCUCUAGAAACAUGUCACUUAUGCAUAGGCACAGAGACAUAAAGAUCUUGUUAGUGUGUAAAAAUAAUCAUAUGCUUUACUAACAACACAAGGAAAUCAAGAAAAGUGGAAUGCCAAUCCCUGGCAAGUUGGAGUCCAAAGCUACACUAACAGGAUGUCAUCAUUCAUGGAAAACAAAAGUCAUGACAACAGCUUACUACCCUUUUGCUUGGGAAGUCAAGCAAAGAUGUCCAAAAUUCAUCCUUCUGCUAAACAGUAACCAAAAAAAAAAUUACUGACAAGUUUUCUUUUAAGACUCAGUAGUCUUAAACUAUAGAAUAGCUUGUGUUGAUGCCUUAAAAUGAAUAUACAGCCUAAAAAAAUAUACAAUUGCUAAUGUGCCAUUUCCAUCCCUUAAUACUUCUUUUCAGCUUUCUCUUCAAAUUCACAUAAUUCUCCAACCCCAAAAUAGUAAUAAAGUUCCCAUCUUGCUUUCUCUUUUUCCUUUUUCCUCCAAAAUACAUCAGGAAAUCCUCGCAAGAAUUUUUUAAAUGCCUAUGGAAUUGUAAGAUUCAUUAAAGCAUCUGGUCACCUGAUGAAACUCAGACAAACAUCGCAGAAUAAACAGGCCCAAAAACAGAACAAUGAUCAAAAUGCAAAACUUAAAACCAACGAAAGUUUCUUUUCUUCAUCAGCUUCCCAAAAAGCUAAAAAAAAAACCCAGAAAAAGAAAAGGAAAGGAUUCUUUUUUCCUUUUGGAUUCCAACCUCGAGUGCACUCCCUUGAUCGACGAAUCUUCUCUUCUUCAACUGGAGAUGUAAUCCACAACGAUUCCCUUCUUUUGUUCAGCCAGGUAUUUCUCAUUUCUGAUGGAAUUCCCAUUUUUUUUUAUUUUUUGUUUCUCUUUUUUGUUUCUUUCUUUCCACCUAUGCUGCCUCCUCAAGAAUCUGUCGAGCAAAAAGCCGAAAUAAAUAAAGAGAAAAAUGUAAUUUUGGUCCCCAAUAUUUAGUAUAUAUGUAGCUUUAGUCCUCAAAUUUUUUGCUAAAAAUAGAUCCAGUUCUCAACAUUUAACACUUGUACAGUGUUAGUCCCUAAAAUUUUGAUAAGAACAAAAUUGGUUCUUGAUGUAUCCAAUUUAAAGCAAAUUUAAGCGAAUUGGAAAAAAAAAAUUUCCAAUUCACUCACGGGAUUUAGUCUGGUUUAGUGUGUCCAUUAAUUUGAAUUUAAGAAUUUAAAAAUAAAGAAGCAAACUAGCGGCUAAUGCUAAACAACAAAAUUAAGACUAAUUAACCAAUAAAACCAACUGUUAAAUAAGAAAAUUAAAUCCAAUCAAAGCGUCCAACUCAUCGAUCCAAAACUCAUUUUCACUAUCUAUCUCAUCAACCCUAGGUGAAAAACCCUUUUCGAGUGUCAUUCUCAUUAUUUAAAAUCAGGCGUUGUUUUGCUUCUUUUUUAAGAAAAAAAUUAAUUUGAUGAAUGCGUAACUAAAUUCUAUUUAUCGAAACUUUUAAGAACUAAGAUUGUGAAAAUACCAAACAUUGUUAAAGAUUAAAAUAACACAUUUGCUAAACAUUAGAGAUCAAGAGUAGACUUCUCCCAUAAAUAAAAAGCCCAUAUAAACGGUCAAGGGGAAGACAAACUCCAAUUUGGCUUUCGCUUUUGGAGUUGAAUUGAAUAAGUAAGUACUUUCUAUUUUUGUUCCCAGAGAGAAUAACAAAGAAAGAGGAGGAUAAGGGCACCGAACUCAAAUAGAGUUCUGAUAUAUGAGUAAUAAUAAUUAGUAUGUGAAGGUGAAUAUCUGAUUUUAAGUCAUCCAACUCAAAUAGAACGCGUCAAAUAUGAAAACCUCAAAAAUUAAUUGGACCCACUAAAUAAUAUAAUAGACUAGUAACCACUGAGCCAAACUCAAUAGCCACCGAUAAAUCCCACUUGUGGGCGGUAGGUGAAGGUUCAAAUCCCAUCUACAGCAAAAAAAAAAUCUAAGAGUGAUGCCAAAGUACCCCUUUGAUCUAAUAAGAUCUGUAUACAUGUUAGUCCCCAACACAAGUUUCUUUACGCUCCACCUCCCCUCUAGUUUAAGGUAGAAUAUGUUAUAUAACAAUUAUCGUUUCCGACAGAAAAAAUAAAAAAAAAGAAUAAUAAUAAGCUAGUAUAUAACUCUUAACCAAUCUCUUAAGAAAUCUGCCAAACUUGAAACAACGUCUUAAUCCAUGUUUAUAUGCCCAGAUUAAGAUUAACAGAUUCCGCAUGGAGUGGCCAAUCAGCUAGUUUCUGUCAUUUUAUUCAUUGAAGCCUGAAAAUCAAACGGGUCUUAGUUUAUGUGGUAAACAAUAAUCUGGGCUAACAGGCUAAGAUAAGAUGUAAAAAAUUUCGUCUGAAGCUGCCAAUCAGUUUAGUUUUUAUUCAUGAAGCCUGAAAAUCAAAACGGCAACAUGUCAAACCCCAACUACAAAACCAGCAGAAAGAGUUAAUACAGCUUCACAGAGUAUUUUGAGCCCCAAAAUAGCUGAAUAUUGCUCCACAUGUCGAAUGACGGAGUGAUGCAAGGCUGAGAAAAUAACAGGUGAUACAUUUUCUUCGCUACUAUGGAAAUUUCUUCUCUGCCUGUCCUGUUUCUUCUUAUAGGGUACCCGUCCUUCUGUUCUAAUAAGAAGAUGCCAAGAGGAUACAAAUUACUUUGUCCUAAGUUGCCAAUAGGAUCCAGAGGCCGGCCACCUCAUCCCCCAAAAUAGAUACCGAAAUGCUGAACUAAAUUGGGCAUCAGCAUUUCUAUGUUAACACUGGAGGAACUCAAGGAGUGAGAGAUCAAUUCCAUAGCCAAGCACUUAUCAGAUAGAUGCAUCAGAAAAGCAACUGGAUUCAAUAGAAUUACAAUGACGAGGACCAGCCUGAAUUUGUAAGUCAUGGGGAGGCAAUUAUUCUCGGGGAGGUAUAACAAUAAUACCCCCCCAGCAAGAGGAGGACCGUCUUCCUUGUUUUUAUCCAUCAAAAUAUGGGACCAUUGAAAAAAAAAAAUUUGCAUCUGGCACAGAAAAAUGUCACUUGCAUGAUACAAGAAGCAAUCCGCCGGACUAUAAGUGACAUUCUUUGACAUAGAAGGCAGAUUGCAUAGCAAUUGGAUGGUAAUGGAAAUCUAUUUUAACAAAAUCAACUUGCAUUCAAAAACCCCAAGCAUCUCAAUCAAAUCAUUCCAUUAAGUAUCACCCAUUUAAAAGGGAGGAAACAGCUUAUCAUAAGCAAAGAGAAGAUACAGUGAUGGAUAAUAAUAAUUGAUACAAGAAAAAUACUACAUCCUUCACUUUUGAGGUUGAAGCACACGCAGACUCGUCCAAGACCUCCAUAAUGAUAUAAAUAAUAGUAUUCUGCAACAAAUUCCAACUUCAGAUUGAAUAAGAUAGGGAAAAUGGAAGGUCAAGAUAAUUGUAAGGAGAACGAGAUGCAAAACAACAUUGAAAUAUGUCCAAUGAUUGAGGGAAAAAGGUAAAACAAGCAGCAUACCAGCAAGCCUAGAAACUCUGAUCAAUAAGAUAAUCACCCAGCCUUUCAACAAUCAUGUUGCACUGACCGGCAGUCAUAGGCUCAUCAUAUAUACCAAUAAUCAAAGCCAAGUUGGUCUUCUUAACAGUAAUCCCUCCAGGCCCCUGAAAAUUUUGUCUGAAAUAUGUCACGAAAUACAUAGUACAAUGUAAAAAGACACAAGAGGAGGGAGUGGCCAAGACUCCCCAAAGAGACCAUCCAAUACCAAAACAUUUCAUCAGGUUCUGUUCCAACUGCACCCUUGUCUUCUUUCCCUAACUCUUCUGUCUCACUCAAUCUCUCUCAUCAUACCCAAAAAUGAACAAAAUGUAAUAUUGAACUUACAGAAUUUACUUGUUGAAAUUUUGAACAAGCAUACAAACGUAUCUCCACUGAGAAGAGAAAUGCAUUAAGAGGCCGAAGUUCAAUGGAAAAUGUCUCUUUCAUCACACACUCUUGUUUCUACUCAGUUUUUCUUUCUUUUUUUUUUUUUAAAUAGUACCGCGUAAAAUAUGGUGCAAUUUUUUGAACAAAGACCAAUUCUAUAGACCUACUGAACUAUUGAUAUCCCAACUUAACAAACUGCAGAAUUAUGCAUUCCAAUUUGACGAGAAGCAACUACUUAGUAUCGAAGCUGGAAGCUUUUCCAUGUGAAAAGUUGUACUGGAAUAAACAGAUGACAACUAUCAUAAAUCAAGACCCACAAGAAUAUGUAGGGAAUAGAUACAAAUGUAAUACUCCCGCAGACUAGAAAUAUAACGUCCAACCAUUACCUUCUUUCCUCUGAUAACAGCCCCUGAUUCCCCUUGAAUCACCAUAUACUUUGUGCCACCGAGAUACAGUCCAGUUGGAGCAAGGGUCCCAGGUUCAGAAAAAUCAUUCAUAAUAGCUGCGAUCUCCUCUGGCUUAAACUGUUGAAAAACAAUCAGAAAGAAGAAUCAGUUAAAAUAAGUAGGACAGAUUCAAUUAAACUACAACUACUAAAAUGCAAUAAGCAUGUCAUUAUACAAAUGAACUAGACCAAAACACUUGGGAAAAUAAAAUCAAAAUCAACAAAACAAAUUAGAUGACCAGAGACGCAUAAUUUUACAAUAAAACAACAGUGAGCAAUUUUCAAGUCGCCAUGCCAACGCCUGCAUAUUUGGUUACCUUCCAAUUGCCUUGCACACUAGUUGCCCAACAGUACACAAACCAGAACCAUCAACUCGUACACUAACCCAGUUUCAUAACAAUAAAGUGAUCAUUGAGAUCCUUCUUCUAGCUUCCAUGCCAAAGAGACAAGAGUAAAUUGAUUCAAUAAGAUAUUUCACCCUUUCUUUUACAUUUGAAGUUCACAGGAUCAAUUAUGAACUCCAAUGCAAUAUGAGAAGAAAAAAAAAAGCAAGGCACAUAAAAGAGCAUUCUCAGGAGGUCAGGUAAACAUUAUACAGGGACAAUAAAUCAUGCAACAUAUGAACUAUAGUAGCCAAUAAAGCCAAAUUCGACGAUACGUACUCAUCCCUCCAUCCCAUAAAAUUUGUCUUCUUGGUUUGGAAGCAACUUUUAAGACAACUUCAUCGUAAGAAAACAAGGCAUUUAAGUUUAAAGAAGGCUAUUAUUUAAAAUACAGAGCAUAUUAAAUUGAAUUUUUCCAAAAGUGAAGAAAUCAUAGAUGUUACAGAAAGGGAAAGCAUGAUUUUAGUAAUGGCACAGAGAAUAUUAAACUGUACAAGAUUAAAAUUUAUAUGAAGUGGUUAUGACGUGGAACCUUCAUUCCGUGCCCAUGUGUACCUUCCGAAGCUACAAAGCCUCGAGCCCGAUUAGUUAAUGAUUCAGUCUUUUUUUUAAAAAAAAGGGCACAAAAUCAAAUUUGCCAAGAGAUUGCCUUCAUCAAAAUUGGUUUUUGCCCAGCAUUCCAACUACUCGUAACAAAAAUCAAACAAACUAGCCCCAGUAGAACAAAAAAGGUAGUGUCUUUGCACAAACGCAACAUCCCUCGAACCCUAAAACUCCUUCCGAAUUUCCACUGAUACGGAAAUCUUAAGACUUUCAUCGAAAUGACCAAUCAUCUGCCAAUAUCACUUCUCACGAAAUCCAUAAAUCUGCAUUUAUUAUUAUUUGUUAAGUCCCAAAGUCAAUUAAUUUGUUGAACUUAUCGCUUUCUCCCUCAGACUACAAGCACCCAAUCUGAGCCCAUCUCAGAGUCAGAACAAAAUCACGAGAACAGCUAAUUUAAUCAUACAAAUCAUAGGAAAUCAGUACAUCAUCUUCUACUGAAAUUACCCUAAAUUUAAAAAUUCAACAAGGGGGGGGGGAAUCUGAAAUCUGAAUUAAUCUAACUGAACUAAAUUAUUAAAACCCUAGUAAAUCAGUCCACGGCAAUAAAAUCCAGUAAAGGACACCAACUUUAAAUGCAUAAACAAAGGGAGUUCAAAGCAAAUCCAAUCAAAGGAGAGUUGAACAGAAAAAGAGGUGGACCGGAGGGAAAUUAGCGCUCUGAGCCCAAACGGUGCCGUCAUGGCCGAUAAUAGCGGCAGAUGUGAGAUGGGUCCCCUCGAUCUCACACAUCAAGUGGUCAUCAACAUACGAUUGCCACGACAUCUUCUCCUCCUCCUGCUUCCGCUACUCCUGCCGACUAAGGUGUAGACUUUGUCUUAGAUCUUUGAGGUUAUUUUGCUCUUCCUUCCUUUCUUAUCGAGAAAUUGAAGAAGUGGUGAGAGGAGACGACCACGGUUAGGGGAUUUAUGUUUGUUUAUUGGGAGAUGGAAAAAAAAGAGUUGCGUUGAUUUUAAGCUUUUAAUGUUUGUAAUGAUGGCGAUGAGUGAUGAUGAUGAUGAUGAUGGUGAUGGGUAUAUGCUAUCGUAUUUUGGCAGAAUUCUGAUGCCUUGAAUUACCACAAUAGUCCCCUCAUAUUUUAGAUACUGACUAAUUGCGCCCCACAUUUCUAUUUUACCAAUUUUAUCUUUUUUCUUUUUUUCAAAACAAUAAGCAGUUUCUAUUGAUCACAAAAGCUAUACAGUUGCGAGCAAUGGCUCGAUCAGACUAUACAAUCACUGUACUUGCACACUAAUAGCUAGUUUGGGAGCAUAAGAUAGAAAAGAAAAAUGAGAAAACAUUAUGAAAGAAAAAAAGAAGAGAAAAUAAUGGCAGUGAUUUUGAUGUUAUUUGAGAGUUUAAGAAAAUAAUGAAAUGACUUUGGAUAUAUAUGUUAUUAAAAUUUUGUUUAGUGCUCAUCUAAGUAUAGAAUUUGUAUUUUGAAAAAAUUUGUAGAUUUUCUUCAACGUUCUAUCCAAAUCAGGUAAUAAAUGAGCAUAAAAGUUUUCUAACUAUAUUUUCGGGCGUGAGUAAACUCACAAAUGAGAGAAAAGUAUUCCUUGCCCUUACUUUCAUUUCUUUUUCUAUUAAAUCCCAUCUCCCAAACUAGCUAUUAUAGGAAACAAAAGCUCCUCUUUUGAGAUUCUAAAUUUUAUCCAUAGUGGUAUGUCUGAAAUUCUGAAUCCCUAGUUCAAAAUUGUCUCUUUCACAAAUAGUCGAGCAUAUAUUAGAUCAAUAUUAUAUAGGAGAUAAAUGUUGGAGGAGUUUCUCAUGCUGAUUUUGACACGAAAGAUAGAAGUAGAAGUUCAUAUUUUUUGGUCUAUAUGAAUUGGACAUUUUCAAAGGUAUUUUUUAAAAAACGUUACUAUAAUUUUGUAUAUUAUAAUCUUUCACAACAUAUGUAUUUUUGGGUGUUUUUAAGAUUCAAAAUUUUGUUAGGAUAUUUUUAAGAAUUUUCUUAUCCAUCCUCCUCCCCCGCCCCCCAUCCUCCUCUCCAUUUCUUGUAAGCAAACAAUUGAAUUUGAUCUUUGUCCUAAAAAGAUAAUCACCCGAUCUAAGCCUACCAAAAACGGUACAUUGUGUAUGCAAAUGUAUGUGAGUCUACAUAUAUGUGUGUGUGUGUGUUUGAAGGAUCAAACUAUUUCUCUUCAAACAUAAAGGGCAAAAUACAGAUUUUUGAACCAUGUUGGGGUUUUUUUUUUUUUGGGGUGGGGGGGGGUCUUGUUAGAAAUUUCCCUAAGUUUAAAGAAUCACCGCAAAAUUAGAAAAAGGGGAUGUGUAGUGGGGGAGAAAAUGAGUUGGUCGUGUCUGAAAAAUGUAUGUGAUGUCGCGUUGUCAUUCACUGUGGACUCCACGUGCCCACUUGAGGGGACUACCCUACCUCCUCUUAUUUUUAUUGAAUAUUUCAGACUUGUACUUUUCCUCUUGAUUUACGCUUUCCUUUCCUUUCCUUUCCUUUUAUAGCGGUAAUUGGCCCAAAGUGGUCCUUUCCUUUCCUUUCCUUUUAUAGCGGUAAUUGGCCCAAAGUGGCAGUGGAGCAGGAGGAACCCAAUAAAUCACCCCCACUAUUAUUAAUUUAUUAUGGUUGAAAUGGAGAGCCAAUCAAAAAAUUAUUAAUAUGGCUUUAAUAAUUCUUAAUUUGGAAAAAUUAGAGUGAUUACGUAAUGAUGAUAAAAAUAGAUACUAUUAUUUUACUCGUUCAUAGAUUUUAUAUUUCUUUUAGUCGUACUUCGUAUGGUAGGUCUAAAAAUUUCAACUUUUGAACCGUCCGAUCGAAUAUUUAAGUACAUAAACAUGUCUAAAUCAUUGCCUUAAAAUGAAUGCUAAUUCAAUAUUUUCAUUCUUCCCCCUUUCCUUCCUCUCAUCCUCCUCCAAAAACAAAAAAAAAAAAAAAAAUUCAAGGAGAAAGAAAAUCAGUCAAUCAGAAGAGUAGAAGAGUACCAUGGGACUCGGAAUAAAAGAAUAGACACUCUAGAUGGAUAUUAAAAAGAUAUUAGCUAGAGAUUUAUUCGAGUUGAAAAAAAAAAAAAUGUUACUACUAUUAGUGAAGAAGCUAAACCAACUCCAGUUGGAUCAUCUAUUGGGCUCUGAACUUACAUAUUGACGUCAUUUGAUGAUCUACCAUGAUUGGGUCUGUUUAGCCUGCGAACUACAAGCCCUCCUUAAAAUGUCCAUCCAUCACUGCUACUGCCUACUAGGCCCAACACUCAAGUCCACAUUCAUUGGGUCAUGCCACCAGAAUCUCGAGUCUGCUAUAUUACUAUAGUUGUUGGAGAAGGGCUGAAUCCAUACCUCUGCACAGUAAAUCCAUAUUAUAUACAUUUAGUAGACAUUAAUGCCUUUAACUUUUAUGCAUUAACACAAAGCUUUUUAAAGUAUUUAAAAUGUCUUUCUAUAUAAUGAAAACAAGGAGUAAUAAUAUAUUUUCUAAAGAAAAAAAUUUAUGUACCCCAAAUUUUAUAUUAAUUCAAUGGUGGAAUUUCUUUUCUUGUUUAUUUUAUUCCAAAAUUUAUGUUUUCUCUGAAGUUGAUUUGGUUAUUUCUUUUUUCUUUUUAUGAGUUUUCUACCUUUAUUUUGUUGAAUUGUUUUUUUUAUACUAAUUUACGUAUAAUCAAAGAGCGGAUUUUAGUUUGAAGAAGUCAUUAUAAUUGCAUGUUGAACCUUCAAAAUUGCGGACAUUUUAAUUCUAUGGAAUUGAAAUAUAUAGACAUUGUUAUUUACAUGUUUAUUUGUAACUGAAAAAUCAGGAACGCUUAAUUUGAUAUUAAAUUAAAAAUUAAAUAUCUUUAAGUAUUCAUAAGAUGUUUCAAAAUAUUCUUUUUAUACGAUGUAAAUAUUUUAUCUCCUUUUCUAUUUUGUCAAUAUAUGUUUCUUAAAUCCACAAGAACCAUCGAAUAAACUUAAUAAAUACGAGCAUUAUUCUCUAUUUUUUUUUUUUUUGUCAAACGGCAAUGUACGAGCAUUAUUCUCUAUUGAGUGCACGAGAUGUGGAUUUAGCAUGGAGGGGCAUGAAUUUAGCCUUUCCCUACUCCAAAAUAUAUACGUAGAACGUACCACAACCAAGGCGAUGGAUACGUGGGCAGUCUCGUACUUUCAUUUUAUACUUGAAUGGAAUCAUUUUGGGUGGUUUUUAGGGAUGACAAUGGGGCGGGGGAUGGGGGUUGUCAAAUAACUCCCCCCGUCCCCCGUCCCUUGCCCCCCACCCCUGGUCCCGUUUUUUCCACGGUCUCCCGUUUCCAUGUCAGAUUAACUCUUUUUUUAUAUAAUAUUAAAAUUUUAAACCAUUUAAUUGUCGUAAAAUGAGUAUUAGUAUACAAGAUGGCAGAAAUUCAUAUCCAAAGCCCCAGCAUAGCUUCAAAGCAAGAUAGAGCUUUUCCCAUUAAAUAAUAGCAUUUACCGGUCUCCUGAACUAAUUAGUUAAAGAUAACCCGUCCAUAAUAAGUUAUAUCCAUGACUAUCUAAAAGGAUUUAAUAACUCAGAAUUCAACAAACUAAAAACACUUAAUAAUAAAUCAAACUUUUCUCUUCAUUAAUAUAAUUCAACAACUUCAGAACAUUUGCUCUUCAUCAACUGGAGAUGUGAUAACUCACUUGAUAUAGCAACUCUGACAUUUGAUGUUAAAAUAAAAGAAGAAUCUUGUCACCAAACUAUAGUGUAUAACAAAUAAUUGGAGAAAAAUAAUUUAAAUGAAUUAAAUUUAUUUAGUACCUAUUCAGUAACACAAUCAACAUCAUCUUUUUCAUCCAACAAUGUAUUACAUGACAUCCCUCCUGAAGUAGAGCAAGUAGCUGCAGCAAAAAAAAAUUAGCCAUUGAUGAACCAACCCAAGUCAAAGGAAAAGACCAAAAACAACGGGAUGAUUUUGUGAAACGAUGGAAAUCAGCUGAAAAAUCAAAUAGCAAAACUACAUUUGGUAGUUCUUAAUCUCCAGCAACCUAAACGUGAAGUAUUAAAAAAAUAAAAGUAAAUUUUAAGUACCACGGCCCACGGCAAAGGAAAGAGACAUCUAAAGGAAUUGACAAAAAUGGGAUCUUAAGUUUUAAGCACCACGGCAAAGGGAUUGACACAAAUACAAUCAUUUAUUCACCACGCAUGUUUCAUUAAUCUAUCAAGAUAAGAAUGAUAAGGAAGCAAACCUAGAAAGAAUUCAAGAGCGGAUGAAAGCAAAGCGUUAAAAAAAACGCAGAAUAAAGAGGGUAGAAGGUCCAGACCGUGUGACAGUCGGCAGAUGAUGUGAAGGAGCAGCUUUAGAAAAUUUAGAAUUAUUUUAUGUGUGUGUGUAUAUAUAUAUAUAUGUUUUUGCGGGUCCCAUCCCCGCCCCCAUCCCAUUUUUACUUUUACACCAAUUGCUAUCCCUAGCGGUUUUGGACAAUUUCAGCAACAACCGGCCAAGGGAAGGGUCAAGAGUCCAAACCAUCGACCCUAGAAAGAGGAUAAUAUAAUGGUCAACCAAGCCUAAGACAAAUGUCUUUUUAACAAAUGUUUCGAGAACAAACGCUUACCAGCCCCACAUCUUUGGGUAAUUUCACACGGCCAGACAGAAAAAAGCGCAGUGGCGCCACCUGUUUUUAAUACAACCGGCUCAAAGGAUUCGCGGUUUCCUGCUAAAGUCGCGUUCCUCUUCCGCCUCUCCUUCCCCACUUGACCUUCUACUUUUCCAGUCAGUUUUGAAUAAGAAAAGCUACUAAAACGCAAAAUAAUUAUCUCUUUUUUAAGAAAACAUAAAAAAAAGGAAUAGAUAUAAUCUGUUUCUUAUACUAUAAAUAAAAUCCAUUAAUUUGUGCUUUUUAAACGACUAAAAAUGUUUAAACAGAAAGAUUCGCAACCAAUUUCGUAAAACUUCUUAAAAGUGAUGUGAAAAUUGUCCAACUUACCUCUCAUUUUUUGAUCAUUAAACUGAAUCUUUAUUCCGUCCUAAUUAAAACCACCGUCGUUAAAAUUUAGUAAAGAUAGCUAACUAAGUACUAAUUUGCCAUCAUUAAUGAACCCGUGAUUCUUGUCUCCCAAGAAGCUUCCACUGAUCCAUCCCUCUUCUCUUCUUUCCAGAAUAUAAACCACCGUCAAUAGACUUAUAAAAAAACAAAAUUCAUUUAAUUAACUAAAUUAGUCAAAAAUCUGAUCAGCUCUGUUAAGGCACUACUGAGAGGGAUGGGGACUCCGAACAAUACCGCCGGCGGCGAAGAGAAUGGGGUGAUGAUGAAGGUUGUCGCCGGUCCCGGCGGUUACAUUCUCCAAGAUGUCCCUCACUUAACCGACUACAUCCCCGAUCUCCCUGUCUGUAUCUUCUUCCUUCCUCUCUUUUUGUAUGAAAUUGAUUUUUCGUGCUUUCGCGCCAUGUUAUGUAAUUAUUAUACACAAGUGCACGUGGGGACUGGGGAGCGUAUUUUUUGAAAUAUGAUGCGGAUGAUUUGGUUGAAGAUGUAAUCCUUCUUUGUGGAAUAGGUUUUAUGUUCGUGUGUCACUAUUGGCGAACUUUAGAAAUUUCAUGUUGUCGAUAUCAGGAGGUUUUGCUGCUUCUUCUUUUUAAUUUAUUUUUUAUUUGUUUUAAUUACGUCAGAAAUCGUAUAUCCGGUCGUGAUGUGAUAGUUUCUACUGAUUCGCAUAUCGAAGGAUUAAGGUGAUUAGGUGCAGGAAAUUUUAGUCUGAAGGAUUCUUGAUACCUGAAUUUACAGAAAUAAUUUUUCAACGUAUAAGCAAUGAUCCAAUAUAAUUUACAGGAAAACGGGCGUAGUUUGUGUCUCCAAAUUCUCGUUUUCAACUUGCAAACUUGCAAGUGACAGGAAUGCUGUCUUCAUGACAAAUCAGUUCUUUAUUUAAAAUUAGCGCAAUGUUGUAAAAUUUCUUGUUUAAGGAGUUUUAUGGAUUACUUGAGGAACGUGGUCUUAUCUGGUCGUAAUGAGGUAUUAUUACCUCUUGAAUUUUGUACCUCAUGGAUUAGGGGUUUCGGUUUUCAUUCAAAUUAAGGAAUUAGCUUUUUGAGUUUCCUUCACAUUGACAAUCGAAAUAGCUUGUAAUUAUAUUUCAUGCAUGGUGAGCUAUAUUUAUUUUUCCUGUGUUGGAUCUCUUGUAGAACAGCAUGAAUCUGGUAAUAUGAGUAACUUAUUAGUGGAAACAAGAGAAGAAUUUGUUUUGCGAGAGUUUUAACUCUUCACUUGCCUUACCAUCUUAUUGUUAAUAAUAUCCUUAAAAGUUGUUGAACAUAACGCCAAAGGGAACAACAAAACUGCAAUUGUUAUAUGAUAGUUGUACUGCACAUCUGUGCAAGUCAAUAGGCACUUUUUGAGCUAGUGCUAAGCAUGAAUGGUCUAUGGAGAGUAACGUUUUUAUUUCAGCCAGUAGUCUACAAUGCUCCAAUGCUCAUUCCCAUUGCUAGUUCCUUAUGAGCACGGUCAUAGAUUAUAUGACAAUAUUCUUGUCAUGUGAGUGUCGCACUUUUCUCUUUUCUCUCUAUUUGUUUUUUUCUUUUUUAGUAUGUGUCCUUAUUGGGUUCUUGGUUCCUUGGCAGACUCAUCCCAACCCACUGCGGUCAAAUCCUGCAUAUUCAGUUGUGAAGUAAGUCCAGUUAGUUUUUACUUAUGCAGAGUGGUAAGUUACCUUUUCUUUGCACCUUAAUCAAAAGAAAAUGAUGCAUUUUUUACUUUCAGGCAGUACUUUGUUCACAUGGAUGACACCGUGCCACAAAAGGUGGGCUCUUAACUCUGCUGGCUGUAUUGGGACUUAAAUAUUGAUAUUCUUGAUUGGUACUUAACUAACCAGAAACCAACUUUUGGGCGUUGGGUUUUUUUUUUUUGGGGGCAGGGGGUUGUGGCAUGGAAAGAAUUCAGGUGCACGGUUGUCAUCCGUGUAUUCCAUAAAGAAUUUAAGAAUGCAAAAGUGGACAAUUAAAGCUGGAUUAUAUCUUUUUCUUCUGGAGCAUAAUGGAGUAGCAUUCGCUCAUUUUUUCCCCUGUAUCGUUGUACAUGCUCCAACUGAUGGAUAGAAAUUGGUAUCAGUUUAGCCCAAACCACAAUCUUUUUUUUGAACAAAAUAUCAUUGUAUGGUUUAACGUUUUCAGCAUGCAGCUAGUGAUAGUUUAAGUUUGCUUAUCUUUUCUGCUUAGGAUAAGGCAAUUUGUGUUGAUAUAACAAUCACUAGCAUUACAUUUGGAACAGGACUAGGUGCAAAGAUAGGUUGUCCAAGUCAUGCCUCUCUGUUAGAGGUGUUCCAGAAAUGUCUGUGAUCAAGUAAAUAGCUCUACAAAGGAAUAUCCUUAUUAUCCCUUCUCAUGACACUGAUGCUAGACUUAUCUAGACAAAGACACUUACUAAUAUGUCUUCCUUCUAAUGCCCCUCUUCAGUUCUCUAUCAUUUGCUCUCUAAUGGUCCUUUUUCGAACAAUAAGGCUGCUAAUAUACUUGUUUUAAAAACUGGUAGCAAACUUAAACGGUCAUUGUCUCAAACAGUCAGUCUAUCUGCUACCUUUGGUUCCCACGCUUUGUAAAAUGUUCUUUGUGCGCCUCUUUGGGGUGUUGCUACAACAGCAGCAACUGAAACAUGUUCUUCUUAUUUCACCAAAUAUAGCAUUCUCAAAGCAUCUUAUAUGUAUCCCUUUACUUAUUAUUUACCUAUUGCAAAUGAAGUUCUUGCAUCACAUAGCUAUUUAUCUGUAUAAGCAGUAGUUUGAAUUGGCAUACGGAUGUGUAGCUGUAAACCAAUAUGCAGAAAGAGUGACAGAGAUGUGCUACUAUUAGAUUGAUGGAAUGAGUUUGUUGGGAAUUGAAAUGACUAAUCAGUGUGCCUGGUUUGGGAUUGUCUUCCUUUAAAUUGUCCCUUGGUACUUAUUUUGUCAUGCCAUUGAAGUUGAGGGUACAUCUUUUCUUCUCUAUUUGAUAUGACAUGUCUGAUCAACGUUUCUUGCACCUUAAGUAACUCCUUUUUUUUUCUUUUUCUUUUUUUAAAUAUUGCUCUUUAUUAGUUGUAAAGGUUGGUAUGAAAUUUUCUAGCCUUUUUUCCGCAUAUAUUCUUCCUUUGAUUAAAACAAAAGAGUGUUGCUGCUACACUUUCAUGCUAGCUAUUCAUAUUAGUUAGGCAUUUAGAGCCACUGCAUGGAAUUUUCAACAAUAUCUUUUCGUUCAUAUUAAUGUAUUCACGACCUCUUUUUAGGUUGUUGUCCAUAAGGAUAGUCCGAGGGGGAUACAUUUCCGACGUGCUGGACCACGCCAGAAGGUAUUGACAUUCUUUGAAUGUGAAUAUUGGUUAAAGGUCAAUCUAGUUUACAUUCACUAAUGCAAGCGUUGUUUGUGCUCAGGUAUAUUUUAAAUCAGAUGAUGUGUCUGCUUGUAUUGUGACAUGUGGUGGUUUAUGCCCGGGGUUAAACACGGUGAUCAGGGAAAUUGUUCACAGUCUUGAUUAUAUGUAUGGUGUCAACAAAGUCCUCGGAAUAGAUGUAAGUUGAAGGGUUCCUGACUUUGGAUUUCACUUCUACUAUUUCCACAGUGCUUUUCAAAUUGAAAAGCAUUGUUUUGAGCACAAACUUCAGUGUAUAAACUCAAAAAGAAAAAUACUGAGCCUUGAACUUUUUAACAACUUAUUCUGCUAAAUGAAUUUAUGCAUGAAAUGAAAUAAUAUUGAAGCGGCUUUUUGACUUGAAAGUUGCUUUGUUGGAUAAGUGAUCAUGCUCAUGUUUACUAUUGAGUGAGAUAGUUACUUAGAUUUAGGAAUAGUUGUAAUUUUAAUAAUUAUGUUGAAACUAAUUUGCAUGGUAAAUGCUGAAUGGAGGAUGCAAAUGCUCUUACUGCUUGCUUUCAGUGAGUAAUAUGCUUAAACUAAACACUUGUAGCUUCCAAGGGUAUGGGAUUGAGCUAUAUAGUUGUAUAAGACAAUGACAUCAUCGGCUUCCUAUUUUUAUUGCCAAAUGUUUUACAGAAAUGAAAUUGCAAAUUUCCCUUCUGCUAAGCUUAAGCUUUUUUCUUUUAAUUUACAAACAAGAUUUUGGGGCAUGAUGUGAUCCUUUUUUACAGGGAGGCUACAGGGGUUUCUAUUCAAAGAAUACCAUUCGAUUAACACCUAAGACUGUGAAUGACAUACAUAAACGUGGGGGGACGAUCCUUGGAACAUCUCGAGGAGGGCAUGAUACAUCUAAAAUUGUUGACAGCAUUCAGGACCGUGGAAUCAAUCAGGUUUGUCAAAUUGUGUGGUAUAACGUAGUAAUUAUCUAAAGAGUAAGUUGUGUCACUGUUAUCAUGACACCGCUUUGGCUCGUAAAAAUUCUGGAUUGAGUCUGAUACUGCAAGCAAUUAUCAGGUUUAUAUAAUUGGAGGAGAUGGUACUCAGAAAGGAGCUGCUGCAAUCUACAAGGUAUGCCUGUAACUCUGCAAAUGAAAAGACCGUUGCAUUAUAACUUCUAGUGGAAGAGUGUCCAUGAUGAUUCACUUUCUUUGAAGGGGCUCUUAUAUGGCCUGCAUGAAGGAUAAUUGGCAUGAGAUGCAUAGGCCUCUUAGUUUGAGAGAGCACUGAGAUGCUACUUAGCAAUUGGUAUUUUGCUAUUUUGUGAUGUCUCUCCUAAUAAUCGUUAUAUGUCAUGCAGGAAGUUAGGCGUCGAGGUCUUAAAGUUGCUGUUGCUGGAAUUCCGAAAACAAUUGAUAAUGACAUUCCGGUAUUUGUGGUUUAAAAUGAUUAUGACAUGGAUGUUUUCUGGUUUCUCAUGCAAAAGUGCUUUAGUUUCUCCAUUUCUUGGGUGAUAAUUUGGUUGAUAAAGGAAAAAGUCAAAAUUUAAGUUACUAUAUUCUCCUGAGAAUGUUACAUAGGUUUUCUUGCUGAUCUUCCUUGAUGAUUAUUUGAACAGUCAAACUAAUUGUUUUUCUUGCUUAAUGCUUAAAUCAAUUCAUAAAUUCACCGAAUUAAUUAUCUGUCUGCAGAGGAGAAUAUGGAGAAACUUCAAACAGCAUUAUAAUCUCAAGCAUGCAUACUCAUAAAACUGGAAGCAAUGGAUGUUGUCAUGUUAAAUUAUUGUCUCAUUGACAUAUGAAAACCUUUAAUCUUUUAUUUUUUAAUGACUUAUUAUCUUGUCUUGUCAGGUCAUUGACAGGUCAUUUGGAUUUGAUACUGCUGUGGAAGAGGCUCAGCGAGCUAUCAAUGCUGCUCAUGUUGAAGCUGAAAGUGCAGAGAAUGGUAUUGGUGUAGUGAAGCUAAUGGGUCGAUACUGUGGUAAGGUUUCUUUAAUACCAACUCAACUUCACUUGUAAGAUGAGGAUAUUUACCAGUUAUGGGCAUCCAUCCUCCCUAGUUUUCCUGGAUUAGCAUGCCUAUUUCCUUUUCGCCUUGACUUCUUUCCCUGCACUUUAAAAUGGUGCUAAAUUGGACCUCUAGCUUGCAAAUUAGCUAAAGAAAUGUUAUUAACUGAAUUCGACCAAAAUAUUAAGUCUGCUUUAAGGCCUGAAGGAAAUUCUGUAAAAAUAAGGGUUAAUCAAGCAUUAUUUUCGUCUAAUUAUGAUAAAUGGUGAAAUGAGGUGAAAUUGCAGCCAUGGAAUUUUUAUGCGGCCCUUCUUUAUCAACUUUUUAAAUGCUUAUCACUGUUUCUCAUCCCUCGCUGGAUUUGUUUGAGAUUCUUGGAAUUGUAUGUGCAGGAUUCAUUGCACAGUAUGCCACUCUUGCCAGCCGAGAUGUCGAUUGCUGUUUGAUUCCAGAGUCACCCUUCUAUCUUGAAGGAAAGGGGGGACUUUUUGAGUUUGUUGAGAAAUGUUUGAAGGAAAAUGGACACAUGGUGAUUGUGAUUGCUGAAGGAGCAGGACAGGAGCUAUUAGCAGAAAGCGGGCAUGCCAACGAUGAACAGGAUGCUUCAGGAAACAAGUUACUCCAAGAUGUUGGUUUGUGGAUCUCACAAAAAAUUAAGGUAUCUGUUAUGAUCUUUGUAGAGGUUUUGUUGAAUCAUCUGGUUCUUUGCUGGUAUUGUUGGUCUGUGGUAUCUGAUUAGUAAUUGCUUCAUCCAUUACUAUAGCUGGUAGGCAUCCGUACAUGUUUGUUUCCGUUAAAAGUUGGUAUUCUUCUAACUGCAUUCAUUUGUUUUGCUGAUGCUAUUGAGUAGUAAAUCUGCUGACUAAAUGCCAAACCUCCUGUUGGUAAAACAUGUAUAUGAUUCUGCAAAUCUUCUGUGGCAAUCCUAUCCUCCUUCAGGGAAGAGCCCGAAUUGUAGUGACGUAUAACAGUGGAAGAACUGCUUAGUUUGGCAACUAAUCUUGUCUUUCUUUUUCUAGGAUUAUUUUGCUAAGCAACGUAAAAUGGCUAUCACCCUUAAAUAUAUUGGUGAGUAACUUUGUCCUCACAUCUGAUCAGUUGUGAAACAUUUUAAAGAUUGGGAGCUAACAAAUAAAUUGGCAGAUCCAACUUACAUGAUUCGAGCUAUUCCUAGCAAUGCAUCUGACAAUGUGUAUUGCACACUCCUUGCUCAAAGUGCUGUACAUGGAGCAAUGGCAGGAUACACGGGCUUCACUAGUGGACUUGUUCAUGGUCGGCACACGUAUAUUCCUUUCAAUGUAAGUCCCUCAGUACCAUUAAGCAUCUUGUUAUUAUGCUUAGAAGUCUUUCUACCUGUGGCUGCAAUUUAAAGAUGUUCUUCUAUGACUUUGCAUCUACAGUGGGUACUGUACGAUACAAAUACGCUACUUUUUGAGUAUAAUCCCUUUCUAAGUCCUCCAAACCAAAUUUCUAGAGUAUUUGUGGUCUGGCUGAACAAAUACGAAAAGCUACCUUGCUAUGUAUGAUCUUGUUCUUUCUUAUGUGUUGAAUAAUAUGUUUCAUGAUUCAGCGCAUCAUUGAGACACAAAACAAGGUUGUGAUAACCGACAGAAUGUGGGCUCGACUUCUUUCUUCGACCAACCAGCCAAGCUUCUUGGGUCCUAACGCUAUUGUUGAAGCCAAAAAAGAGGAAGCACCGGAAACCCAGUUAUUGGAUGAUGAUGGAGCGAAUUCAGGUAAUGGUGACACGGGUAAUCAUAAAAUAGAAGCACGUGACACUUGAAAAACUCUCCUCUUUCCCCCAGUUUGCCAAUGCAAUUGCUCUCCCUGCCACCUUUGCAUCUGAUGCCAUAUUUUGGAGUAAUUUCUGAUUAAUCGGAUCGUGUAGGAAUCAACAUCGAUGGUCUCUUAAGAUGCCUCCGCUGCAGUUAGUGACUUUGUAAUACCCCAAAAGUUUUGUCUAGCGGAGACUGUGUGCCAGUGAAAUAUGGCAAAACAUUCUGUUGCUUUUUGAGGCCUUGAUUCUUUGUAUGUGUAAUCAGCUAUCGGAAGGGAAAGUGAGUCCACCUCUGAGUUGCAGCUUGAAUAGUCUUUAAGCUUUUGACUCCAAGAGCCCUUUCCCCCUUUCAGAAAUAAAGUAGAGGUUUUCUAAUAUACACUCCUCUCUCCGUGCCGAUGACAUGCUAUUGUGAUUUGUGAGAGGGAGAGACUCGGGGAAGGUUCCGAUACCUUUUUUCCCAGUUUCUAUUGUUAAAUGCAGCUAUAAAAGCCCGGAAUAUUACAAACAAGUCCCAUUAACCUCCUGUAUAAUUGCUCUCCAUGCAAAAGAAUAAACAAAAAAGAAUGUGGGCAGAGGGAUGGUUGAUUAAGAAGUCAUCCGUACACCUGUGAUGGUAACUAGAAAACUUCAAUAAAAAUAAAAAGAAAAUUCUUUUGGCAGCAAAAGAUUUCCCAAAAUCUUCCCGUUUAUCUUCUGUUUUGUCGUCCUGUUAAGAAGGGAAGGCUUGUGGCUUUUGGAAUGGUGAACCGUGCUUCGCAAUGAGCGGGUUGCAUUUAAUGGGUAUCAAUGGGUGUCUGGUAGGUCCUGUGCAGGUUCUUCUGGUCACCGCAGCAUCUUCUGCAAACUCAUCUUCACCAUCCCUCUUUUAUGCGCAACCGACUGCUGAUAAUUCUGCCACCGCUAGGACUAGAUUUAGUGAUGAGAUGACCAGAGAAGCCAGUAUGGCUGGCUGAGGAUUUUGUGCAAUCAUCAACGCCUGACACCUACCGUAAAUGAUCCACUGCCUAUCUUAUCGCAUCCUCCGGUAUGUAUCAACAGUUCCAUCGCAAGCAGCUCCAUUACAACGUGAUGUCCAACCAAAUCAAUCUGCUCCACCAUUCCUUUAUCAUCCUUAUCAAGGAAGCUUCUCUCUGUUCUUUGGUUGUCUACUUGGAGAGAGUGCAGGCAGCAGCAGGGUGACAGUAAGAGCAUCCACAAUGCUAUUACACUUUGUGGAGUGUAAUCCACAUGCCACGUCAGCAUUCCACUUUCUCCUCUUUUAUUACACUUUCACUCACAAUGGAUUACACUCCACAAGGUGUAAUAGCAUGGGUCCACAAUUAAUCAAAUAUUUAUUUUAAUAAUGCAUAACUCAUAUCCCAUAAAUAAAUAAAGUAAUUUUUAAAACUAAUUUUGUUAUUUUUAAAAAAUAAAGUACUAACUUUCGUUAAAUUUUGUACAUUUUGAAUUUUUUUAUUUUCUAAAAAUGAUAUUAUUAAUUUUUAAGUUUGAAUAAUAUAUCUUUUUCUAUGUUUCAAAAAUAAUAUAUUGUUAUUUUUUAAAAAAUAAUUAUGUAGGAAAUUAAACAAAUAUUUGAUACUUCAAAUGCGAAGAUAUCAUAAUAAUCCAUACUUAAUUAAUAAUUCGGAAUGUAAUUAGUUGAACUCCAUAACAUAAUAUUACAUAAGUUAAAUCAAAUAAAAUACAAAUAAUAACAAAAUGAAAGGAAAUUUGGGUGCCGUUGGAAAGGAAAUAUUGGGUGCCGUUGGAAAUGCUGAAAUUGUACCGUUGCCUAAGCCCACAUUCUGAGAAUUACACGCAUCAUACAUGUGAUGCGUGUAAUCUCCGUGACACGGCUCCAAUGGAGUGGUGUAACGGGGGUGUAUUACACCCCCCAUUGUGGAUUACACUCCAUUGCUAGUCACUUUUUUAAGGCUUUGAAGAAGUCAUCAUUUCAGUGGUAAAAUUUAAGACGACAAAGAUAUCAUGAACAAUUGAACAUGCUAGAGAGAAAUUGUUCCCUAAUCUUUAUCUUUGUCUGGGGUGGUCUUUCCAUCCACCUUAGUUACGGAUAUAUUGGUUAAAUAAAUAUUUCACUUGUUUUUCAUCAUUGUUUAUUAUUAUUAUUAUUAUUAUUAUUAUUUACCCUCCCUCCCCAUGUCUUCUUACUCUCAAGUGCUUGACCUAAGAUUUGAUCUAAACCUAGUACCAGAGAGAACUCGUCAUUGUUAAUUAAUCAUAUCAAUGAAUAACUUCAAUAAUUUUUAAAAAUGGGUUUUAUAAAUUAGUUAAAAUACAAUCACCACACAUGUUUUAAAAUGCAAUAUGAAAUUAAAUGAAACUGGAAUAUAUAUGAGUAAGUUUUUUAUACACCAUCAGUGUGUAAUUUUUAUUACAUUAACAAAUUUAGAUCAUGCCACAUAAUAUACAUUUAAAUUUGAAAUUCAAAUGGCAUACAUCCAUAAUUGCUAAUAUUAAAAAAUCAUUAUACUAUGAUUACAUAAAAAGCUAAUCCAAUAUAUUAUAUCCUUACCACUAGAUAGGAUUCCCUCGUUUGGCCACUAAACUUUAUAUUUAGGCAAAAUGGUCCUUCAACUAAUUAGAACAUACAUUUUAUGGCCACAAAGUGUAUGUUUUCAUUAAUUGAGUGGCUAACAGUGAAAAUUCUAUUUAGUUGAGUGACAAAAAAUAUACUCUUUUAUUUGUUAAAUGACCAUUUUGGCUAAACAAAAAGUUUAGUACAAGUUUUUGCCAUUUGCUCUCAAUUUAAUCUUAUAGCAGGUAUUACUUAAUAUGGUGCCCAGAUCUUGAUUGCCGUUUGAUUCUGUAGCAUUAAUCUUAUGCUACAUGGUCGAUUGUCUUAUGGCUACAGAAGUGACUAGAUACAGCCUUCUUCACUUGGAAAUAGACAUUUACUACCGCAUGAAUGGCAAGUAAUGACAUUCAUGUGUAUGCUUCAAGUGUAUGCUUAAUGGCAAAGUAAUGAGAAGAAAAUACUAAAGAAACCUUUUCAAACUGAGAUUCUUCAUAUACUUGUUUGAACUGAUCGGAGUCACUCUAUCAUUCACUCCAUCUUCCAUUUUAGAGCAUCUGACCAUUUUACACAUUAGAAUUGCAGCUAUAAGAAUGAUAAGAAAUGACACGAAACAUAAGAAAGAAACCGCCUGAACUGAGACAGUUAUACACUUGGACUAAUCGGAGUCACUGUAGAAUUCACUCCAUCUUCCAUUUUACAGCAAUUGACCAUUUUACACAUUAGAACUGCAGCUAAAAGAAUAAUAAGAAUACAGUACAGAUUUAACCCCUAUAUAUGCCUGACGGUUCUGCGUUUUGUACAAUCCAGGGAUGCUCAAGCAACUUGUGUAGUGGAAGCCUCUGUGAAGAAUCCUUGACAAGCAUCUGUUCAUACAAAUAAGAAAACAUCAAAUCAGGUAAAACCCUCAACAUCUUUUUCGUUGAAGAGUUGGGGUAUUCUAGACAACUAGACCUGGCUAAUUAGGUCCUUGGCUGAUGCUGAUACAACAGGUUUUGGAGGGAACUUCAAGUCGACUUGGACUAUCCUGUACAUGUUAGAAAUUUAAGAAAGCAUCAGCAAUUGAGUCAAACCUCAAGAGCUCCCUCAAUAAUUUACAUCUAUUGCAGGAUAUUUGUGAAACAUGUAAGUAAAGCUGAUAUCAGCAUCAAUGACAUUGCUAUCAAAAUUAUAGUGUCUUUCUCAGUUUCUUAAAGAAUAUAAAGACAACAACCUCCUAAAAGAUUAACAUCAAAUAUCCUUUUUUGAAGAUCAAUUUACCUUCUAUAAGUAUCAGAAUGUUCCUUUGCCUCAAAAGGAGGAACCCCAUACAGAAACUCAUAGCAUAGGACACCAAGGCUCCAGAUAUCCACAUUUGCGUCAUGCUCCACACUUUCCACUGUAUAAUUAUGGAUGCAAUACAGUCAAUUUUUUAAUUAAAAGUCAAAACAACUAAAACCAUGCUGGAUAAUCUAAUCCAUUACGAGGUAUUCUUCUCUAGAAGCAUUUCAGACUAUCCACUUUCCUAUCUUAUCAUACAACCCAGUUAGGUAACCAAAAUGUUAACAAGGAUCUGUAAAAUAUCAGUGUGUAAAAGAUCAGCAACGUGCAAGAGUCCAGUACAAUUACAACAGCGGUGAAAAUGAAAUUGAUAUACCUGUCAGAGGUGAUAAAGAAUGUAGAAUUAUUUAAUCAUUACAUGGAGGUAUACUAGGUGUUCAGAGUAUUUAAUCCAAUAAUAGUUAAGGAACUCAAAAGUGUUGACAAGGAUCUAUAGAAUAUGAAUGUCUAAAGUAUCAGCAACACAACAUUAUCAUACAGUUAUAUCCAUGAUGAAAUUGAAACUGACAUACCCAUCUCAGGUGGUAGAUAAUCUAAAGUGCCACACAUGGUACGCCGGCGAUUGAACGUGUGCACUGACCAACCAAAAUCUGCUAUCUUGAGUUCACCCUGGCAGAUUCAGAUGAUAAUUGUAUAAACAGAGAUUCCACCAAUUCAUCACCAGAUGGAAGACUAAUAGGACAAGGUUUGAGUAUUCACCUGUGCGCCAACCAGAAGGUUCUCUGGUUUAAUAUCUCGAUGAAUUACAUGCUUUCCAUGACAAUAGAUGAGGGCCCGAGCAAGCGAUGCAACAUACUGGUUCAUUUUCCACAAGAAACCAAAGUAUUUAUUCAGUACAAGAUUUAAAACAGAACAGAAUAAAACUUAAAAAAUGGACUGUAAAACUCAAUUUGAUUGGAAACCAAAACAAAGGAGAAAAAGGUCUAAGAUGAAUUUCAAACUUGAAAAUCCCUGCUGAUAAUAGAAACAUAAAAGACGGACUCACAGUAGCUGCCCGCCUUUCACUGAAAUAUUUACAUUUCUGCAACUCCUUGUAGAGCUCACCCUUAGCAGCAUACUCCAGAAUCAAAUAAACUCGUUUCUGCAAUAGUUCUUAAACAAAUUAACCUUCUGUUCAAUUUCCACCUGAAACAAAAUGUUCUCAAGAGUGAAUUGUACCUGAUCAUAGAAGUAGCCAUAUAGUCUUAGAAUAUUGGGAUGCCGAAGGUGACUCUGUAUUUCAACUUCACGGCGGAGCUGGUGUUCAACUUGAGAUUGUUUCAGCUGGCUUUUGAAUAGUACCUUCAGUGCCACAAUAUGAUUGCUCUGUUUGAAUUCCAGGAAAAAAGAAAAAGAAAAAGAGGGUUAUGAUAUUAAACUGUAAUGGAUUCUAGAUACUCAAACGAACACACCCAGAAGCCAUUUGUUUUCCUCUUUUCCCCUUGUCAUCAAUAAAAUAUACGAAUGACAGCAGGACAAAACAUAAUUAUGGUGCAAAAACAGAAGCACAGCUAAUCCGAUACUGACUCAGACAUGUAACAACUUAUUAAAGGUUAAAGCAUCUGAAAUGCAACUUUAUGCGUUCUCUAAUAAAGAUCAGUAAGUUACCCAUGUUUAAAUAAAACCGAAAGCAUCAGCAACUCACCCUCUUUUCCCUAGCAAGAUAUACAUGACCAAACUUUCCUCUGCCUAGAGGCUUCCCAAUGUCGAAGUCAUUCAAAGUCCACCUCUUUUUCUCCACUGCUGUCGAUCCCUCUGAAGAACCCUACCAAAAAAAAAACAAAAAACAAAAAACUUCAAAAACUAACCAGCGAAAAGGACAUUGAAACCCCCAAAAGAAUCCAAUUUGGUAAACACAUUCUCUUUGCCUUGAACGUCAUCGUAAUGUUCUAAUUUCAAGUCGAUCGCCAAUGAACCCUAAUUUCCACAGAGCUACAGUAGUUUAAAUUCCCCAAAAAAAAAAAGAGAAAUCAAGAUCCAUUUUUUUUAUUCGACGGACCUUGCAUUUUCAUCAAAUACAUACACGAACAGGAAUUAAAGAACACCUAGAAAUCCACAUGAAAAUAAUAGGAGACUGGAACUACAAAAAUGUUUACGAAAAAUGGAAAAAAUAAAAAGAGAGAGAGAGAAAUUUGCUUCCGAAGCUGUUUGAACUAAACCUAGGUUUAGGCGAUACAAUCAAUAAACCUUUGUUCAUACCAUAACCAAAGCACCAAAUUAGUCCAAGAAUAUCCUACAACCAAAUCCCUAACUUCAUGAGCCCUUAUAAAAGCAAAAAAUAACACAUUCACAAAUCUCGUGCAAAAAUUCCCAAAUGCGGAUUCAGAUUUCCAAGAAGGAACCAAAAAAAAAAUUUGCUGUUUACUGAUUCUCAAUUCUUUUUAGACAAAAAGAAAAAAUUUUUACCUUGUGCUCUUGCUGAGCCUCAGUGGCGAUCGCCAUAUGAGAGAGAGGAAGCGAAAAGAAUGGAAAAAAUUGCAGAGAUUGGAAAGAAAAGAGAGAGAAAGAAAGGGGCGGAGGCGGACGAAUUCAGGAGAAAUCAAUUGUGGAUGAAUUUUAUUUUUGAAUCUGGAGAGAUCUCCAACGGUCAUAUCUACGUUGAUAGCACGUGGCUAAUGACUAUCCCCUUUUUUUUUCUAAUUUCUUUUUGUUUUUCUUGUUUUCAGCUUUGAGUUUUAGAUUUUGUUUUUAUUAGGGAAGGAGCCGGGGAGCGUCUCGGUUCAUUAUUGACUUUGGCAGUUUGCGGGUCUCAACUCCCAACGCAUUUUAUUUGCUCUAAUUUCAUUUGUUUCUUUUUUUCCCCUUUUUCUAAUGAAUUGAUUUUCUUAAGGCCAUACUAAUGAUAAAAUGAAUUCAAAUAAUAAUUAGUUUCUUUAAAUUGGUCAGUUUGUCCAAAAUAGCUUUUCGUUUCAUCAUUGAAUAUAUUUUAUAAUUAUUUCUUUAUAUUUUCAAUCUUUUUUUUUAAUUUCAAAUACAUUAAACAAAAAAAGUCUUACAGUAUAAUUCUAUUUUUUUUUUCUAAAUAAUCUUCUAUUCGAAUAAAUCCAUGUUCUCUCUUGAUUUCCUUGACAAAAAAAUGGUGUGACUUUUUGGGCUGCCAUAUCUUAUCUUUUUGGUGUCAUUUGUUUCUUCUAAUGUAAAGAUUUUAAUGGUGCAAAAAAUAUAAUAAGACUAAAGAUUAAUGUGGCAAAGCUUCAACACUUGAGAGUUGAGAAGACAGUAGUGUAUAUCUAUUAGUUUUUUUUUUUUUUUUGGCACUCAUACACUCCUCAAAAGCAUAGGAAUAAGACUAGAUAUCAAUUUGGCAAAACUUCAACACUUGAGAAGACGCUGUAUUCAUUUUCCCGUUGAGGAUUUAGACAUUGAGAAAAUUGCAUUUUGGUAUCAAAUAUUGAGGGUAUUAUUUUUAAGGGAAAAUCGUUCAAAACAUCCCUCACAUUUUCCAAAAUAACUUUUUUCGUCACUCAUUUUUAAAAAUAUAAUUUUACGUCCCUUACAUAUUCACAUUGGUCAAAUUUGGUUCCUACUUAGGUUUCCGACUAAUUUUUUGUCGGAAUUUACCACGUGCCUUGCACGUGAUCAUAUUUUAAGGGCAAAAUUGUCAAAUCAAAUUUUAUAUAAUUCGAUUUAUAAUCCCUCACAUUUCAUAAAACACAUUUUUUCGUCCCUUACAUUUCACAAAAUAAACUUUUUUCAUCAUUCACAUUUUUUAAAAUGAAUUUUUUCAUCUUUUAUUGAUCAUGUGUGUGAAUAAUUUUUUUUAAAUUUAUGUAUAUAUCUAUUUGAUUUCACCUAAAUAGUACGAAUAGCAUGUGAAAUCAAAUAGAGAUAUAUUACAUACUAUUCGUACUGCUUAAGUGAAAUCAAAUAAAUAUAUAUAUGGGUUUAAAAAAAUUAUUAGUUUUUCACUUAUAUUCAUUUUCUUUUACUCGAAAUUUGAAAAUAAAGAAGACAUUUAAUCCUAAAUAUUAUCGAGUGUUUAUAUCGAAUUAAAUUUGGACAGAAAAAAUAAACAAAAGAAAAGUAUGAACAAAAAGAAAUAAGUGAUUGGCAUUUUCAAAUUUUAAGACAAUCAUAAGGCAAGUAAUUCAACUGUUGGUCUUAAAAGUGUCGAGUAGAAAUUUCAUAUUUAAACUGAAAUUUGUUAGUACAAUUAUAGAAUUCGAGUUAGGACCCAUUAAUUAGAUGACCUUAUUAUACAAUUCAAUAAAUAAAUUAUUACCAAAAGAGAAAUAUCACAAAUAUUAAAUAGGUUCAAAUGAUGAAAUCAUAUAAAUAUAGAUAUCGGUUUCAAACAAAAUUAUUAGUUUUAAACCCAUAUAUAUAUCUAUUGAAUAGCAUGUGUAUAACUAUGAUUAGCAUGUUUAGAUGAAAUCCAAUAGAGAUAAAUUACAUGUUAUUCAUAUUGUUCAGGUAAAAUCAAAUCGACAUAUACGGGGGUUUAUAGAAAAAAAGCUAUUCAUACACAUGAUCAAUGAGGGAUGAAAAAAUUCAUUUUGAAAAAUGUGAGGGAUGGAAAAUUCAUUUUUUGAAAUGUGAGGAACGAAACAAUUCAUUUUGUAAAAUGUUAGGGACGAAAAAAUUCAUUUUGUGAAAUAUGAGGGACUAUGAAUCAAAUUACGUAAAAAUUUAAUUUGACAAUUUUGCCCUACAUGCAAGUCACGUGGUGGAUUCCAGCAAAAAACAAGUCAGAAACCUAGGUAGAGACCAAAUUUGAUCAAUGUGAAUUUGUAAGGAACGUAAAAUUAUACUUUUAAAAGUGAGGGAUGAAAAAAGUCAUCUUGUAAAAUGUGAUGAACGUUUAGAACGAUUUUCCCUAUUUUUAAAGUUUGGACAAAAGCAAAUAUAAGUUUUCCGUAUUUCAAUUUCUAAAUACAUUUAAUCCAAUUGACUGGUUUUGACAAAUUAUUACUGGAAUUCGAUCAGUAGCAAGUACCAAUGGCUAAAUUUUGAAAAAAAUUAGAAAAAAGAAAAAAAAAUUGUUGGCCAUAAUUUGUAAUCAAAGGACACUAAUUAGUUGCAAGCUGAGUAAUUAGUGUUUACUCUUUAGCGACAUGACUUCUGUGCAUGUGCAAAAUUAGUGUCAUUUAAUUACAGAUUAUGGGUUACAAACAUUUUUUCCUUUCUUUUCUAUUUUUUUUUCAUAAUUUAACCAUUGACAUGUGCUAUUUAUGUGACCGAAUUUUAGUAAAAAUUUACCAAAAUCAAUUAAUUAGACUAAAUAUGCUUAAAAAUUGAAACAUUUAGAACUAGAUUUGCUUUUGUUCAAAUUUUAAGGACUAAAAUCAACUGUACCUCAAACAUUUGGUAUCAAAACUACAAUUUUCUUUGUAGACAUCAAUAGGAUACCCUCCAUGCAUUGUUUUGAAACCCGGGUUGGACUGAUUUGACUGCAUAUUAAUCAUGUUCGCGGUUUGAUUCAUAUUUUGGGUUAAUUGGAUUUAAGAUCCGGUGAAAACCGUGCGAAUCGAAAUGAACCAUUGAACUAGUAACAGUUUAUUUUUUUCUGUUAAACUGAAAAACAAAGAAAAAAAUUCUCUUUAAUCCUAUAGACUAAUUACAAAGUGCCUCAAUCACUCACAUUCUUUUUACCUUUUGUCUCGUAUCAAGUAUUCAUUUCUCUAUUUUCUAGUUUCUUUAGUACCAGGUUUCAAAGAAGAAAGAGAUGGGUACUUUCCACCUCCCUGCGAUUCAGUAGCAGACCGUGUAAUAGAAGCAAAUACAAUCAGAAUCUUAAAGUUCACAACAAAUGUAACAUUUAAAACAAAUAAAAAAACUUCACUGGGUAAUUUUCAAAAUAUGGUCUAAAUAGGAAACACAUUUGAAAGGUUAUAUGGACUAAUUUGCAACAUUGAGAACAAGAAUACAAUCCAGCAAGAAAAAAUGAGCAAGUUCUAAAACCAAAAAACAUGUACUGUAGAUGCCGACAAUGAAACUGAAGUACUUUUAGCUUUACAAUAGUUUAAAUAUAAAAAAUCACUGUUAUUCAAGCAAAACAUACAUUUUACUCAAACUCUGUUAAUGAAAAUUUCUGUAAAUAUAACUAUCAGGUUAAUGCAUAAUUCUUACCCAAGAUCAACACACAAAACUAACUCCAAUGCUGCUGCAAGUAAAAUACCUAAUUCCUAAUGGGAGAAAAGUCCUAGGAUGUACACAAUGAACCAAACAAACUAUGACUAGAAAAACAGGUUGAGUUCAGCAAUAUGUUUAAGCAUCCUGUGCAGCAGGAAAAUCUGACAAGACCCCUUUCUUCAUUCAGCUAUAUGGAGACUACAGAUUUCCUGGAAGGAACACUUAAUGCUUGGGUAACCAUCUCCCAAAUUUACAAAGUAUAUCCAUUAAAGUAUUAAUUGUCUCAUGUGAUGUUUCUAACAGUACACACAAUUGCUUAGAUUAGUCUCCAAAGUGAGACAAUCACAAUUUGAACUCAAUUAAAUACCAAGAAGCUAAGAGCCAAGAAAACCAGUUAUGCCCACAAGUCAGAAUUCAAAUACUGUCAUCAUUUUUUGACAGCAUGCUUCCAAUUUGGUUAGACAAAAUUUGAAAUUUUUAACGCAGUAUGACCUUCUGGUUCCUGUUGGCUCAUUUUUUAAAUAAAAAUGAAAGAGUUUCCCAAAGUGCUACAACAUCAACAUUUGGACCAAAGACAGUCCACUUUAGAGAGAUGAGCUGACCUAAAAUGCCACCACCAGCAUUUGCACUAGUUAGGCUUUCAUUUCCACUCCCACUUCCCAGCUCACAAGGUAAAUUAGUAUCCCCAUAUGACAUACCCCCUCAAUGCAGCUAUUAUUGAAGCAUCCCAUUCCACCUCUACCACCAUGCCCACCACCACUGCCAAUACCACUAUCUGAAAAUGUCCCUUGUCCCACACCUCCAAUGCAACCUGAGGAACAAAAAACAUCACUGGUAAGGCCCUGGAACAAUAAUAAACCACAUGUAUGCCAAAUUCGCAAGGUUUUGAAAACAGAUUCAUUUUCAUGCUAAAUACAGAUGACGAAGGGCCACGCCAAUCACACUCAAAUGUUAAAUAAUGGCCACCUGAUGGCAAGGUAGGAGAUACACUUUGAAUAUGGUAAUUAAAAAGGAACUCAGAUGCAAUUAUACCCAUCCCAGUUGUGCUUAUUGUUCCAGAAGAAGGAACACUAAUAGUUCUGGCUCUAUGGAAAUGAACAACAGAUCCUAUCACGAGGCCUUCAACAAGGAUAUCUUCAACUCGGCAAAUCUGCAGAGACAAACCAACUUGAGACCUCACGGAAGUGAAAAGAACUAUAUCCCAAUAGAAUGCAGAACAAGAAAAACUCCACCUGAAGAGUGAAAGACAGUGAAGAGUUCACAUUGCAAUCUUCGGGUGGAUGGAGGAGUUCAACUGGACAAUCAUUCUGAUCACAAUGCAACUUUGGUGUCCUAUAAAAGAACAACACAAAUAUAGAUUAAAAUAGUUGCAUAUUUGAGAUAUUAUGCAACAAUUAUUCAACUUACACAGCUUCAGUUGAGGCAUUCUCUAAAGGACCACGUAAAACAGAUCCAGGACCAACCUGUAUCCAGAAACAGAAAAGUCAAAGGAGUCAACUGAUAUUGUAUAAAGUAUUUUGUACACACUUCUGGAAAAAACUACAAUGCAACUUUAGAGUUAAGCACAGAUAUUAGCAGUAUAUAAUAGUUUAACCAAAAAAAAGAGCAAUGCAUCCUUCAACUUACUUUGAUUGUGCAUAAUUAUGCAAGAGUAGAAACCUUUUUGUAGUCAAACACGUAUUUAAGCGAGAGAGCAUAGUCACAUAGAUAGAUGUUUGCAUGCAUGUGUUUAUACACAAACGCAUGAGAGAGAGAGAGAGAGAAAACUAACAAAAUAGCAUACAAUUCCAACUUUGACUAAACCAGGGAAAAGAGUAGAAUAGCAACCUGAAAGGCUUAAAACCAAACAAAUGAGCCACGCAGUAUUUGGAUCUAACCAAACAUCUUGUUCUCACCAUAGGCACUACUUUUUUUUUAAAUAACUUUACGUAAAACCAUCCAACAUAUUCAAUCUCAUGGAUGCUGAAGGUAAUGAAUGAAUAGAAAUAUCAUGCCACAAAUUGCUUACAUGUAUACUAUAAAACAACGACAAAACCAGGCGUUCUGCUUCAAUGCAAUCUCCUGGUCCAGACAAAUUUAACAAACCUUGCCCGUGCACCCCUAGAUUAGCAUUGGAGUGAAUAAUAGAUGACUCCUGUUAUGGAAGCCAGGAAGAGGGAAAUUAAGAAAAGGUCAAACAAGUCAUGAGGAUCCAAAGCAAGACGGCAUACCAGUAAACUGAAGUAGAAUAACUAGAGCACCUUAAGAACAAUAAGAUUACUAGCUUCAAGCAUUGAGGUUUCAACAUUUUCAUCUCCUUCACCAUCAAUUAGCAUUCUCGAAUUCCACAUCAGAAACAUUUUAACAGACAUACGAGAGCCCCAAAAACCUGAAAGGCCAAAAAAAGGCGAUCAUACAAGGCUACCUACCAAAUUAAAUAAAAGUAUUCUAGCGAGAUCAAAUUGCAAAAAGAAUAUGGCCAUGUCAACCUACAAGAGGCCACUGCAAACAAUGCAUAAAAACUUCUGUAUUCAAGAAUAAUGAAAAAAACCAAAUUGUUAAAACAAAAAACCCAUGUUAAGAGCACAUCUAGAAUGAAUUGUACUACUCCAUCCACAUUUAUUUUGUCAUGGUUAUGAUUUUUUUCUGUUGCAUAGUCACUCUGUAAUGAUCUGAAACACAAGUAAAUAACCAUUUACCUAUAUAGACUUCCUUCAAGAUUUCUGCAGUGAAGAUCAUGAGAAAUAAACAAACACAUACUUGAGGCUUAAUUAUGAAAAAUCACUUUUCCAACUAUUUUAUCUUCAUCAAACAUAAAUUUUCCUUACUCUGUACCCAAUCAUCACCGUGACCAUAAAAUGGGUCAGCCAGUGCUUCAUCCAUCCAACUUGGAUGUCUACUUAGAGUUUUAGGACUGUCCUUGACUUAGUUUGCACAACUAAAGAUGGGGACUACCUAAAGCUUCCUCAAGAGGGCCUAUAUGAAAUAUCACAACUCCACAUAGAACUGGUAGACUGCAGCAUGUCCUGCAAUAGAGCUUGAAACGAAAAACAUGGACAAGAAUUCAUGCUGCAUUAAGUGCACAGAAUUUUAUAACUGCAUGCACCCGCUAAGUCUACAAGAACUUUAAACCAGUAGAAACACGACCACACAGAGAGAAAAAUGAGAAUAUAUGUCUAAAAACAACAGAUAAAGGGAGAAAAGUAGAGGAACAUGCUUCCAAAAAAUUAAUUGCAGGAGAAUCAUUUGAAACACACCAUCUCAUCAUAUCAGUAUGAUACAACAAAGAAAACAUAAAAUGUUGCCAGUAUCCAAUGAAAAAGAAAAAGGUUACCGCUACCUUAAUAACAGAAUCACUCAUUAACAGUUCUUCUGCCAAUAUUUCAAAUUCUGACAUAGAAUAAUGUGCCAAUCCAAAGCUCAGUUCUCCACCAGACAAGAGGCUAAUUUGCCCUUGGACCUAAGACAUAAGAAUUACAGAUACAUCAAGUACUUGAAUAAUUCAAUGGAAAAAAGCAGAAUAAUGUACUGAAUAUCCACUGACAGUCAAUGCAUUAGCUUCAAUUCCAAAAGCUAAUAAUAACUGAAAAUAAUCAUAUCUGCAGAUAUAGUAAGGCACACAUGGCCAAGGACACAAAUAGCAGAACAACAUACAAAAUAUCCAAUGAGAGAACCAAUACAUUACAUUAGUUCCAAAGUAUAUAAUAGUUGAAAGUAUUCAGAUCUGCUAACACAGAAGGCACAUCACAAACAGAACAAGGCACGCAUAGGCAUGGACAUCGCUAGUGCUUGAUUUGACUUUCCACUUUUAUUUGAUGUCAAUUUGUCUCCUUAUUAUCCAAAAGAGUUUUAAGAUAAAUCUGAACAAAUAAAUAGGUUCUGACUAUGUCACUAAGAAAGUAAGAAAGACUAAAUUUAUAGACCUGAACACGACUCCAAAGCAAGGGAACAGAGGCCUUGGCCUGAUUUUGGAUGUAGAUAUUUGUCAAAAAUGGUUGAGGAAAGUCCAAAAGAAGUGUGUCUGUAUCUGUAGAUUUGUUGUAAUUGUCAAUAGUAAGACUGCGCGGAACAGCAUCAUAAAUGCUCCCCGCUGCACCAGCGUUUUCUUGGCAGCCACGACUGCUUCCUCCUGUAAGAACAGAAAUUAACUCAGCAUGCACACUAAAUCCACAUUCCACAUUUAAAGCUGGGUAAAUUUAAGGCAAUAACCAGCAAAUUAUUGUACUCAUUUGAUGUUUUAGAUCAAAACAGGAACAAACUCUCAUCCACUUGUUAUCCUAUUCAAGGCAUAGCCCAGGCUGAUGAUGACAUAUCCAAGCAAGGCCAAUUCUAAGAGACCAGAGAAUGUACAGUAGAUUACAACCAGACCACGGAAGACCAUUGCUUUCAAAAAAGCCCGAAAUAAGCUACCAACAAACAGGUUAGUAGUAUAUGCAACAAAAAUUAUUCCCAAAAAAAGGAGAGAGAGUCUAUGAUAAUCCCUCAAGCUAUGUUACUUGGACUCGGCUACUGACUCCUGCCGACAUGGUUACUCUGGUGCAAAAUGAUGAGUCAGAUAGGGUACAGCAGGGAAAAGUGAAGAGUCUGAGUAACAUAGCCCCCCAGCCUCGUUACCUCAUCAAUUUUAUGACAAAACUUCCCAACAGAUUAAUUUGGCUAUACAAAAGUUCCAAUGAAAUGAACCCCUUCUCUAAUCUCUUUUCACCUCUCACAAAUAUAGACUUGUCAUCUCUGGUAAAUACUAGAUGGCCAUAUGUGUAGAAACCUGUUGCUGUCAACAAAUAGGAUGAAGAAAAAGCCUCCCCAAUUGCUCCCUUUUUAGGGUUUACCACAACGGAUAUAAGCAAAAUAUGGAGCUAUAAACAAAUAUAUCACAGGUUCAACCUUCAAUAAUGCCCUUCAAGCAUUCAAUUUAUCCUGAGCUUCAACUCUAAAUUAUAGUACAGAAAAAGCCAACAGGAUCCAAUUUAGAUAAUUAAGACAGAAAUAAAAGCCCCGCGUUUAGAAAAAAGCAACUAAGGAUAGAAAGAUCUGCAACAUUAUUAUUACAGAGGUGAGUAGCAUAAAAAGGAGACUGAUUAUCUAGCAAUCAAAAAAGUGGACAUCAGAAGAAAAGUCAAAUUGCAGAUAUAGUAUUUUCCAGCACUGAAAGAACUAAUGAAACUUCAAACAAUUAUGGAUAAAGAGCAAUAUCAUGUUUGGCUUACAGCUUGGAAAACUUUUACCACAAGAAAAUCAUAUUAUGAAUCAUACCAUAUGCAAAAAUUCCGGAUCCUCAUGGUGGCUAAAAACAUCAACAGAUACUCUUCCGCCACCUCCACCAGCAAAGCCAUUACCUCCACAUGCACUGAUAUAACCACUCCCAAUCCUAAACUUGCAAAAAUUGUUGUACUUUAGAAUAAAACUACAUUAUCAAUACUCAUGAGUACUAAAGGUGCUAAUAAAUUGAUUAUAACUCACAAAGAUAAGAAUAAUUUCAGAAACCAAUAGCAUAUAUGAGAAAGUAAUUGCAAAAAUUUUGGCUUGUGUCAUGACAGCUAAGCCACAAUCCUAUUAUUCCUAUUCAAUAAGUUGGACCCAAAAAAAAAAAAAAAAAGCAUCAGAGAACCAAUAAAAGAUUAUUAUUCAAUAGAAUGACAUUCUCCAGCAAAUAGACAAAAUUUUCGAUAAUUAUAUGCACAAAAGAACUUGUAAAAUGGAUAGAUAUGGACUGUGCACAAUUACAUGACAGAAACAGACCAUGUACAAUUCUAGAUUAUUAGUGAACUCAUCCACUCUUGAACAAGAAACAUUGUGCUUGAAACACUGAUCUAGAUCAUAUUAGCAUAUCCCUAGAACCAAAAAUCGUAUGUCAGGAACCAUGAAAUAUAAUGGGUGUUUGGAUUGCAAGACUUUCAAAUAAAAAUCUCAAAUUUUGUUUUGCUUGCAUCAUACACACAAUUUCCAACGACCUUUUUUAUCUCACAUACAUCACAUCACAAAAAUGCUACAGUAAUUAUUUCAAAUAACCUCCUAUCCAAACAAACCCAAUUUAUCACUACUGCAAUGCAACUGUUUAGCAGCCUUAUACAGUAACUAUAACAAGUAUUAGCAUCAACAAAGUCGUUUGAAGAUUAAGUUCUACUAGAAUUAGUAAAAACACAAAUAAAAUUGAAAAAAAUAGAACUAAGAUAAUAGGUAAAACUCAAAUUCUCAUUCGAAUUACACUCUGUUCAAAAAAGCAAUGGGUUUAUAGCAAAUUCUCAUUUCUCCAGGACGGACUCCAAAAAUACAAAGUAUUGCAAAAGACUCCAAACCCACUUCAUGACAGGCUGUCAGCUUGACUGGGGCAUUAGCUUAGUGUAGCUUUUGAAGGGAAGUUCCCCUCCCACAAAGAAAAUCCAGAUGCCUCCCUCUCUCCCCCUCUCAAAUAGUCUUCAGCAUGCAAUAGACCAAACCAAUUGAUACUAAUGCACAUAACAGGAGAGCUCCAUUGAUAUUUAGUAACAUGCAGAAUACAAAUUUCCAGUAUAAAGAAAAAGGACAAUAUAUAGCGAGAACUGAAAUGGAUUUGACAAGUGGCAAUAUAAGUUUUUGCAAUGUUGUCCAGAAAUCAACCAAGAACACCAGUUUCAUGGUUGAACGCUUAUAUCCAGCUAUUUACCAUGCACUCGCAAAGAACCUGCAUUAGAAGAAAUUACACUUUCCUGUGCAUAUUUCACAAUGUUCUCAAUAUCUGUUUUCCACUUUUAUAUGCUAAAAGGUAUUAAACCAUAAGUAACUUCUUUUAUUUUCUACCUUAGUAUUGGGAAUCUCUAUCCCUGAAGUUCAUCUACACGUGUAUGAUUUUUUCCACUUUUCCUUGCUCUAGUUCUUAUUAAUUUGGAGAUAACAUUUGUUAUUCAUUUUUGGGAGGGCAAAAAACCCAUAUGACCACUGCACCAAUCCUAUUCAAGAAAAAACCUUGUAAAACAAUCUCUCUACCAUCAGCAUUGCCCCAACCUAACAAAAUUCCUCAUUGUAAAUUGUAAAAAUCCAAAUCCCAGUGAAAUGCAGUAAAGGGGAACACCACAAAACUGGCCAAAAGCUUAAGCAGUUUAACAGCAGUUAGAUGCUUUCACACCACCUCAAAAACAAGACCCUAAAGUAUGUGUCAGGAUCAGUAAAAUUUCAAGGCUAUUAAUGUCAAGCUUAAGACCUAGCACUAAUCACAAUUGUCAAUUAAAAAAGACGAGACAUAGUUGACCAUUGAUACAUCGUUUUAGGUUGAUUACGACGCUACCAAUUAUGCGAACAACAUAACUUCCAAAUGGAUCUUUCAGCUUGCAAAACAAAGAUAUUUUAUGCAUGGCCUUAUUGUUUACCUACAUAAUACCUGAGCAGUUUAUUAAUGCGAUUUGUUGUUAAGCAAUGUUAUGUAUCCUAAAUGACUCUAGAAGAAUGAGGCUGUAAAUGAAAAUGCUUGGCAUUAAAACGUAUCAGCUCCGGUCCAAGCUUGUAACUGAGUAUUGGGUGCUUCUCAAUGGCUUCUGAUUUUCAGAAGCAAAAUCAGAAGGCAAAAAAACCUGCUAUGCUGCUUCCGAUUUUUCAGAUUUUUUGCCUCAAAAAAGGUGUGAACAGGUAUUGGAAAGCAAUUGAGAACUUUAAAAUAACAGCUUUUCCAGAAUCAAGAGCUAAAAUCAGGUAUUGAAAAUCAUUUUAGAACAAAUCACUGUCCUUUAGACAAGUCCAAUAAUAAAACUCAAAACAACCUCAAAAAAAAAAAUUGAUCUUAAAGUUGACUCCAAAAUGUUAACAAUUAUAAGCCCAUAGCUUUAGAGAGUUUAUAUUACAAAAAACCUUGCGUAGGUAAUCUCUGCUUAACUCUGCGGGUUUACACCUGUAAAGUGAAAAAACACAAAAGACGGAAACCUGACAAUAAUUCAAAGUCUUGCAAAGGAGGGAAAAGGAAUAAGGAAAAUGUACUGUCUGUCUGAAAACUGUAUUUAAGUGCUGGAAGUGAAUGAAUCGCAAGUUUUUACAUUCAUCCUGAGCAAUAUGAUACUUUUCCGAUCAAUUGAUACACUAAGCACCAGUUCUUUUUUUCCCACAAACCAAAAAAAAAAUCACUUAACUUUUUAAACAGAUAAAGCCAUGAAUGAAUUGUGAGUUUGUUAUAUUCAUCCAGUUCAACAUGAUACUUUUCCAAACAAAUAAUACAUAAAGAACCAGUUAUUUUUUUAUAGAAACAAAAGAGAAUACCACUUAAUUUGUUGAACUGUUUAACAGUCUAGCUUUUUGUCACUCGGUAUGUUUAAAAAAUAACUCAGACACACACACAACCUCCUCUCAUGCAGAAUGCCAAAAUAUCCCCUCUCAUACUGCCCCCAACACCCCCCCCAACCUUCUGUCUCUCAAAUACAAGAAAAAUUGUAUUAUGUUUCUGACAGUAUAUAUGACUGUUCAUCAGAACACCUUUGUUCUGAGGUCUAAUUAAAAUAAGUUCAUCAUAUGCUACUUAUUUACAUUUAUUAAUCAAAUAGCUUUCUCCUAUAAUAUUUGAUUACUCAUAUAUUAAUGGACCAACUAUGGCAUUCAAAAAGUAGAAGUCUAUUGAAAAAUAGAAAACUAAAUUAAAAGAAGAAGAAGAAGCAGAAGAAUAGCUAAUCAAGAGAUAAAAUAAACACUAACAAUCUAAAUGAAAAGUAACGAAUAGCUAAUCAAGAAGAUAAAAUAAACACUAACAAUCUAAAUGAAAAGUAACAUUUAAAGAGAAGCUAACUGGACGUCUCAAAGAAAAUUCACAUACAGCAAUCAUUCUUAAGUUAAAUUGAAGUAUUUGCCACAUUGAUUUCUCAACUUAGGCUGCCAUAUUGGUUAACAGAAGGUUAUGGUUUCAUUUUUAUCAGCAACUUGAACUGCCAGCAUUUAAAAUAACUUCCAGAUUCCAAUGUUUCAGCUUUUAACUUUAGGCAAGAAUAUAAGCAAGUUCUCUUAGCAAGCCUAUCAACCACUGCCAACUUGUUGGAUAGAGAUCAGCAUGCCAAGGUGUUUCCAAAAGAGAAAUGCCCCCUAACCACUUAAUGUUCUUCAUUUUACUUAAAAAGCCAAUAAUCUAGCAGAGAAACCAAAUAAGCCAGAAAACAUUAAUGAUUACUACACAGUCAAGCUAAAAUCAGAGUUUCAGGUAGCGAAAAAGUUGCUUUUGCAGGCAAAUGGGAUUUACAUAGGUUGAAAAGAAUUAAAAUUAUGAUGACAACAGCAAAAAUAAUAAAUAAAUGCUUGAGUUUCAAGAAACAACAGCCUUCUACAUUCUCUUCAACCUAUGAGCAAACAAUACCAUAAUCCAAAGCUUAUAAGACACUCCAUGCUAAAACAAACUUAAUCAGCCCCAAAGAACAGGAUAUUAGUUAACAUAUAACACUUUGAAGUUUUCAUUCUUUUAACAAACUCAAGGAAAUUUGAACUUCCAACAAUGAUUUUACUCCGUCAUUCUUUGCAUGAACCACCUCCAAACAAUCCUUUUAAAUUCAAAUUGAGUGAAAUCCCAGUUUUCCUUUGAUUCCUUGUGUUCCUAAUCAACGUAAAGGAUGACAUUAUUUGUAUCAUUUACAGAAAAGGCUCAAAUGAUGACUCUAAUGAUAACAAAAGGAGUUCGGCUCACCAGUAAAAUUUAAAAACAAAAGAAGCCAAAGGAGAAAUAUGUAAACCUAAAUCACCAGAAAACAAUGAUCCGAAGACAAAAUCCCUAAAUGAGGGUCAAGAAAAGUGCAAUAAAACAAAAUUAUAUACAAUUUUCUGUCUUCAAUUCUCAUCAGAUUCUAAGUCAAAUUCAACAAUUCCACUAAGUGCAGCAAGGAGAAACCACUUAUAUGGAUUUCCAAGUGUACUCCAAUAUUAACAACAUUCUGAAUACAAAGUAUGAAUGUGGAUGCAACUACCAAUUGAUAUACAUAAUAAAACCAUAAAACGUGGUAAAUCUACUCACAGAGUCUACACAUAUUAAGAAAACGAAAACAAGUUUUUUAAAGGCCAAACGCAAGUCUACAUGCUAAGUAUUCUCUGUCUUUUCAACUCUACAAUCUAAAGUAGACGUUUCUACAAAAUCCAAUUAAAAAGGCAAAGAGGAGAAUAGUUACAUCUUAAAGGCCUUGAUGUAGAUGCUACCACCGGACCCGCCUCCUCCUUUGCUUCCUCCAUCACCACCGUCAGCGAGCAAGCUCCCAUUAACUUCCAAAAGCUUAAGCACUUUCAUUUGAAUUAUCCCACCUCCACCCCCACCAUAAUCCACCUCCCUGUUUGUUGUCCCACCUUUGCUCCCAUAGCUACAAGGAUCCUGCAAAUAUGACCACCCAUAUGCAUCCCCACCCCAUACAUCAUCUGGAAGCUUCUUCUGGUCCAACAAACAAGCCGCACCUCGUCCCCAUAACCCCCACCAGCACCAUCCACCCCUGGGGUGUCCCGCUCGUCUGGGGAGGAGGAUCACCGGCUAAACCAGUAGUAUUCACAACUGACCCAUUCGAAAAAGUAGCAUUAUCUGCCGUCAAAUCAAAAGUUCCAGCAAAAAUAGUCGAAUUCUGACCCAAAGUAAAGUUCCCAGAGACAUUUAUCACUAGCUCGCAACCCGGAAACAUGCAAUUAACCGUAAUAUUGGGAAGAAUAUUAAAAUUCCCCUUCCCUUGUAUAUACACGUUAUCACUGAUAUUCAAAUUAGAAACUAUAUUGCAAGUAGUAUCUAACGAACCAACUCCUCCGAGAUCAGCUUCGCAAGUCACCGACGGCGGAUGAGGAGGCGGUGGCGGUGGCGCCGGAGGUGAGUAAUCCCGGUGAAACAAGAAUGAAUCGAAGUCGCCGGAGUCGUCAUCUAAGUCAAAAUCGGCGUCUCCGCCACCGUCCUGGACUAAAGUACCAUAACCGCAGCUAGGAAUCGGAAGCAAGCCUAUUAUUAGUAUCACCACUAAGAGUAAAGUGAAAGAAAGUACAGACAUGUCAAAAGGUGAAGAAGACGCCAUUGACUGAUGAAGAUGGGAAUAUUCAUCAGAAAUGAUGGUUGGGAGAGGGAGAAAUGGAUUGCAUCGGUGGAAUUUUUUGCUCGAAAACAAAACCCACCAGAAAAGUUUAUUAGUUUUUCGUUCCAAAUGCGGUUUAACUGUUUGAUAUAUGCCGGUGCGGAUGGAAAAAAGUGGCGCUUUGGGAACGGAGAAUGCCCUAGAAAAAGGGGUUUCUGGUGAGGAGCCAAAGACAACUACUCCCUAGCGGAUUCUGCAGGGCGAAGAAAAGAGGGAGGCAGUUUUUGGGGAAAAUUGAACAUGAGGAAAGCAAAAGAGAGGGCAAUAAAGGUAAAGGGUUAAGGGGGCGACUGAUUACUGAUUAGAUAGGGGACUAGAGAAAUUGGGGAGUUGAAUAUUGGGUUAGUGGUUUAAUGAGAGGAGGGUGAAGGGGUUAAAGAUUAGACUGAGAGAUUUUGAGGUAGAAAGCAUGACUGAUCACAACAAUCACAUCCGUUAAAAACUUGGUGUUGAAUUUUAUAAAUAAUAAAUUGUGAUGACGUUUUCUUUUUUUUGGGAUAAUUUCAGAAACUUGCCUUGAACUAUUCAUAGUAUCAGUUGGCUCCUUUGAAGUUUUUAAAAUCUCACCCACCUCUCUCAAAAUAUUUAGGCCUCGAAAAAUUCACACGUAUGAAGAGAUUAUUUAUUAAAAUAUAUUUCCUAAAAAAAAUUUCUUAACUCCCGUAUAAUUAUCUAUAAAAUUUUUCAAGGGCUCCAUCACUCACUAUAAUCCUUCUAAGUGGUUGAUUUUGACUAAAUUUAAUUUACCACGUUCUUUGUUGUCCCACCAUGAUCUCGAUAUAGAGAAAUAUGGACCAUUAUUAGAUAUCAAUUUAUUUUUCUCUAAUCUACAUAUUUUUGUUUAAAAUUUUAUUUUAUUUUUUGGUUAAGCAAUUAUUAAGAGCUAGGGUAAUGUUGUCACUUUUUGACCUGUGAUGGGAAUAUUUUAGUCUUAUAAAACUGAUAGGCGAGAUAAGUGAAAUUUUAAAAUUUUGAAUAGGAGAACUCAGUGAAAUUAUGCUCCUCAUGGGCAACUCGGUUGGUCUCAGCAAACCUCCUUAGAAGCUGGUGUCCAAUGCCCACAAGGAUUCAAGUCCUAUGGUUAUCGUGUUCGGAAGGAUGGGGCCUCUCCUCCCGGAUGGGAGUGGGAUUAGUUGGGCCCCGUAAGAAUUGGUCCGGACACCCAUUCCGUCAAAAAAAAAAAAAAACUGAGUGAUAUUAUGAAAAAUCUCGGGACAAUUUUUUGAAAUUUUGCCUUUCUUUUUUCAUCUUUGUCUCUCUUUCCCUUUCCUAUUUUUCUUGGCUUUCUGUGGAUUCUCUUUCUUUUUUUUUUUUUAAGUUUCUUUUUUGCGUUGGAGGAAUCUGACAGGAAGGUUUGACAAUUUUUAUCAAAACGAGAAAAAGAAAAAAGCAAGAAUGUUUGAAUUGAGAUUCUUCCUCUUAUUUACAUACAUCUUAUGGUAUCUUCUUUAUAUCUUAAUCAAGGAAUAGAGAGAUUCUUUUCUUUUCUGUUCUUUUUUGUCUAAAAUAGUGCAGCGUGAUAAGUGAUAGGUUGUUUCCUUGCACAAAUGUCUCAUGUUUGUGAUUGGGGCUGAUUCGUAAUUUAAUGAGGAGGAAGAUUAGAUUGACUCAUUGAUAUUGAGGUUGAGUGCAUGGCUGAUUGAGCCACUUUCAGUCAAAGUUUGCAAUUGUACUAAUUACAAAUUGUGAUGGCGCCCUUGUUCUAUACUUUUGUCUCUUUGUUUUGUCGGGGGAAUUUGAAUUAUGAUUUGACAUUUUUUAGAGAGAAAAAAGAGUUAAAAAAAAAUAUGAAGGAAUGACUGAGAAUGAGAGGAUUUUCAAGGGAUAUAUGCAUCCUUUUGUCUUUCUUUUUUGUCUACAAAGUAUGAUAAAGAUAAAUUACUUCUUUAUUUAUUGAUGGGAUGACUGAUGAGAUGUUUUAACUCUUUUUCUAUUUUCUUGUUUUCUUUUCUUCUGAUCAUAAGAAAUUUUCGGUAUUUUGUUAGUUCUUAAGUUCCUAAAGUAAGGAAACGGUCAAAAUAUAACGAACAAGGAACUCAUUGAUGCAAGCCUUUCUUAUAAUUAUUAACUUAAUUUUAAGUCACGAUGUGGCCUUGUUUGGAAUGCAUUUUUCUGGAUUUUUUUGUAGAAAAAUUACAGUAACGAUUUGAUAUAUGUGAGGUGAAAAGGCGAUUGGAAAAUAUGUUUACAAAAAAUAUAGCAAUUUUGCUGUCCAAACAAGGUUGUCUAAAAUAUUAAUUAACAACCAUUUUUCAAAAUUGAAAUUCUAUGUAUAAAUGCAGAAUCCCUCAAGAGGAAAAUGUUGAGAAAGUAAAAUUAUCAAAGGAUAUCACAAAAUGAUCUGGCUUGAUCUUGUUGACAAUGCCACCCACUAUGUCAGAUCGCGAUAUAAAGAAGAUGAUAGGCCUUCGCAAAAAGGGUUGAUAUGACUCAAUUUACAGGUACUCGCCUCGACAUAUACCAUAUGUAGUUAAUUUUCUAAUAUCAUAGAUAUCUAUACUUACGAUAUAUAAAGCAGGAAACUUGACCUAAGGUUUGGAUAGCAAAUUUUUUCAAAAAAACUUUUCAGUUGCAUUACAAACACAUUUUUCAAUUUAUUUUUUUAUCUCACAUACAUCAUAUCACAAAAAAUGCUAUAAUAAUUAUUCCAAAUAAUUAUUUGGAAUAAUGCUCUAUCCAAACAAAGCCUCGAGUUUUGAUGUAAAUGUUUUUUUGUCACUUUUUGAACUUUCAUUUUUGGCCUCGUACGAUCUAAAUUUUAUCAUGAUCACAACUUAUUUCAUUAUAAGUACCAAAGCAUAGCUUUUCAAACAAACUUAUUUUCAUUAUAACUACUCAUAAACACACAACAUAAUUAUACUCUUAAAAGAAAAAAUCUUAAAAGAGCAAAAUCAUGUUCAUUAAUUAAAAAAAUAUAUAUAUGUAAAAUAAGUUCAUACAAAAAAUAAUUUAUUUCUAAAUUGCACAUACAUUGGGUGUCUCCUGUAUGCUAGUGAUAAAAAUUGCAAAUGAAUCGAAACAAAUCAAGUUUUUGGUCUAAUCGAGUUAAGCCUCGACUCAAUUUUACCAAAUUUGAGCUCAUCGAUCUCUCAAUGUAAAACUCGAGUUCGAAUUUGACAGUAAAUUUGAGCCAAGCCAAGUUGGAACUCGAGCCCACUCAUGUUUUAAAAAAUAAUAAUUAUUAUUAUUUUAUUUUAUUUUUAAAAUAAUAAAUAAAAUAGUAUUUUUUUUCUUAACAAAUAAUAAAACAUUAGAUAUAUAUAUGUAAUUUUAUUAUUAUUAAUAUAUAUAUCUUAAUAUAAUCGAGCGACUCGCGAACUAAUGAACUAAGUUUUUCUGUGCUCGAACUCGACUCCAGUUUGAUGUUGACCAAACUCAAAUUGGAUUUUGAUCAAGCUAACUCACAAGAGGCUCGCAAGUAAUUUGACUCGUUUGCAACCCUACUAAUGACUAUAAUUGUUUUGAAAGACUGUUGGAAGAAAUUUGGGUUAGGUUAUAAAGUGGAAGGGAGUGUAAAUGAAAUAUACUAUAUUCAAAACCACUCAUUUAAUAAAAAAAAAAAAAAGUAUCAUACUAUUAGUUGCAUAUAAACGGUUAAAAACAUUAAACUAAGUGUAGAAUUAUGUGAAAGUAACUAUACCUUAGUUUUGGACCGUCGAAUUUCCUUAAAAUAUUUGUUACGGAUAAGGCCCCGUUUAUAUCUUAUCUUUGAAGUGAAGGAUAAGAGUACAUCAAGAAGUCCUAGUUUAUAUGCUUGGCCCCUACAGUUGGCUUUGCGGGUUUAGUUUUCAAAAACAUGUGUGUUGACUAACCUAAAUCACUUGUUAGCAUUGAAUAGGAGUUCAAAAAUUCAAAAGCAGAAAUGAAUAACAAUAUAGACUAGUGCACCUAAAGCUUAUUUGGUCCAAAACAAACUCUCUUUCAUGUAUGUGGUCCAAAUUUGAAGAGCAAAUCUCUUAGGCUUUUACACUAACACCAAAUGGCAUUUAGCUCUAACGAGUAAAAACCAAAUCUUCCAGCAAAUAAAGUGCCCAUAUCCCAUUGGCAACCAUUAUUGACUUUGGCAUCCUACAUUUCAUAGGGUAACAAAACGGACAAAAGGUAUGUGACUUUGUACAUAAAAAUUUAUUCCAGUGUAAGGUUGCCAUCACUUUCGACAUUUUUAUGCGUAUGAAAACAAAUUAUCAACAACAUUGAAACCUUCCAAAACAAAACCAGUGACUAGAUAAUUUGAUUAUUUGCCAAAUGAUUCUUUCUAUUUUGUGACUUUGACAAAGUCACAAAACCAAUUGGCUAUGAGUGAAAUGGCCCAACAUCUUUUAUAUAUAUAUAUAUUAUGGUUGGAAAUCCUUAGAAUAUCAAUGUAGGAUAUACAACUAACACGUAAAGCUAUAAACAAGUCGAAUCGAAUCGAGUAUCUCAUGUUUGAACUCUGUUCGUUAAGCCAUUCGAUCAACGUUCGUGUUCGUACGUUAAUUUCGAACUCCAAACAUGUGUUUGUGUUCGGCUCGUUAAGCAAAGUUUGUAUUCGUGUUCAGCUCGUUUAACAUAAACGAGCCGUUCGCAAACAUGCUUGAAAUGCUCGAAUCCAAAUUAUUUUAAGCCUUAAAUAUGUCAUGCAAAUCAUUCAUCAUUCUCAAAAACAAUUAAAGCACUAAGUGACUAAAUUCUAUUAUUUAUUAACUAUAUAACUAACAUUAACAUAAAAACAACAAAUAAAACAAAGCAAUUUGCCCUCCAAAUAUAAAAGUUCAGCCAUAAAAUUAAUCUUCAAAUUUGUCAAAUGAUAAUUAUGCCCAUGUUCGCGAACAUUCGUUAAAACUCACGAACAUGCUCGUGUUCACGAACGUUCAUUAAAACUCGCGACUAUACUCAUGUUCGCUCAAUUAUUAAUCGAACAAAAAAAUUCGUUCGAACUUGGUUCGUUUAAAAUUUCGAACGAGUCUUUCACGAACACGAACGAGUCGAAAUGAAUCGAGCUACCGAACAGCUCGGUUUGUUGAACAGCCCUCGCAAAUGUGACUUGACAAAUGGGUUUAAGCCAACACAAGAAAUCCCAAGUCACGGGUGAAAUAAAUGGGUAACAAACAAACCCAAGGCCCUGCUCCAAUACCAUGUUAAAUGACUUGGACUCUCAUCUCAAAAUCAAUUAGGUAUGAGUUGAGUGGCCUAAUAUCUUUCAUAGAAAUAUAUAUAUUUAUAUAUAUGGCUAGAAAUUCUUGGAAUAUCAAUGGGGAUAUACAACUAACAAGGAUUAUCUAAAGAAAAGAAAAAAAAAAAGCAGAAAAAACAUAUCUAAAGAGGAUGGCCCGCAUGAAACUUGUACAAAUUGGACAAGGUAAUAGGUUACUUCAAAGAUUUUGAUGGCACCUGCAGAUAUAUUAUCCUAAUGUAUCUUUAUUUUUCCCAACUCUUCUCCCUAAAAUUCUAUUUCUCUAAAAGGAAUGUAGUAUUUUCUUCUCAGUUGGAUCUACACCAAGUAAUGCAGUGAAAUGUGUCCAGCAGAGAAGGACUUUUGAUCUAGUUUCUGAGUUUUUGGAGAAAGUGAAGAAAAGCUGCUCUUUCUUCACAUAAUUAAUUAAUGCUUUAACUGUUUGAGGCCGUAUGGAGUGGGCCGGCCUGAAUUUUAGCACGAACUUACCUGGAAAUGGUUUAUUGUGGGAUUCACAAAGGUGUACACGUACUAAUGAAAACAAAAAUGUGUACUUUGUUUUGGACCACUGAUCCUCCCGAUUGUGACCAUUAAACCCCUCCAAUCAAUUAUUUGUCAUGCAAUUAUCCAAGAAGAAAAUAGACAAUUAUUCAUACUCUACGAGACGGGAUAAGUUGAUUGUGAUGUUCUACAGAAAAAUUUUUACGUUUUUCGUAAAUACGUUUCUCAGUUACUUUUUUACCUCACAUACAUUAAAUCAUUAUAGUAUACAUAUAUAUUUUUUUACAAAAAGUCCUAAAAAUAGCAAUCCAAACGGGUCAGGAUUUCUCAUUUCAUUUAAAAUAAUUAUUUUAAAUUUGAUUAGUAUAGGACUAUUCAUCAAAUACUACGAGGGUAAUUCUUACAUGAAUUUGUUGGCAACAGAUGGGGAUGCAUGCUAAUAAAUUCGUAAAUUACAGCCCCAUCCCCUAAAUCCCAGACAGUACGCGCCAAAAGAUCUCACAUCAAUGGCCAUUUGUUGGAGACAAUCGCCAAAUCUGCAUGGUCCUCCUUUUCUUCAUUUCCUACGUACUUUAAUACUAAAAAUUUAAAACCCAAGUCCAACUUUAUUUUUAGAGGAUAAGGUUCUAUCCAACACGAAACUUUUAGGCCCUUAAAACAUCUCCACUACUAUAAAUAGUUGCCAUGAAAAGUUGCAUGUCUUAGCAUAUUUAUAGUGGUACAUAAUAAACUUAUAGUUACUUAAAAGAUAAUCUACAUAUUGACACGGAUAUUCGUUAAAAUAGGGUUCAGGUAUUAAUAUCUCGACCAAGCAAAAUUAAAUAGGAAAAGUGUAUAAAAAGUAAGACGAUAGUUGUUACGAGUACGUACCUUUACAUAAUAUAUUGAUUGAGAACGAUUUAGGUGUACAAAUAAAUGCCCAUUUAACGCCUGUGUCGGGAAAAUACUAAUUUGAAAUUUAGACAACACAAAAUCUUUUUUCUAGCUGCUUCUAGUGCUGCAUGGAAUGCUUGAGAUUCAAUAGCCAUUGCUUCUUCUUGCAGCUGAUAGGAGCGUGGUGGUGUUACUUGUCAGAUACUAGGAGGUUGAAUCUUGGCACAUUUACAGCCAAUACUGCAAACUUCACCUGUUCACCCCAAAUAAUUGUACUGGUGUCACUAAUUGCUUUGUCUACCUUGUUUCCAUGUCUUAAUUGUUCCUCCACGUACUGCCUUUACAUUCACUGAUUAAAUGCACCUACUUCCGUUUGCAAUUGACUUUGCAAUUUGUGAUUCUUUUUUCUCACGUAACUGAUCAAUUGGAGUUGAAUUGAUGUAUCACUGCUAUUAAUGGAAGGCAAAAUGAAUAAAACUAAUCAUGCAAGUAUAUUAAAGAGAAUGAUGUUACUCAAGUUCAAUAACUUGAGCAAUCAAGACUAGAAAGAAAUUUAAGAUUUCUUAAUUUCAUUCUUGUUAGUAACAAUUACCAACUUUUUUAAUUUCGUCUGCUUCGUGCAUUAAUUUGCACGUACCUGCAUGCAUGCUUAAUUUGUCGACAAAUGCUUAACAACACCCAGUUAAUGACGGUUUAGAAUAUAUAUAUAUAUAUGUAUGUAUAAUAGUAAUUUAUAAAUUUUUUAGGCAGUACAAUAUUGGCAACCUUUCUAACUUCCUGGGAUUCUCUGCAUCUUUUUGGAAAGAAUGUACCGAGAAAUUCAAGGGAUUAAAGAAACACUUCUUGAUUGCAUAUAAGGUCUCAAUGAUGAUUGUUGUUACUUGUUAGGUCCUCCAAACAUAUAUAGAUAAGUACAUGUGAAGUUGACGUCUACUUUCCUCCUCGAGGCCUCCACUUUUUACGACUAAAAUCCUGCAGGACUACUGCUCAAGGAACUGAAGGCCAUGGGAACAAACAAGUUCCAAGGGCAUGUCAUGGAAGUUAGGGAAUCAACAACACCCAAAUGAACAAUCAUUUCUAGGGUACCCAGAAAGUAGGAAGGUCAUUCUUUCCUUUCCUUUUUCAGGGGAACAUUGAUCAAAGCUAAGAACCAAAGAUCAUGUGAUGUACUCAGUAUAAACUCACCUUGGAUCAAGAUUUUGUUAUAUUCAAUGUCUUAAUAUGUAUAUAUAAAUGUCAUAUGAAGACUCAGUAUUACUUUACACUAAUGUUUAGAUUAUCAAGACGAAGAAUUGAAUAAAUAGGUGUAUGUCAAGAUGCAUUGCACAACGAAAAUUCAGCAUUCAAGUGGAGAAAGGAAAAUGAGCAGUAAUAUCAGUUUCUGUCUGGUUUUUAAGGGGCAAUGACAUUAAAUUACACUACGUUAACACAGAAUGUUCCAAGGUGGGGCUAAGCCAAUUUUGGAGCCUGCUAAAUUUUACUAAUGCAUAUUUCCUGGCCAACAGCUUCACGCCCCAUUUCACAAACCAAGGUUCAAACCUGGUUGCUAGGAUUGAGGCAAGGAGGGAUUAUGGAGGAAGGGGGGGGGGGGGUGUGGGGGUGGGAGAGGAAAAAGAAAAAGCCUAAAUCUUGUUGAUUCCUGAAGAAUUGUACGUAUUAGUUAUAGCAGGAAGCAUACUGUCGAUUUAACAAAUGCUGAAGGAAAUACCAAGGCAAGCUUAUUGAUACACAAGAUAGAGAAUAAACAAGUUAGAAUGGGGGAGAAAACUCGCAGUUUCGGGCUAAGAGAGAUGAAAAACAAUAGUAGAAACAAAAAGCAGGGGAAGUGUAUCUGUAAUAUUCAUGUACAAGACAAACUACACAGAAAUUGCUCAAUUUUGGCAACUGCUCUUGGAAGUUGGAAUACACCAACCAAAGAUCACUUGAUGAGGAAGAAACAUCCUCUUAAUCUUUUCAGUGCAGUUCUAAUGGCUGACCAGCUUGACAAAGUUGACAGGAAUCAAGUGACUAAAUGCCAAACUUGUUGGCUCAUAAAAUGGCGUACUUCAGACAUAACUGCAGCUACAUAUUCAUAUAUUGACUUAAAUCUUGAAAGACAUCGUUUUUUCUUAGUUUUGUCAGCGCUCUUCUUUCUAUUUUUCUUACCCACUCUUUGCUUACAGAAUACAGCCUCCCAAUCUCCUCAAGUGACUUCCUUUGAUGAGAUCUAAGCCCAAACCUUAGGACUAAUACUUGCCUUUCCCGUGGCUCUAAGUCUUUCAUAAGGCCAUACAUGCCUUGUAGCAUGUGCUGUCUCACCACUGUUUCUCCUGGGCUUCUCAUUGAUGUAUCAGAUAUGAGUUCCUGCACCAAGAGUUCCAAGGCCAUUAACCUCAUAAACCUGUGUAGGGGAACUGUGGGGGAAAAAAAAAACUCUUGUGGACUAUAAAAGACAAACAGGCGCAUCACUCUCUAGUUAAUUCCAGCCUAUGGAUAAAAUACUUAUAAUAACCAAAACAUCUAAGAUGCUAUUCAUUUAUGAAAAUUUCAAGAAGCAUGCUGAAGAAAGUUGUCUAAAUUAAUCAGAUCAUCCUUGCUUUCCUCUGUAAGAAAUCUACAUAAUAUAUCAACACACACACAAUAUAUAUAUAUAUAUAUUAUAAUUUUAGUUCGAUGUUUACAACAGAAAAACCACAAAAAGCUAUUUUAUGUUUUUAUACAUAGUUUGAGACCAGGAAAUUCACCCAAGAUAUGGUGCCCUAAAAAAAAGUUGCUUUGUUUCUUCUCCUCAGGGGUACCCAAAAAGCAUAGGGCUUCCUUGUCUGUCUGAUGACAGUACUAAACAUGAUUUUUAGAGAUACCCCCAACCCCCCCCCCCCCCCCAAACAAAAAAAAAUCCCCAAUAGGAUCCCUCGGACAACCAUUUUCUGACAGCCAAGCCAAGUGGCACUGUUUCUGAUGAGACUAAGCAAACAGCUACUAAAUUAAAAACCUGUCAUAAAUGUAAUCUAAACAAAUAUAAUCAUCAAGAAGGAAGAUUCUAUAAAAUAGAGAAUGCCAUACGUACUAAACGUUUUGCACUGCUAGAGUCUCCCACUUUCUGAUCGAUCGAACCAACAAUCCUGAGGCAUUUGCUCACUGACAUAAUUUUAGCAGUAGAGAGACCAGUGAACUUUGCAAUUUCAUUAACAUCCGGAUAUUUUCCGUGGCUGCUCUUCAGGGCCUUUCGAGCUUUCUGUAUUUGACUUAUUGCCUUGCUCAAUGAUGACUGCAUGAAGAUCAGAAUAAAAGAAGUGGAAACUCAGGUUUCUUUCUCCUUGUAUGGACUUUUAAAAAAGAGACGAUCUCACGAAAAUUAAAAUCACAUACAGGAAUUCUAAUUCCUCUUGCAUGUUGUGCUACCACCAUUGAGAUUGAUUUCCUUAUCCAAUACUGGACGUAGGUUGAGAACUUGUAUCCCCGUGUGUGAUCAAAUCUUUGAGCUCCUUGCAGGACACCAAGAUUUCCAGCCUGACAAACAUGGUUAAAACCUAGAAAAUCAAUCUUCAUAAACAGAAUAAGAUAUAAAUGAGAAUAAAAUUUAAUAGGACCAGACUCAGUUUCUCUCCAAACUAUUGACAACUUUUCUCCUCAUUCCUGACUACUGUGUCUAGAAUUAAACUGUUGGAAACAAAUACCUGCCGGAAGAAAUGCUUGACUAAAUAUCAUUAAGGGGAAGCAACUACUUCCUUUUUGGUGUCCUGUCAAUCUAAUUAUUCUUCCUAUUUUCACACAAAUGCAAGACAAACAUUUUUCAUCGCUGAAAGACAAUUGCAAUUUAAUUCAAUCGACCACAUGAGUAGACAAUUAAACUAACAGGCAGGCUUGCUUGGGUUCUUUUGGGACAUGGAAUGAGGUUUUGAUAGGAUUGUGAUCUGGCAAUAUCACAUGUUUAAUUCACUUUUGUACAUGGAUCACUUAUCCUAUUUUAUUUCCUCAACCAUGCAUGAAUUGAGUCAUGCUCCAUUGAAAGGGGAUUAUUAUCUUCUUCUUGGCCGGAGCUACCUAUUUAUAAUCCUAUAGAACCAAACAUGAGACUCAUUCAAAAAGAAGAGACAACCGGCAUAACCCUCGGACAACUGAGCCUUAAGAUGUCUUAAUUCCCUCAAUCCACUCCACAAGUCAAUUCAACCCUAAAAGCAUUUUUACUCUGAACAAAAUCAACCUUGACAGGCACAUCUCAGAGCAAUGUUGGACUCGGUUGAGUUGUUACCUAACUAUUUAUAAAAACUGAGCUCGAAAAUUGAGCAGAGUGCCAAGGAGAAAAACUUGGUUCAGAUUGGAAGCACCGAAAACCAAGCAUAUAGCAAUUCAAUCAUAUUUUCUUAUGUCUUGAGUAGGCAUUUUCUGUAUUUUCAAUAGCUUGCCAUAUUCUAAUUUGAAACUUUAUAUCACAAUGGCAACAAUUAAGUUUAAAUGAGAACAUAUGGGACACCAAAUGUUUAACUAUAUUGACUUUUCAGAAUAAAAGACAUAAAAUUGUGAUCUCAAAUGCAUGUCAAUUCAUCACCAACAGAACUUUUAAUUUGGACAGGCUUGGCAACCUAGUUGGUCCAUCUACACAUAAGAGAUCCCGAAACUCAGUCACGGUUGUGUCAUUAGAAACUUGUAAGAUUUAUUGGCUAAUUAAGCAGUUAUUAAUGUAUAGUGCUGAACUGAAUUUACCAAUUAGAUUAAUACCAAACAUAAAUUGAAUCAGAUUCUCAUUUGCUCAUGAUAACUAAAAUAGAGCCAGUUUCUGCCAGAUGGUUAAACACAUUUCACACUUUUGAAAAUUAAGUGGAGUUUGAAGAACCUACUUUGGCCAGGCUGGAUUAAUUUUUUGUCACAAGCUAUCUCAUGAUGAUCAUCAGACUAACACUUUAACGAAAGGAAUAAAGAAGAGCGGGAACGACCAAAACAUAGCUGAACACAGUAAACUCCAUAUUACCAACCUGAACUAAAUCUUCAAAGGCAACUCCCAGUCCCCUGUAAUUUCUAGCAAUGUAUAAAACUAAAGAACGUGUGCUUCUUAGAAGCUCAUCCCUACAAUACCAACCAAACUGCAGAUGUUGCUGCAACACCUGUAUAUUAACUUGAGCAGCUUCUGCCCAGUUACUCAUGCCAACUACCUGUCCAGUGUUCUCUUCAACUAUUGUCCUGAUUCUUUCAAGCUCAGAAACUAACUGCAUGUAAAAAAUAUUGUCCUCAGCCUGUGUGAAAUAUGAGAAGCAGAAAUUAGUUAUCAGUGAAAGACAACAAAACCACCUUAACACCUUGAGACAUUUCUGCCUCAGUUCGAGCAAUUUUCAGGCUUCUACUUCUAGAAUCGGAUGAUUUCCUCCAGGAGAAAAUUCAACCUGUUGAGCAUCCUCUAGCGUACUUGAGUACUUUUCCUGCAUAAAUUUACCAUUUCCUUUAUCCAAUGGCCUCUUUCUUCUUGAUUUUCUUUUUCUUUCUUUACAGAGUGAACAACCUUCUUACCCACAACAUCUUCCACUGGGCAAUUUAUUUGAGAUGCUUCAACAGGCUUAGUUGCUUUGUCAGACAGAUCAUAUAAGGUUGAGGGCUUAAGCAUCCUACAUAGACAGGUCUGGAAUAACUCCAGAGCCCCAAGUCUUUCCAAUUGCACCAGAAUAUCUUCUUCCAACUUAGGACCCCUGAAUCUGCAAUUGUCUCCUCCAACACAUCAAGAUUUUUCAUCAGUAAACCAAAAUGUAAUGCUUUAGUAUUCCGUAAACUUGCAAGAUAUAUUGAAUUGUUAUUCUCUCUCGAGCUUGAGAUAUCAUUGUGAGCCAUAUUGCAUGAACCAUGGUAGGACCAUCUGCUAACUGCAUCCUGGAUGAACAGUUACACAUAAGCAUCACAAGUUAAAGUCGGGAGACAGGGAAAAGAAUGGAGAAUAUGAAACUUGAGUAUGUUACGCUGAGAACUCAGCAAUUAUUGAAAAGGGAAAGAAACCUCCAUGUCUUCUGUUUCUGAGUUAUCAUUCUCACGGGCUUGCGUGGCUGACGAACACAUCUUGACUCUCAUUGGAUCACUUAACCAGGUUGUAGUAUCGCCGUAGGCAACAGAAAAGGAAGACAUUUUUGCUGACUCAUAAACGGCCUCCCAGCCUUUAACUGCACCAUUUUAAGAGUAGGUGAACUAUUUAACAACUUCUGCAUGGGACAGAGUUAUAAAAGAAAACAAGAACAAGUAAAUUUCAUGCAAGCUAAACACAACUAGGCUAGAAAUCCACCUGAAAGAAUAACAAACAUAGAUGAUAAAACAACACAUGCAAAUACUUCAAACCAGAAAUUGCACAUGAUUUCCUGUCAAGAUGAACAUUUAUAUGAUAUAUGUCUAUAGCAACUACUACAAAUUCAAUUUCCCAAGAGCUUGUGAAAAGACUAAAAAUUCAUUAGUAAAACGGUGCAAAACUCCAAAGGUACUUAUAAAAUAACUAACAAGAUACUAUUUCCCAACAAAUUAUGCGUAGCCUUAGAAGCACAAGAUUGACCAAUAUCAAUCACCAGAUACGUUCGGUUCCCUUCAAAAUAUUGUCCACCUAUGAAACUAUGAGUCUUGACUGUGGACAUCCAGAAAUUAUGAUGAUAGGAAAAGUGAGAAAAUAAUUGCUAUUAAAAGACAUGAAAAUGAAAUGGAAUCCUUCUUAUUUUUCAAAGAACUAAUAGGAAAACAUUACAGAGAAACAAAUUGCAGUUAACUUGAUACAACUGGGCCCCAAUUUUUUUCCCCUUUUAAAUGUUGCUUUUCGCUCCUCGAAUACUUAAGACAAAAACGUUGCUGAUAUUGUAAUUCAAAAGGGUACUGGUUUGAUAGUUAAGUUAGUAAGGUGACAUUGGAACUAUUACUUGCUGUUGCAAGGCUGCUGCCCGCUUCGCUCAUGAAAGAUUUUUUUCCACAAAAAGCAAGAUACUUGUCCAGAGGUAAUGUUAAUUGCACAGCAACUGAUAAGAAGGGAAACAGUUUUAACAACUAAUAGGAAGCAAACAAUGAUCAAAUGUUAUACAAUAAAAUAUCCAAUGCCUCAAAAAACUGUAGUAAUGGAAGUAUGCUACCUUAAAGAAUUUCAGUGCACACAAAUGGCAUGAAGGUCCUAUAGGAAACUAUUUACGAAUAAAGAGCAUGACCCCGCCAUAUUAAUCUUCUAGGGCCUGAACUGCUCAAAUUUCUCCCCUGAACUAUUUGUGUCUACGCUACAACCAGAAUAGUCCUAAGAAUGAUCAAAGGCGCUUACUUGAAACCUACACCCUCUUCCAGGCCCAUCACACUUACAAGGAACACAAAAAACAAGAACUGGACCUUCAAGCAAAUUAUCUAGCUGCCUCCCAUUCUGUUCUUGGAUCCUUCUUAUUUGCAGGUCAUUUGCAACAAAUUAUCUCUGUGAUAUACGUCAAACCACAUCAAAUGCCUGACUAAUCUUGCAGCACCCGACCUUCUCUAACAAUUGUAUUUUGUCGAAACCACUCCCCAGUCCCGAGCACCCAAGCGACACUAAAAUUGUUUUGAGAUUACUUUAUCAGCAAUAAGAAUUUUGGUGGAAAUUGCAAGCUUACCUACUCUAAAUCUGCAAUAAGGACCCAAUAAACCGCUGAAUAAUAGACGUUUUCUCCUUUACUAUCUUGCACCAAGGACAAUAGAUUACUAAAAAUGGCAAACUUUGUGUGCAUAGGAAAAACUCUUAUUCCCAGUUUUUCACAGGAGCAAUCCAGAAUACUAGUCGACGUGAUACUCAGCUCCAUGAAUAACCAGUUUCAGAAUAGACCCUUUAUCACUAAGAGCAGGUAAGUGCUACUACAAGAAGCAAAUGGAAAAACAGGAAAUAAAAAAUACUGUGUUUUCUCUGCAGCCAAAGUUAAAAGAACCCACGUGAAUUUGAGGAGGGCCAAGAUGAUGUCUUGGGUGGAAAAGGAAAGCUGGAUUGAGAAACCCCAUUUCGGAGUCAGCCUAAAACCCAUACCACGAGUGUACUCGAAUCCCAGAAAGAAGGAGAAUGGUGCCCAUUAAAUCUCAUGGCGGUUGGAAGUUAAGGUGAGAGUCGGUGGAUGCACAUUGCACAAGUCGUGUCAGCUCUCAGCCACUGGUUCCCCAUCUCAAGCCAGAGGUCAAGAGGUUCGAGUCCGAACUUUGAAUAUCUCCCGAGCCGUAAGUAGAAACUAGAAUUCUAACCUUUUUCACCAAUGUAUGCUGCAAUACUUCCCAACCAAAGCUUAAAAUGGUUAGUGAGAAACUUUGCAAAUCUUACCUUUGACAUCAAAUGGACCAUCCAAUGGGCUUUAGAAAAAUCAAUAGCUGCCUUAACUGAUUCUUAUUUCCUAAUUGGAAGAUAGAUCAGCGUCAAUUGUGAUGCCUUUGAUUUUUGUCCCUGCACUGCAGGUAAACAUACAUUUUUCUUGUUACUACUUGUAAAUAAUUGGACUGUUGGCUGAGUACUUCCUUUCCCAACAAAACCAAGGAAGCUAAGGGUGCAGCCAGCAGAAAUCUCGCAUUAUUGAACUUUUCACCAAAUGGAGCCAAACUUGCUGAAAAGAAUUUAGCCCAAAGUAGAGAUCUUGCAUUCAAGGAUAAGUAUUACUGCAUCCUAGCCCAACUUUAACAGCGCCAUGCAGCCUUGGACUAAUACCUUUCAAACCUACGAGUCUUCUCCACACUUUUUUGUUGGACUUGUAUCGGUUGUGGGCGCCAAUCCUAACAAGUCUAUGGGCUGUUUACAUGCAAGCCCUUGACAAACUUUCAUGUCUCCCUUGCUAAAACUGAAAGAAUAAAUUUUAUGUACACUGAGUGAGUGAGUGAAUGAGAGUGUGCAUACAAUAUUUCAAUUGGAUCCACAAUACAUACGUAAAAUUUAAAUUUAGAUUAUAUAUCAUGCAUCCAAUAAUAAAAGUGCAUAUAUAGUUAGUGUAUAAAAAAUUAAUUCAAAAUAAAAAUAUAAAAAUUUAAAGAUUUUAGAUUCCUUUAAAUCUUCGGAUUUUAAGAAAUCUAUAUAUAUAUAUAUAUAUAUAUAUAUAUAUCCCCUCCCUUCUCUCCCCUCUGUAUAUAUUUCCUGACAGUGAAUAUAUACUAUUAUCGUUAGAUUCAUGGCGCAUUCGUAAAAGUUAAAAUUUUAAAUUUUGUAUAAUUAUUAUUCAUCUAAAAAAAAUAGUGUAUAUGCUCUCAAUGUAGUAAAGAUUAAUUCUAUAUAUGUUGUAGUAAUUUAAUUUAUAUGAGAUAAAAAAAUAAUUUAAAAAUAUAAAUAAAAAAUUUUUUGGAAGAAAAAUGAAAUCCAAACAAGGCCCAAGCCGCCGGUCCGGUUGUGGUUUGUGGUUGUGGAUAAGCAUAAACGUGAGAUGGGUAAAGUGAAAGCAAAAGCAAAGCUAGGAAGAAGAACAAAAGAAGAGUCAAAAUCAUGAGGAUCUCAGGACCCCCCGUGGGCCCCCACUCAAACCCAAGCCAUAUCCGAAAACUCCACUCCACGCGUUGACACGUCGCCCUCACGCUCAUUAAACAGGGCAGCUGACUAUGCCACCAACCACGUGUACCCACCCAUUGACUAUGGUGCUCCCCUUGCACGUGACCGGAUGCCACGUCGGAUCCGUACGGAUAUUUUUUGUGGUCGCCCAAAACCAAAGGAUCAUCAUGUGGCUUUUCAUAUUUUGUUUGUUAUGUCGUAACAACUUUUUUUUUUUUUUUUCCCGGAAGCCAUAGAUGAAUUUUACAAAUGAUCGAGACUUUAUAAUAUUUGAGCACCGGCCCAAUUAGUUAUAUAAAAUGUACCAUGACGGAGUAACAAAAAUUCUCUCCUUAUCUAUAAUUAUACUUAGAGCAUAAAGUCUAAUUCGAUUACAUAGUUAUGUCGUAAUAACAACUUUGGUCCUUUUUGUUCUUCAAGAUUUGUUGUCAGUGGGUGCUUCAUAAGCAUUAGUGGUUCUUAUUGUAUUGCAGAUUUGUUUGUCUUGGUUUUUAUGAUUUUUUAGAUUCAGAUAGUAAUUUUGGUUGUUUGAUCUUUCUCACCAAAUGGUAUGGUGAAAUUAAUCUUUGUCAAUUGUUUCGUUAAUUUACUUUUUUAUGUUUUUUUUUUUUACUUUCUUCUGUUUCAAAUAAAUCAAAUUAAAAAUAUUCAGGUACUAUACCUUUUUAUGGAAUGGUUUUGUGCUUUGACCAACAAAAUUACAACCUUGUUUGGUAGAUAAGUUUUUUGUCAAGUUUAUCUGCUAUAAGUUUUUUAAAAACUUUAACUACGGUAAUCUCAAAAAACUUAUCAAAAUUUUUAAAAUAUACACUUCAAAAUAUUCAGAAAAAACACACUUCAAAAAUUUUUUAAAAAACUUCUGCAAUAAGUUACAGUAAAAUUUUAGACAGACACAAAAAAAACUCACUUGCCAAAUAGGACCUACAAGAAACCUUGUACGAUAGCAUGGUUCAAACUUGUGUUUGUGAACACAUACACACCUUUAAUUAUUAUUGCAUGAACUACUUUAAUCUUUAUCUACGAUUAUAGGAAUUAAUUGUCUGUAUAUUGUAAGUGUAUAUGUUAUCACUAUUAUAUAUGUUCAUAAGCAUACGUGUGUAUAUCUUAAAAUUUAAAUUUUAUGUAUUUAUCAAGCAUCUAAUUACGAUAAUAUAUUCACUCAAAGUGUAUAUAAAAUUAAAUGAAACAUUCACUCUUCCAAAAAAGUUGCCCAUUUUAAUUAAUAAGAAUUUAUUGUUUAAUAUACUGUCAGUAUAUAUAAAAAUUUACUUAUAAGAAUAUAAUUGAUCUUUUUAUGAACCAACAGUAUAUAAAUUAUCAAGCUUGAAAAAAUGCAUCAUUUUUCACGUUGGGGCUUGCAAAAUUGCUAUUAUACGCUUUAAACUUUCACGUUCAAAUCGGAUCACUCGUCACCUCAACCAUAGCAUGAGAUGGUAACAUGUUUGAGUAGGGUGAGGAAAAGUGUACGACAAUUAAAUCAACUUUUAGUCAAGCAGUACAAAGGAAACAGGAAGUACUUUUUGCAACUUGGCAUUUUGCUUAAGAGUGUGAUAAUAAAUUGGGUGUCAAGAUUUAGUGGUCGUGUUUAAGGUUGUUGUUUAUUAAUUGGCUAUCAAGAUUUAGUGGUUGUGUCGAAUCGCUUUAGAGGUAUUUCUUUUGACUUUAAGUUUUAAGGAUAAUGCAAUUCAUUUUUUUAACUUCGUGAAUAAAAAUUUGAAUUAAUUUUUUAUGCAUUAACAAUCUACAAAUUAUUAUUGCUGGAUACAUGAUAAUUAAUUUAAAUUAAAAUUUAAAUGUUUUUUGGUGCUUUAGAUGGCCACGGCCUGUUACCUAGAAACCCCAUGAUAUCAGCUGCUAAAAUUGGUCUAAAGCUCUGUACUGGACCUUCAAUCCAAGUGACUCCAGCUCGUCUUCGGGCUUUCCUUUGCGAGGAAGUCUGUGCACAUAUUUCCUUCCCGCCAAGAUUUCCCUUUGUUAUUUCAACUGCAACACGUUAACGUCUUUGCCUUUUAAUUCAAUGUAAAUCUAUUGUCGAUUGUGAAUAGUUUGCCACAUUGUUAUUGUUGUUGUAAAUAGUUUCUCGCCCCUCUUUAUAUCAUUCUCAUCUCCAACUAUAUGACACAUGAUUCGAACCUUAAAUCUAAGAACAAAAGAGAGUCUAAGGGUGUGUUUGAUGAAAUUGAAAUUUAAAAUAUGAAUUUAUUAAGUUAUUAAAUUAUUAAGUACUAAAUAUGAUACAUUUUUACUGUCAUUUGAGAUAUCUUUUCUUUUUUUUUUUUUUUUUUGUCGGAGACGAUAAACCUAAUUUAUCCUACACUAAGGGGAAGGGGGCGAGCCUAAGGAGGUUCAGGAAUAAGUCGGAGGGGACUGAACCACCAUCGGACUAGAUGGGUGCACAGCACACCCGUCUGAAUUUUUUGAAGACAAGCCAUAGAAAUGUGACAUUUUUUAUAGGAGGCAAGGUUUCGAACUUUGUCUCCCAUCCCACCAAGUAGGAGGUGCCCAUUGAGCCAAAGACGGGUGCAAAGCACACCCGCCUUGAGAUAUCUUCUCAAUGUCUACGAAUUUGUAUAGUUUGUCACAACUAACAUUGAGUUGAGAUCCUCUUUAGUUUUUUUUUUGGUAUUAUUUCUUUCAUAAAGAAGAGUCAAGGGAGUGACAUUACUUUAAGUUAGUUUAGCUCUAAGAACAAAUCGAGGGACUAAUUUAGUUAAAUUAAUUCGCAAAAAGGUUAUGCAAUUGACUGCAUUUGAAUCAAUUUUAAAACUAAUGAGGGGGAUUGAUGUUGUAGCUUUUGUAACAAUAGGGGUGCAAAGUGGGAUAGGGAGAUAGUUGAUGGGGGUUUACAAUAUUUUACCUUAAAAAAGGCAGUGAAAUUGCCAUUAUAAAUUUUGGAGCUAAAUUGGCAAAGGGCAAAAAUAAAAAAUAAAAAGCCGUGAAAAAGAGAGUUGCAGAAGAUGCGAGCAGCAGAAGAGGGAACUCCCCCAAACAGGGAGAGUUAACAGAGUAGUGACGGAAAAGUAAACGACCAAACCAAAUCCCAGAACCCCCGCCUAAAUCCCUAACCUUCGAAGAAGAAAGAAGAAGUAGAAACCCCAAAACACUGAACAAAGGAACAAUGGUAUACUUUUCUGGUUUCACCAUUCGUUUUCUUCAGUUUUUUUCUCCCGACAAUGGAAAUUCUGCGUUUCUAGUUUCUCAAGAUUUUUUUUUUGAAUUUUUGGAAUUUCAGUUUUCAAUUGCAGCAAUUAACGAUACAGACUCGAAAAAGCAGUGGGAACCUCUUGCUCCCACUAAAGAAGCCCAGGUAAGAUUUUACUUCCUACUAUGUCCUUCCAUUCAGCUAUUGUUGUCAUCUUAAAAUUUACUUUAUGGGGUUCAGUGUUGUUGUUGUUGUUUUUUUUGGUUCUUUACAGUUUGAAAUAUUGCAGAUUCUUAGUCAGUCUUGGUGGUAUGGCUACGAUAUGCAAUAUGUUUACUGUUUAGGUAGUUUUUUGUGGGCAUAGUGGGAGCUAAACGUAAUCAAUCAAGAACAAAGAAAAAAGUGCAACUGAAACCCUUUCCGCAUUCUAUUAACAAGAACUGAAGUGGGAUCUCGAUGUUCAAAAAGCUUGUAAUCCCUCGUUCUCUAUUUCAGUCGGUUUUGGCCAGUUCACCUGUUUGGUUUCUGUUUAUGAUAGAAAGAAGUCGCAAUACGCGUGCAUACACGCAAAAGCUGUUGUUCACUCUUUGGGAGCUGGUUUUGAGUUGCGAGGACAAAUGAUGAGAUUCAACUGUCUUAUGGUGGUUUAUGGGCGUUUUGGUGGUUGAGGGUGGAGGAAAUGAUAGUGCAUUGGUGUGCCAGUGGUAGAGUUUUGAUUUGGUUCAGGAAACCUGUUUUGCCAUGGAUAGGGCUGACUUGUAUUUGAUUGUAAACAACUAUCUAGCUUGACCUUGAUAUUGAGAAUUUUGGAUUUGAUUGGGCUGUUAUUAGGCAUCUUUUUGGUCCAUUUUAUGCUCAACUGGGUUUUAGGUGGCUCAUUGAGUGGGUUAACAUUUGGAAUUUGGAGGUGAUUUGGCAUAGGAAGUGGUAUAGUUGCCAAAUCACAGAUUACUAACAUAGAAGAGGGCUUGGGAAGAGGUAUUUGAAUAGUCGAGGUGGGAAGAGUAGAUACAGAUUUUGAAAUGUAAAGUCCUAGGAAAUUAGGAAGGUCUUGGAAAAAAACUUUAUGCUGUUUCAUCCUUGGUGUGCUAGAGGCAGUUUUUGGGUGUCAUUAAACGUAAGGAAAUCAGAUAGCUCGGAUGAGAAUCAAGGAAAAAUAUUGCAUCUGAAUUCUUUGCAUGUUAAGGAGGCUGGAAUUCUAUUCUAACUGCGUAGUUGAGGCAGCCUUUUAUGAGCAAAUCUCUUGUUGGCUGUGAUUGUGUUCGUAAUUCAUGUGCUUUGAUUGCUUGUUCUAGCAUUGUCAUGGUUAACAGGUGCCUCUUUACUUCAAAACAAGAUAAUGAAGAUUAAUUGUGGUCAGUUUAUGCUUACCACCUUACUAGCAACACUUUUUCCAUCUCAAGUUUAUCCUAUGGCUAGUCUGCGAAUAGCAGUUUCUUCAAUCCGUGAAUAUUUAAGUUUCUACUGAGAAGUCGUCUAUAAAAGUUUUACUUUGCACCACUUUUGGUCCUAAUCGUUUUGCCCUUAAUUCUUUUGCCCCAGUAAGCUAAAUCAGAAUUCUUAAAUAUGCAGUACACGAAAAAUUUCAAGCACUGACCCACCUACUAUCUGCAUGCUUGGAGAUACUAAUAUUUACAACAAGACAACUGAUGAUAUCUAAAGAAGGACAGAAAUUUGAAUUCCAGGAGAUAAUACCAUAGCAGAAACCAAGAGCAUAGUUUAACAGUCCGAUAGCAAUUUGAUAGAGCACUGAGUAGAAAGAGUGACAUACUAAUUGUUUGUUAAAUAAACAAGUAGGAUGAUGAUAAAUAAGACAACAUGAAAUGACCUGGGCUAGUACAUGCUUAAGUGUGGUUGCAUCGAGAACGCACACUAAUAUAAAGUUGAACAGGAAAAAUGACUAUUAUAGCUUCUAUAGCAAGCACAGUAGCAAUGAGUUGUUUAUGGAGUAGAAUUCAAAAUUAAUCUCAUUUUCUUGAUAUUUUAUGAACAACAUUUUCCAAAUGGGAAGAUAUCCAAAUUUUUAUGAUGCUUCACCUACCAUCUGUUUAAAUGUUUAUGUGCAUAGCUAUUUUUGGAUAAAUUGACUUGUAUGAUUUCAGGAAUUUCAUCUAUCACAAAUUUAUCAUGAAGGGCUUGCAAAAUUGCAAGCUAAAGACUACAAAAAGGCUCGUGAACUUUUGGAGUCUGUUCUAAAAGAUCCUAUGGUAUCAAGUGCUCAGGUAGUUUAUGUUCUUUGUUAACUUCUUGGUGUUUCAAAAUUUUAUUGCUUCAUCUAUUUGAUCCUUGCUCACUCCAUUUCUUAUCUUGUAGGUGGACAAUAAUGUUAGUGAUGGUCAUCUUUUACAGCUCAGGUUUGGGUUGAAGCAAAAUUCUUAGAAACAGAUGUUUUACUUAUUGUCUUUUUAAUUUUUGACUUAUGCACUCACAGUUCAUGAAGUUGCUUUCUUAAUAAUGUCCAUGGCAUGCUAUGGGUGAAUGUUAGUGAUAUGAUUUAUAUUACCAUGUCGACUUCAGAUCAACAAUGCCUUUUCCUGUGAAAAAAUGAACACUUAGGCUCAUCUGCAAUAAAAGUCAUUUCCAAAAUGUUAGCAUCUUUUUUUUCUGGAUGUGUGUCAACAGUGAAAGAGUCGAAAGAACAAUAACUAAAUGGUGGCUUUAUUAACCGGCUUUUUUGAACCACCCUUUGGUUUUCUUUGAAGCUUGUCCAUUGAUGUUGAUGUGAAAAUUGUUUACCUUGUGAAAUUAGUCAAUGACUUUAUGCUUCCUGGCGUACAGUCUGUUGGAAAUGUGCAAUUUGACAAAUAGGGUGGUUUUUAGAAAAUUUAAGACAUUGAAAACUGAAUGGUGCUUCCAGUUCCCCCAGAUUGUAUAAAAUAUUUGAGAUCAUAAGGUUAUUGAAGUAUUUGAAUGUUAAUCUGAUUCAAAUCUUGCUUGACAUAUUUGCGGUGCAUACGCAGCUUAAGGUCAGAUAGCUGUAUGAUCAUGCGGAUGAUUUUUUGUGUGUCUGACAUGAACGAAAUAGUAUAACGAGCCUGUUUAUUUUCUGUUAACCAUCCUUCUUCUAUAUAAUUCCACCCACAUGGUUAUUAUAUUUUGCCAUGAUCAUGAUUCAUUAUGAUUUUGUUCCAUACUUUGAAGUAUAAGUAAAUACUUGUAUGGUUCACAUUCCAAAUUAUUUUGGAUUUCGUACUCAACAAAUUAAGUUUUCAGAUAAGUUGAAAUCAUAAUGGUUAAUAGAAAUCAUUUUCAACCUUUUCCUUUUCUGAAAUAGUUUACAAUUGAAAUGCCACCAUAAGGGAGUCUUACAAAAUGCUUAUAGUGUUUCUAUGUGGUAUUUUUUCACAUGGACAGUUCUUCACUUUCUUCUCCUUGGUGGCAUCUUAAGUGAUCCCGUCAUUGUAGGAUGAUCUUAAAACUAGAGAAGGGUUAGUCACAUGCUAUUCUACUUUUGCGCAUCAUGCAAAGGAUUAGGAGUAUUAUUUUCUUGGAUGGAGAGCUUUUUUUAUUGACUGGAUAAGUUCACUCCCUAUUUUGUGCAAACAACAACGGUAUCCGCUUCUUUAAAUGAAAAUUUCCCCCUCUCUGUUAUUGCCAUGAAAUAAUGUUUCAGAAAUGGAGGCACUUGGACCAAACUUUACAAUUUAUUUGAACAUCCGGGAAUUGAUGCACAUGGAAAAGAUACAACCAUCUUUUUCCAGCUAGGGAAAAGUUAAAAAGCAUUUAAAUGUGCAUAUUUUUUGGUGUUACCAAAUUGUUGUACCUGAAAUUUAAGGAGUUCUAGCCUUCAUUAACUAUUUUCCUUUAUGUACUGUGUACUGGUUUUCAUAAGAGUUCAUCCUUACAAAACAAAGUAACUAUAUAUAAGAGGCAUUAGUCGACAAUGGAACUUAAUAUGCUGUUUCUUUUCUUAUAGGUUUGUGGAACUUGUCGCCAUUGUUGUGAGGUUUGAGAUGGACAAAUUUUUGGUGUCCGUUGACCAUACAUAACUCUAAUAUUAUCUUUUCUGGAGGAGAAAAAAUCAGCACAGUAGUAAAGAUUAACAUUGAUUCUUCUUAAACAAGGGAGUAGAAUGUUUAAUUUUUUCUUUUGCAGAUUUUUGGUGCUGAAGAACCUUGCUACCGUUUUUCUUCAACAAGGUCCUACUUUUUAUGAGAAUGCUCUACAGUGCUAUCUUCAAGCUGUGGAGAUUGAUAACAAAGAUUCAGUUGUCUGGAACCAGCUAGGAACACUAUCCUGCUCAAUGGGACUUCUAAGUAUUUCGCGUUGGGCAUUUGAACAAGGACUAUUUUGCAGUCCCAACAAUUGUAAGCAUUUUGUGAGUUUUCUUGGGUAACUUCUGGGAAAUUCUGUAGUUCUCAGUAUCAUUUGCAUUCCAUGACUUAAGCAAUUUAAUAGCCAUGUAAUCAAUCCCUCAACUGUUGCUAUAAAUCAAUUCAUUUGCUUUUCUUUGACAACAUAAAUGCAGGGAAUUGCAUGGAAAAACUUUUAGAAGUUCUCAUUGCUAUUGGGGAUGAGGUUGCCUGUCUUUCUGUGGCUGAAUUAAUACUGAGGCAUUGGCCAUCUCAUUCACGUGCUUUGCAUGUCAAAACUACAAUUGAAGGGUCUGAACCCAUUCCAUUUGCUCCAAGAGGGAUAGACAGACUGGAACCAAAACAUAUCCGGUUGAAAUUUCCUGAAAAGAGAAAGGCAGAAAAUGAUGACCUGAUAGAUGGUGCCCCAUCAAAAAAGCUAAAGCAGACUAUAGAAGUUCAGCUUUCAGAACCUUCAUGGACUGCUCUUGCUGGUGAGCUUCUGCAGCUGUUAAAUUCGUUUGUUUCAGCUAGUCCUGAUCAGGAAAGAGGGCAAUAUAAAUCUGGGGAUGUUAGCUUAAGCAUACGGUUGCCUCACACUUCUGGAAGUGGCAUGGAGACCCUGGAAAGCAAAGGAUCUAUGUUGACCACAUCCAGUGAAGAUAUGCCGUUUGCUAAUUGCAAUUUUGAGAAAAAUUCUCACACUAAGGAAAAGGAAGCAAAUGUGUCUGAGGAACAACCUCAAGAAAGGCGAAGUAGUCGCAUUGAGAGGCUUAGGAGUCGUAAACCAGGGAAAGAGGAUUCAGAUUUUGGCACCACAAGGGAUCUAGCUAAAGUCAUAGUGCAAUUUCUAAGACCUUUUAUUGCAGGUGGAGGAGGUAGCGAUGACUAUACGACUGAUGCUAGUACAUCAUCUGAUUGUGCUGAAAUUGUGACCCGUUCACAGGAUUCAGAGAGUACAGAUGUGAUCAGAUUUGUGGAGAAAACUUCAGAAAAUUAUGGUGCUUACCACGUGAGUCACUUAAUUUUAGAAGAGAUUGCUAGUAGAUGCAUUUUUUUUCAGGAUUCUAAUGCUAAAUUUUUGGACUUGGAGAAGUUGACUAGGCAAUGGGGGAAGGAAAGAACUCCAGAAUGCAGUCUUUUUCUCGCAGAGCUAUAUUAUGACUUUGGGCUACGGUCUCCAGACUCAUCAACAUCUGAAUACAUGUCAGAGGCAUCAUAUCAUAUUUGUAAAGUUAUUGAAUGUGUAGCACUGGAGUGUCCCCUUCAAAGUCUUGCUGUGGCUUCACAUGAUAAUCUCUCUUCAAGGAAGAGCUUGUCGGACCCUUGUAAAAUUGCAGUUGACAACAGUCAUCCGUUGAGCAAUGACUUUCCUUUCUGGGUACGUUUUUUCUGGUUAAGUGGACGCCUUUCGAUGGUGGAUGGCAACAAAGCAAAAGCUCAAGCAGAGUUUUCUACUUCUCUGUCGCUGUUGGUCAAUAAGGAGAACAAGAAUGAGUCUACUAGUUCUAUUUGCUUGCCCCACUGCAAGGUCAUUCACAAGCUUACUGUUGAUAGGAUUCUCAGUGAAAUUAAUCUAUUAGAGGUUGACUUCUUGAUGAAGAAGACUGUACACGAAAUGAUUGGGAAAAAUAUGUAUUCAGAGUGUGUAGAUAUGCUUGUUCCCCUUUUAUUCUCUGCUAAAGAUGUCCAUCUUGAUGUGGGGAAUGUUUCCGGGCUAGAUGAAGGAUUUACCAAUGUUGAGCUAUCUGCAAUAGAUGCUUUGAUCAAGGCAUGUGAACAAGCUAUGUCAAUGGAUAUUGAGGUUUAUUUGAAGUGUCACAGAAGGAAACUACAAAUACUGAUAUCUGCCGCUGGUCUAGGAGACUAUCCUCCUUCAAUUAAAAGUCAUGGCUUGAAUGUCUUCUCUUCCUCUGAAACAGAAGCAAAGGACAGCGCAUGCAUCUACUGGAACCACGUUGUUGCUGAAGAAGUCAAGGCAAUUUCUGGAUGUACCUCACGGAUAAAGAGCAUGAUUCCAUGCGAUCAUUUGGUAGGUCAAUUCAAAAUUUCAAAGUUAAUGUUUCUAAGGCCACUGUUCAACUUUCAGAAGAUCUUAAAUUUGCUAGUUAUUCAGAUAUGGGUAAUUGUUAUAUAUGUUGUUUGUUCAUUGACGUAUCUGCUCAUGUCUAUUGAUGCACCUUUUCUGGGCAAGCUAAUAGAGGAAUUUGUCAAUAUCCCCCUGUGGUUUUAUAUUCUGUUGGUGGUACAUAUGGCUAGUAAAGCUCAUGGAACUUAUCCUACGCUCUUCUAUGCUUUGCAUAAAUCACUUUCUUGUUGAUGAGGUCAAUCUUAUGUACUAAGAGAUUAGAAAUCACUUUUAUGUGUCAUGAACUCAUGAGGUUGGCGGUCCAGUACUUCUGUGUAUCUACUGGUUUUCAAUGAAGCAUCAGGGUUCAGUUACUUUUUUCUAGAUAUGUAAUUGGAUGAACAUUUACGAAAACCUGCUACGUUAAGCAUCAGGGUUCAGUUACUUUUUCUAGAUAUGUAAUUGUGUGAACAUUUAUGAAAAUCUGCAACCUUGCAAGUUCUAAGUUAGACCAAACGCUGCUGUGCUAGGUUUGAUAAAGCCUCUGACAUUGUGUUUGAUGUUUGUUCGUUCUAAAUGAUAAAUCUAUUUGCCUCGUCACAAGCUUGGCAAUGCAAAGAAAAGUAGACUUGUUUUCUUUAUUAGUGCUUUGACCUCCAAGAAUGCCAUAAUGCUAGGCUGUCAGUAGCUUUGUUACAGCAUUUACACUUUUCUGUAAUGGCAAAUUAUUUUGCUCUGAACCAUGCUUUGGUCCAAUUAUGAUGCUUAAUAUAUCUUGUCAGACUUUUCUUCUCGCAUAAUGUAGUUUUGAGUCUUUUACUUGUUGGAGAAAAUAGAAGGUUUGUGCAGUUUUUAUUUAUUUUUGGACAAGUUGGAUAUAAUCGAUGCCAUUACAUCGCUAUAUUCAUUUACAGUGAGUGAUAAUUUGGGUUUCUUGCAGAAUGGUGUUAUAGGUCCAAUGAAAGUUAUCAAGGAUAUCCAGUCUAUCUUGCUAGUACUUAUGUGCAAUGUUGCAAAUAAGUACCUUUGUAAGAAAUCAUCUGGACUUGGGAUUUCAGACGAAAAUUUGCAGGGACAGAUAUGCUACUUUGUAGAUGCAGCUAUUGCAUUCUGUAAACUCCAGCACCUUAGCCCUACUGUUCCUAUCAAAACUCAGGUGUGGCAUAAAUCCUGUUUUUUGAAAAUGUUAACUCUUACUUCUCAUGGCCCCAUAUAUUGCUUUAAGUUUUUUGAUGUCAUAUUAUGAAUUUAUUUCAUGUUAAUAUAGAGAAUUGGCAUAUAUUUUGUUAUCAGACAGAGUUGAUUGUUGCUGUGCAUGACAUGCUUGCUGAGUUUGAACUCUGCUGUGCCCAUGGAAAUGAUGACGAGGAGGGGGGGACAUUUUUGAAGUUUGCCAUAAAGCACCUGUUAGCCUUGGAUAUGAAGCUUAAAUCUAAUUGUCAAAACCAAAGCAAGGCUGAGAAUCAAGUCCAAAGUUCUGGUCAGAUAUCCCCUGUUUUUCAGAUUGAUGGUUCUGUUAAUGAAGCAAAGAUUAUUGAACAGGCUACAGAUGUGGAUCAUACAGAUGAAAUCAGUACACCAGAGAAGGAUGCUACUGAAGGGAACUAUUCAGAAAGCUUUUGCACUCAGGAACGUCUAAAGAAAGAGGAGACAGGAGUAGAAUGUGAUAGAAACGUGGGUGCUAGGCCAAAUAGCGUGUUCCUUGAGAGACAAAAAGAAAAAGAAGACACUCAAUCUAUAGAAAGUGGAAAAGAAAUGACAGAGGAUGAAAGAGAAGAAUUAGAACUGGGAAUUGAUAAUGCUUUGGAUCAGUGCUUUUACUGUUUGUAUGGUUUGAAUCUUAGAUCUGACUCAUCUUAUGAAGAUGAUUUAGCCAUACACAAAAACACUAGCCGGGGAGACUAUCAGACAAAGGAACAGUGUGCUGAUGUUUUCCAAUACAUACUGCCUUAUGCCAAAGCUUCAUCAGUAAGUAAAUAAUGACCAGUCUUUUUCCUCCCUUGCAUUUCUUUUGAACUUGUGAUCAUUGUGUUAUUCAUUCAAAACUAUGUUGCUAAUUAGUUUUCUGUGUCUGUUAGCGAACCGGUCUUAUUAAAAUUCGGAGAGUACUAAGAGCUAUACGGAAGCACUUUCCGCAGCCUCCUGAUCAUGUUUUGGUGGGAAAUGCAAUAGAUAAAAUCUUAGAUGAUCCUGACUUAUGUGAAGAUAAACUGUCAGAAGAAGCUGGAUGUGAUGGCUUUCUGGAUUCAGUUAUCAAGACAGUAUUUUCUGAUCCUGGAAGCCUCAAACAACAGCAAGCAUCGUUGGUUGUUAGGUAUUGUCUCUUUACCAAUAUUUUUUAUUAUUUUAGUUUAUGGACUUGAGGAUCUUCUAUAUAACCAGUUCCAACUUGUUUGGUAUGGGCUUGUCAUUGAUUGGCAAGAAGGGACCUGGUACUUAUGAUUACUUCAGAUUUUUGGUAUAGACUGAAUAAUAUGUUCAUUAAAUGCAGCUCUGGACCUUACCAUGAUGUGUACAGCAACUUGUAUUACUUUCUAGCUUUGUCUGAAGAAAUGAGUGCAACAGAUAAAUGGGCAGGUUUUGUAUUAACCAAGGAAGGGGAAGAGUUUGUUGAGCAAAAUGCAAAACUCUUUAAGUAUGAUUUACUGUACAAUCCCCUACGCUUUGAGAGUUGGCAGCGGCUAGCAAAUAUAUAUGAUGAGGUGACUUUCCUUUGUUGUGUAAUCUUUUGGGUUGGCUUAUGCAUUGAGAAAAUAAAAAAGAACAUUAGUUCCACAUUAAACAUUCAUUUAUUGCUUUCAAAAUACUACUUGUGUGUGCAGGAGGUGGACUUACUAUUAAAUGAUGGAAGUAAGCAAAUAAAUGUUUUAGGAUGGAGGAAGAAUCCUACUUUACCUCAGAGGGUUGAAAAAAGUAGGAGGAGGAGCAGGCGAUGCUUAUUGAUGACUUUGGCUCUUGCAAAAACAGCAAUUCAACAGGUUAUGCUCCAGUUUGAUGAUGCUUGUUCAAUUUGGUGCCUUUUUUCUUGCUGCGUAUACUAGUAUAGGGAACUAGAGUGUUGAUGGCAAACAACUAUUUUCUGUUGGAGAUGUCUUCAUGAUAUGGUUUAAAGGUUUGACCUCUUUUUAUUUAUUUAUUUAUUUACGCAAGUUAUGAUCCAAAAUCAAUGAUCUCAUGGAGCUGACUAGGAAAGAUGAGAAUAUAGGUUGCAUCUUCACAGGCUUUGAACUGCUUGAUCUCCUGUGGUUGUUGAAUCUUGCUUGUGAAAUUUGUUACUAUUACAAAUCAGAAAUAGUGAAUGAGUUGGUAUUACACAUAUGUGCCUCUGCUGCUUGAUUGAAUCUUUUAGUUGUCAACUAUAUUACAUGGCUGAAGCCACUUUUAUUGCUUAUGUUGGGUUCCAGGGUGAGAUACAUGAAUUGUUAGCACUAGUGUACUACGAUGGUGUUCAGAAUGUUGUACCAUUUUAUGACCAGAGAUCUAUGAUACCCUCGAAGGAUGCAGUUUGGAUGAUGUUCUGUCAGAACUCAAUGAGACAUUUCAAGAAGGCCUUUGAGCAUAAGUAAAUAUUUUUCACUCAGGUUUUUACAGUGCUUCUGGACUUACAGCAUUAUCUGGUCUUACAUAUUAAAAUCUAUUUCUACAGGGAAGAUUGGUCUCAUGCAUUUUAUCUGGGAAAAAUAUGUGAGAAGCUUGGCUGUUCACACGACACGUCUUUGUCAUAUUAUGCUAAGGCUAUUGCCUUGAAUCCAUCAGCUGUGGAUCCAUUCUACAGGAUGCAUGCUUCACGCCUGAAGCUACUCUGCACAUGUGGGAAACAAGAUCAAGAAGCUAUGAAGGUUUUUCCUAGCUGGUUUUUCCUAGCUGUUAUCUUUGAAUUUUCUCCAAUUCUUUUCUCCACACCACAAAAAACCAUAUUCUACUCGACGGAAAGGACAAAAAUGUGCAAUAUAGAAGGAGCUGAGUACAAACUAAGCCUAGUGCAUUAAAGCCCCACGCGUCGACAUAAGCUAAUAGGAAGACUGGCAGAUAAAAUUCAUACAUACAGGCCUUUUAAAAUCGGCUUCUUCCUUACUUAUCAUGUUAUUUGAUUGAUCAACUAUUUUAUUUGUUUCUUAGUAUCAUCCCUGUGGAGUGAUACACACAAACACAUGUAUAUUUGUAUGUAUGAUGCUGAAUAGCUCUGCGUUUUCUUUAGGUUGUUGCAGCAUAUUCUUUUAUGGAGUCAACAAAGCAAACCAUAAUGAGUACUCUUGACAUAGUUGGUGGUGAAAUUUUGGAACCAUCAAUGCAUAGCGAGAAAAGAAACUUAGAUGACAACUGUGCCGGUAAUAUGGUGGAAGUUGCCAAGUUGGAAGAGGUGUGGCAUAUGCUUUACAAUGAUUGCCUUUCUGCACUUGAAAUCUGUGUUGAAGGAGAACUCAAGCAUUUUCACAAGGCCAGAUAUAUGCUCGCUCAAGGGCUGUAUAGAAGGGGGGGCAGUGGGGAUCUGGAUAAGGCAAGGGAGGAGAUUUCCUUCUGCUUUAAGUCAUCUCGUUCUUCAUUUACGAUAAACAUGUGGGAGAUUGACAGUAUGGUAAAGAAAGGAAGGUACAGCUUUCGUCUUUUUCUCAUUUCUCAAACUACUUCUCAAGGAUAUUUGAAAACAAUGUAAUUUACUUCUUUCUUUUCCUUAAUUUGGCAAGUCAAGAGAAUUUUGUUGUCACAUAAUUUUAAGCUAAUUGAAUUUUUAUAUACGCAAGAAAUUUUUACCAACAUAUAUAGGCCUAUUAGAAUAAGAAAGCAGGGACAUGUUUUUAGAUUUCUUCACUAAAUAUGACUAGCAUAAAAUUCUCUGAAAACUGAUUGGAUAUUAGCAUAAUGGAAUAGCUCAUUUUCCCUUGAAAUUUGAAGCCUUGUAUAUGAUUUUACAUACAAGUAUCUCAAUCUUGGCCAUGUGCUUCUUUGAUUUACAGGCGCAAAACACCAAGUGUUUCUGUAAAUAGGAAACCUCUGGAAGUUAACCUAGCAGAAAGUUCUAGAAAGUUUAUCACUUGCAUCAGGAAGUACAUAUUGUUCUAUCUGAAAUUAUUGGAGGAGACGGGAGAUGUCUCUACGUUGGAUCGGGCUCAUGUUUCUCUUCGCUCAGAUAAGAGGGUAUCACCAUUUGAAUGAGUUUGGAUUUUUGCCUAUUUUUUGUCAAUUUUUGAUGUGGUUAAGUGGUUUAUACAAGGUGUUCUUUUUGAGCUACAUCCUUGAUACUUCUUUUAGAUUUGAAGCAAAAUUUUUGUGUCAGAAACUCUGUGAAAUAGUAAAAUCUGUGCUAUGUGAAUAUUGGCAUAUUGUUUCAUUAUUCUUGUUUUAGUAAGUAAAUGAAAUUAGUAGUGGCUUUUGUUGUUCAUUUGAUGUCAGAUGCAUGAUCUGUCACACUACUGUUUAAAGCUGCCUAGAUGGCUUUGAAUUUUUUUUUUUAAAUUAUUUUUUUAUAGUAUAAGUGGGAGGUCUCAAAACCCAGGACCUCUCACUUACAUUCCCUCCCCCGUACCACCCAACCCAUCCCUCUCCGUUGGCUUUGAAAGUUGUUUACUCUGGGAAGAAAUUGUCAUGUCAAAGCAUUGAAAAGAAAAAUUUGUCUUGAAAAAGUUAUUCCCGAGUAUUUAGGAGGAAACCAUAAGGUCUAAGCAAAUAAGAAAGCUUCAAAACUGUUUUUAGGCAAAAUCAACAACAGAGAACAGGUCCAUACGCAUGGGACAAUCAAACAAAUAAGCACGAAUGAGAUGCGGCCACAUAUUCAUCAUGCUUGAGCAAUGUGAGGAGAAAAGGACAGUUAUGAAAUUAUGUUCUACCUUGCAAAGUAUGUUUGUUAGUUACACAAUCUAAACUUAAUAAGCCUUUUUACUUGUCUUUUUCUCUUAAUUUGAAAGAUUAAAAGGUCAAAGAAAGAUUGAGAAACAAUCUUCUUAGACAUGGAACUAGUGUUUAUAAUUUUGCAUGAUCUGGGUGAUAUUUGUUGUUACUAGUUUCAGAUCAGAUUUCUUUACAAUAAAUGAUAAUCUAAACUUAAUAAGCCUUUUUACUUGUCUUUUUCUCUUGAUUUGAAAGAUUAAAAGGUCAAAGAAAGAUUGAGAAACAAUCUUCUUAGACAUGGAACUAGUGUUUAUAAUUUUGCAUGAUCUGGGUGAUAUUUGUUGUUACUAGUUUCAGAUCAGAUUUCUUUACAAUAAAUGAUGAUCGUCAUUUGUCAUAGAAACACUUUGUGUUGGUGGGAUCAUAUUUAUCUUAUUUGAUUUUCAAUUCAGUUCUCUCCAUGCCUUGAGGAUAUUGUUCCGGUUGCCAUCGGGAGGUACAUCAAGACCUUAAUUUUGUCCAUCCAGCAAUCUCUCUCGUGCUCUGAUCCUACUCGUGGUGCUAUUGAACAUCUUCUGGAGAAAUUAUUUUCUCUGUUUUUAGACCAGGUCAACUUAUGGUCAGACAUAUGCAACUUGCCUGAGAUUAAGACCCCAGAAUUGACGGAGAGCUAUUUAUAUGGGUAACUUCUGUAUGAACUUUACUUUGUGUUGUGACUUUAAUAUAAUACUUUGCUUUAACAGUCUAGAUGCCUUGUUGAUUUCUGCUGGUUACUUUCAUAAAUCUAACUCAACUUCAUCCUUGUGACACCUAUCUUGACUGGUGAAAUCAAUGUACUUACACAGAUUUUGUGUUUGGCCUUUGGUGCAGAUAUCUGUAUCAAUACAUCCAAUGCUUAGAGAGAAGUGUCAAGGUAGAAGCACUUGAAGGAAUAAAUGAGAAAAUUAGGAAGCGUUUGAAGAACCCAAAGUUGUCUAAUAGCAACUGUGCUAAAGUUUAUAAGAUCGUUUCUGUUGCUUGGUGUCGGUCUCUUGUUAUUAGCAUGGCUUUAAUAACACCAUUGCACUCAAGAAUUCCAAGCGAGAUCCAUGUUCCAGGUUCAUUAGGUAGUGGACUAGAAAAUAUACAGUUGCUCUGUGUAGAUUUGCAAUCAGAUGAAUUGUGGAGUUCAUCGUCUGAUGACCUAGAGCAUCUGAAGUGUCUUGAAACCAAAUGGAAUCCUUCGUUGUCUAAGAUCAAGAAUGUGAUAGUUAAGAGGGUAUCAGAUGAAGACUUGGAGACUGCUGCUAUUUUGCUCAGAUCUUCCUAUAACUUUUACAAGGAUACCUCUUGUGCAUUGCUCCCAUCUGGCAUAAAUCUUUAUACGGUGCCAUCUCAGUUAGCAACGGAGACAUAUGUCCAGCCAGGUAUAGAUGGCGUGGACAUACUUGACAUGAACACUUCAAGGAAGCUUCUUUUGUGGGCCUACACACUUUUGCAUGGAUAUUGUCCAAACCUUUCAGUCGUCAUUAAGUACUGUGAAGAAAAUGUUAAGGUAUGCAAGUAGAUUAUAGUUUUUAUGUCAGCAUCAUAGAUUUGCCAGUCAAAUGGUGAUUAUCUCAGUGAAAAGAGUAUGCAGAAAAAGCUUGUUGGAUGUGGAUAGAAUGCAGGAGGGAAAAGGAGGAACUUUCAUGAGUCUCAUUCUUUCUAAAAUAGCAGAGAAGAUCUCUGGGCUAGCUGGUUUGUAAAAUGUGUUUGGUUGACUAGAAAGGUUCUUCUCUUUUUUCACUUACCGCAUUACCCAAUUUCCGCAAAUUCCUUCCUCUCCAAGAACCACCACCAACCAAACCCCACCUCUCCCAAAAAAAAAAAAAGAAGCCCUUUUUCAAGGUAAGUUAUCUUACCUUUUAAAAACACAUUGAUUUUUAAACCUCCCCCUUUCCUUCAGAAUGUGGUAGGCGUUGAACUCUGCAAACUGACCCUGCCUCUCCCCCAAAAGAAAAGAAAAAAUGUUUUCAACGUAAGUUAGCUUGCCUUUCAAAAACCCAUUGAUUUUUGAACCUCCCCCUUUCCUUCAGAAUGUUGUAGGCAUUGAAGAAUGUGUGUGGCAAUUUGGAGUUGAGUCCCAUUUUAUCUUUUAUUUUGUCACGCUAACUUUGGGGGUCCUGUAGGAUAUCCUGUCUGAGAAGUAAAACAUAAAAAUAAAACAGAUUUGAGAAGGGUGAAGGUGGGAAAAGGAAAAACAAUUGCUUUGUUGGUGGCACCAGACUGAUCCAGUAUCGAUUUGUAGUGUGAAAAGAAGCAUUUCAGGGUGUUCUUUACCGAAUUUUCAGCAAAAAGUUGGAUAGUAUCAUUACAAGCUUGUGGAGCUUAUAGUUGUUGCAUUCUGGUUGUGAUUGCAGGUGAAGAUGAAAAAGGGGACUGGAACUCCAUUGACGCCUUCAAAUACAAAUGUUCCCUCGGGCUCAGCAUCUAAUACAGGUAUCUAUAAGCUCAUUAAGGGAAACUCUUAUACAUGUGUACUGAAUGAUGCUAAUUGGACUCGUAUACUUACAACUGUCUUGUAGGGGGUGGCAAAGAUGGAACUGGUAAAAGCAAUGAAGUCGAUACUUCCUCUAUCUCUUCUGCUACUGCUGCUUCCUUGCCUGAAAUAGAUACAACAACUAAAAUGGCAUCUUCUCCAUUACCUGAAAAGCUGGAGCCGAGCAAUGUUGCAUCUGCUUCUUUGCAGGGAACGGAGGCAUGUAAUUUGGCAUCCGUAUCUCCGACUGAAACAAAGAUUAUCUGCAGUGUAUCAUCUACAUCUAUGCCUGAUAGUGGGAGCACAAAUUUGCCAAAUGUUGUAUCAUCCAAUGAGAAUCAAGGGUUUCUAUCAGCUACUUCUGAUCUUCUCGAUUGUAACGUUGUUCCCACAGAAAUGAGCCGUGUGGAUAUAGAAGGUGCCUCAGAUCUGACUUCUGAGCAAUGAUUGAUUUCUCACGGGGCGGACAAAUUUUGGCCAAUUUUACGUCUGAUAACAUGAAAAUGAUUCAUUUUGGUGUAUAUAAUUUGUCUGUAGGGAAGAAAUGGGAACUGGUAAAAGGCAACAGCUUGUGAAUAUUGAUAGUAGUGUCUCUAGUGAGUUUCUUAUGUGCCCUUGUACAGCUGCAAUAAAAAGUUUCAUUGGGGUACUUCCCGGUUGAUGGUCGCAUGUUAUACAGACGCUGAUUUAAUUGUGCAUUUUCCUGCUUCUAUCUAGCAGAUGUUUAUAUUGAUAAUAAACAUUUACAUGCCCAUUGCAAACCCGAUUGCUGGAAAUUUGCUAGUAAUUUUGGAUCUGAAGUUUUCCAGGUGAAGGUGCCCACGUACAUUGGAAGGCUAAACUCAUUUGCAUGGUGCUGAUUUGAGCCAAUAAGCGGCUUUGAAGCAACAAGUAAAACACAGAAGUUGGGUAAGACAACUUGUUUUCUUUCAUGGUGAGGUUUCCUUAGGCAAACAACUACCCAACUUUGCCCAAAAGUACCACUAAAGUAGUAAAAUAGAUUGCACAAUUUUUGUAAAAUAUCCUCUGGCAUUAACAUUUCUUUUCACUCUCUGACCAAAAUUUCAUUACGAUGAUACUUUAUUAUGCAAAAUGGUACUAUAAAUCAUUAAAAUUCUAUGUAGAAGAAUUAACCGAUAGCAUGAGUUUGCUUUUCUUAUGUGGGUGUAAAUUAAUCCUUGAAUAUACAGAAAGGAAAUCUCUGUCAUUAAAAUUCUAUGUACAAAAAUUAAUCGAGAGUGCUUCUUACGUGAGUGUAAAUUAAUCCUUGAAUAUAUAGAAAGGAAAUCUAUUACUUAGAAAUGUUGUAAUUUACCGUCACCUUUAUAAGUAGAUUCAUGUAAAAAAUUAUCUAACAAAACUAAAUAUAUAAAGCUACAAAGUUAUCUCAGCUGUGAAACGGGCCAUCGGUAAUUGGACUCCAACCUCCGAAUCAGGCCAACGUCCGCCAAAACAGCCCCGAUAGACGUCUACCUAAAACAGGAACUUGCAGAGUUGAAGCUGUAAUUUUCUCGCUUUUUCAGUAAUCUGCAAAAAAUGGGAAGCAGAGCUUUCAUGGUUUUGCUAAGUCACAGAGGAGCAUACAUUAAUCCUUCUGCUAAUGCUGCCCAACUUUUCUUGACUUUCGGGCAAAGCCCAUUUUCUCCUGUGAAGAAGAAAUGUCUUGUAGAACGCAGGAAUCAUAGGACAAGCCACAACUUCUCCACCGCAGCAAACUCUAGCCUUGAGCCCCCUAAUCUUCCUCGUUUGGCUGAAACUGCUCGAAUUUCCCUCACCCCAGAUGAAGUAUUACUACUAUAUAUUGCCCUUUUCUUCCUUGUCUUCAUAUCCAUGUGUACUCGUAUAAUUGAUGACUUCGAAGUCCGUGUUUUUUCUUUAAGCAGAGUUGCAAAGGUAUAUUUUUGGAUUGUAAUCUUUAUUUUUCCCCUUCCCUUGUUGGGUGUUUACAGGUGGAAGAAUUUGCUCCUAAAAUGAAACAAGUGGUUGAUUGGUAAUGUAUCUUCUUUCUUUCUUUCUUUGGCUGUCUCCCUUUCUUAUAACUAAUAACAUAUGCAUGUAUGAUUGAAAUGUGGGAGUUUGCUGAAGAGCCUUAUAUUUAUCAUUUGUUUGCGGAACUUAAAAAUUGAAGUUUUAUGAAUACUGAUCAUAGUUUUAGGCUUCUACACUUGAAUGUCAGCCUGACUGGUGUAGUUUUGAUUUUCCCUGUGAACUUUUGUGUAUUGGUUUGCUCUAAAAUCUGAUAUGAAAUGACAUAAAAAAAAAUUGAUAUAAGUGUUUGUAAUUUACAAAAUCAGAGAUGUGGGUUUUGUUCCAAAUACAAUGCUCUUUUAUAGUAUGGUCUUGGACUGGAGUAUUUUAUCUAUGCUUCUUCAUCAUAAUUUGAGUGAAUCAAAUUAGUUUACAGACUGAUUUGCUGAAACUCGUGUAGUUCUUAGUAGCAUUCAAAUGCAGUCUAGAAGCAAGUUUUGGAUCCAGAAAGGAUCAUUCGACUGAUCUCCCUGAAUUUUUUUCACCGACAUGAAGUUGUUUUUAUAAAUCUGAUGUCAUAAAAGGGUAGUUUCAGGGUAUGAGCUAUGUUGAUGAUUGUCUCUGUGGGAUUGGUAUAGUUUUUCCUUUGUAACUAGACAGGCCAUUGCUUUGUUCUAAUUUUUAAAGGCUUUCUUGUAAUUGGAUGAUUCUUUAUGAAACAGGUUUGGGCAACUCCAAGCUAUUGAUCUUGAAAGUAUUGAGCCAGCAAUGCGAGCAGGUACUUGACAGUUUUGAAUGAAAAUCUUUAUUUGGUAGCUAGUCUAUAGUUGAAACGCUUGAUAAGGCUUACCUUUUGGUCCAAUUUUGGAACUCUAAAAAAGAGGUCAGGCUUUCUGUAACAUUAAAGAAUGAAAGUAUUUUUUUAAUCUGCUCCUUCCUUUUUAUUUCUUUCAGGCAUUAUUGUGUCUACCUCUUGUUCUACUUGAUUUAUUUAAAAUUAUUCUCAGCAUGUUCAAUUGCUUAUCAUUGAAAAUAUCUAGCAUUAGCUGAUUUGAACCCAAAAGGUGGGAGAUUUGUCAACUUAAAGUGCAGGAGACAUCGUGCUGAUAACAUGCAAUUGGAAUUUAAAUUGGCAUGUUUUCAUAUUUUUUUCAAUGUUGCUCCACCCCAGCAACCAGAAUAUUGAUAUUGCUACUGAUGAUCCUUUCUUGCUUUGACAAUCUGUCAUAUAAGUGAAUAAGAAUAUAAGCACGAACAAGACAUGCCUUCUUGGUUUCAUCUACUGCUAUUGUCCUUUGACUGCAGAUUUUAUACUUUAGUUACAGAUUCAUUUGUUGGAAAUAUGUUGAACUGCAGAUACUGAAGAUGACAAUUCACGUGAUGAUUUACCUCAAAUUUUUGAGAAUCGGUUGGUAUCAGGAAUAUCUGUGAUCUACUACUGUUCAAAGUAGCAUUGCAUCUCUGUCUGCAAUUAUAAGAAUCAUCACUUAAUCUUAGAUGAACACACGUUCUCAACAGGGAAGCAAUAAUAAAAGCUAUGCCAAGCUAUGAGGAACCUUAUAUCAAAGUUCCAAAGGUCUUGAACAAGGAGUAGAACUCUACUGGUGUGUUUUCCUCCUCUCUUAAGUGUUACUUGAAUAUACUAAGGUUGCUUAUGAAGAACUUCUUACCUCAUCUAUGUUUAGCCUCUUUGCAUUCGCACUUUGUAUUUUCUGUUUUUAUGUUUCUAUGGUCUUGUUUUUGGUUGCUCCAUGUCAAACUUCAAAAUUUACCUCUCUUGACUCUUUUGUUUUUAGGUUAAACGGGAAUUAUGAAUGGGGUGUGAUCCCAGUCAAUUUACAUACAUAAGCUUGCAUUACUGAUUUUCAAACUUACAAGUAGCAUGAGUUACAUUCCUAGUUCUUUUUUCUUGUGUUUUUAUGAUCAUUAGCCCAUGGCAUCUUGAAUUCUUUUCUAUGGUUGACUUAUACUGGAAAUACCAGUUUGAUGUACUUGCGCCAGUUGAUUAUGUAUCUGUGUAAUCAUUUGCAUUCAGUAUAUUGACAGUUUAAGUAGUUUGGUGCAUCUUUCUAGUCUCUAGGUACCUUUAUAUCACAUACUCUUAUCCCAUCUUACUGGACAGGGUUGUGGAAUGCACCAAUUAACAAAUUAUGGGUUUGUGUUGGACAGAAUACAUGAUGAAGCUGGACUGAGCUUCUAGUUUCUGACAAGAUAGUGAAACCUGUUCGGCCUCCCCAAGUACGCAAAUCUAAAUUUUAAGGAGCUGUAAAAUCCAUUUUCUGAUUCAUAGUUCUCCCAAUAAAAUAGGGGAUUGUGCUUUGUUACAGUUUUUGUAUGUUCAGAAUAUUAUAGUACGUUUGAGUUGAAAUUAUAUUUGACUGUAAAAACAUGAGAAAAUUAUUAUGAUUGACAUGCUGCUUGAAAAGAAAUGCAACAAGGACUGAAGGAAUACAACUACAACCUAAAUUUGUGGACAAAAUUUGGACAACAAUGACAAUUUAAACUGACAACUUGCAUUCAGAUGAAGGUUUCGAGAUAAACAGUAUAAGCACAACAAAACAAACAAAAAAAAAAAAAAUCAUCAAAGCUCGGGUUUGGUUAAUUUGGAGCAACAGAUUGCCCUUUUCCUGAAAUUCUGGUCAUAAUUUCCUGUUACAAAAUAAUGCUAUACAUUCUUGCUUGACAGUUCAUCUACCUCCCUGAUAUUUGAUGUAUUGGAGUCUUAUCUUCUUCAAAGUUUCAAGAACACUUUUCAUGCAAGUCUUUCCUUGGGAGAUUCAGACACACAACGCAAGUCCAGUUCCAUGAUUGAUGAUAUGGACCUUUCGACUUUUCUGGUAUAGUUGUUCAUUUGGUUUCAACAAGUUAGCAUCUAUAACUUGAAGAAUCUCACUAGGCAUCAAACCUUUAACCCAACCCUUCAGGUUCAAAUACUCACCAAAUAUUUCACAGCAGGGCUAGUAGUAGUAGUGUUGGUUAUUCCUUCAACAUAUCACAGAGACAGGUCCGAGAGUCACUUCUUUCACUGUUGAGUGUUCUCCACCCUCAUUUGGUACAAACUUGACAACAAUGCAAACCUUCUUCUCUCCUCAAAACAUAUUCAGUACAGUGGCUGGUUGUACUCUACUUUUUGGUGCAGCAACCCAGUUAAGUGAAAGGACGAUUGCUCAAUUCUAUUCUUCUGUGCAUCUUGCUUUUAGAGAUUUUUUUUUUUUAUUUUUUGAACAUUAAAUCUAACCAUUAGCUAUCCAUCUUGUUUUCAGGAGAACUUUUUCUUUGAAUUCAAAAUCAAAUAUUUAGCAACAAGGCUAGUUAUUAUGUAUACUUUAUUAUUUCCCUCCAAUUUCAUCAAUAUCUAUACAAUAUUUAUGCUAUAUAUAAAUGGAGAGCAGUAGUGGUUGGUAUAAAUAUUUUCUGUCGUUUUUCAAACUUUCAAUUUUGCCCCUACAUUUUUUUUUACCCUAAUCACCUGAUCACAUUUCUUGACACAACCGCUCAUAACUACUCCAAGUAUUGCAACUACCAAAUAAUCUAUUUUUUAAUUGAAGAAAAAAUUACCUAUAAAUUGAAGGUUGUUAAUGAAAAAUUCGUAUAAAAUUUAUUAGUGUAAAAAUAAAAUUCACAAAGUCUAAAUUGCACACACAUUGGGCGUGCCUUUAACAUGACUAUAAAUUGAUCAAUUUUAAUAUUUCACAAUAGCCAGUUUUACAGCAAGUUGACGAAUGCAACGCCAAACAAUAGAAUAAACAAACCUUCAGACUUGGUUCUUUGGAGGUAACUUCAUCCAAACUUUGAGGAUGCUAAUUGGCUCGAGUACAACCUCGACUCCAUUUCCAUGGGCUUCACCCUUGUGCUAUGCACUAACAACCCCUACCUGUUUCUGUUGUACUGACACCUGCGAUUACUGCCAUGAUCAUACUCCAAUCAAGCUACAUCUCUGCACUUCCUGUGUUCUUAAUCUGAUCCAUAGAUUUGCAGCAUGGUACCAACGCUGUUCAAGGAAGUUGUACAGUAUCUUCAAGUGAGCAUGGAAUGAGGCAUGAUCUUACAAGUUACGGUAGGCAAAUAUGUUCGCAGGAUUCCUCACCAACAACAAACUGCUCUCAGUGACUAAAUCUCGUCCACCUCAAAGAGUACAGUAGAAAGGCUAUACAUGUAGCCGUCAGAUCUUAGAUGAUCCAUGAACUGAUCAAGCAGAUUGUAGAUUGCCCUUGAAUCUGCAUGCCUUGAAUCUGCAUGCCUUUCGUCACUCACCAUGAAUUCAUGUAUAUUGCCGCAGAUUUCAAUGGAACUAACUGCAUCAUGCUUUUUGAUACCAUUAUCAUUCAUCAAUUUUCUUAUAUUCUUCAUGUCUCCCCAUCUUUUAGCUUCAGAAUAAAUGUUUGACAUGAGCACAUAGAGCCCACAAUGACUAGCAUAUGGUUCCUGCUCCAGCAGCUGCUUUAGGACCUGCUCUGCAAUUGUGAUAUUAUGAUAAAUCCUACAAGCAUUCAAUAAAGAACUCCAAAUAACAGUGUGUGGCUUCAUUGGCAUUCUUCCUAUCAGCUUUACUGCUUCAUCCAAAAAGCCUCCACGCCCAAGAAUAUCAACCAUGCAAGCAUAAUGCUCAAUUUCACGUGGUACUCCAUACACAGAACUCAUUUUGUCAAAGUAAUACCACCCAAUGUCUGUUAGACCACUGUGACAACAAGCAGAUAAUAAGCCAAUGAAGGUGACCUUGUCAGGCCACUUUCCACCAGCUUGCAUCUCUUCAAAUAGCUGAAUGGCUUCAUGUCCAAACCCAUGAAAUGCCAGGGCUCCAAUCAUGACAUUCCAGGAGACAAUAUUCUUCUCUGGCAUCUCAUUAAAAAGAUCAAAUGCAUUUUCAAGAGAACCACAUUUUGAGAACGUAUCUAUAAGUGCAUUAUUCAAAGUAACACUAGAGUUUAUGUUGUUACAGCGGAUAUAAUCCUGAACUUUAUUCCCCAUCACCAAAUCACCAAGUUGGCAACAAGCUGAGAGAACGCUAACCAAAGUAAUCUCAUCAGGCUCCACUUUAGAGUUGCACAUUUCAAAGAAGAGAUCCAAUGCAUCCUGCAAGCAACCUUCAUGGAUACAACUUGACAUCAUUGAAUUCCAAGAAACAACAUUUUUCACGGGCAUUUGGCUAAAAAUAUCCUUGGCUCUUUCAAGGCAACCAUGUUUGGCAUAAGCAGUAAGGAGAGAGGUCCAAGAAACGACAUUUCUAUGGACCAUACGAUCAAAAAGUGUUUGUGCUGCGUGAAGGUCUCCACACUUAGCAUACAUAUCAAGAAAUGCAUUUUGUAAAACAAUAUCAACACCGAUCCCAUUUAUGACAACAUUGUGGUGAACGAACUUCCCCAACUCCAAGUUGCAAUCAUGAGAACAAACAGAAAGCAAAUACAUAAGAGUAAAAACAUCGGGUUGGAUACCUCUACCCCUCAUUUCAAGAAACAGUAAGAACGGUUGUUCGCCACAACCCACUCUCGCAUACCCACCAAUCAUCGAAUUCCAGGAAACCAAAGUCUUUUCCAUGAUUUCAUCAAACACCUUCCUGGCGGAGGCGAUAGUCCCACAGCGAACAUAUACAUUUAUAAGACCAUUUUCAACACAAACAUGAGAUUCAUAUCCUAAUUUAACAGCCAUCAGAUGAACUAAAACACCAUCUCUAUAACUCUCUUUAAUACCACAAGCCUUCAGAACAAAAGGAAACGUAAAUUCAUUUGGAAAAAUAGCCGAAACAAUCAUUUGCUUAUACAGUAUCACAGCCUUUUCUGGAUCUUCACUAUUUGCAUAACCCCGGAUUAAACUGUUAUACACGUAACGGUUUCGCUGAGGAAUUUCAUCAAACAGUAUCUGCGCAUAUUGAAUAUCACCCCAUGGUGAGAGUGCAUAGGACGCUAUGAGUUUGUUUACAGUUAAGUCACGAUGGGCUAGGCCAUGGACGAUGAUUCGGGCGUGCAGACUCUUGAUUCCUUUCACGGAUAAGCAUUUUUUGAUGAGGGAAUGGAGGGCUUGGAGCCGAGGAGAUUGAACAUUGUGAGCGAACGACGACGAAGUAGUAAGCUUACAAUUAAGGCGGGCAGCGACGGUCAAGUACCCAAGAGAUUUGAACAUAUCAGUCCCACGUCGGACUUCAAUUCUGCUUGGCUCCGAAACUUCUCCAAAGUAAUAUUCACUCCACACUCCACCCUCUGCAUCCUUGUAAUCUAAACCUUGAGAUCUCCUCCCUUUAUCUUGUAACCAUUCGAGCAGGUUUCAACCAUCAGGACUCACUGUCAAUUUCCCCGGCAUAAAAUCAGAAGCCCAAAGCCACAAUCAUGUGUCCAUUACCUCCGCCUACCCUGAAGCUCAUCCAGAGUACUCCAAAAGUUACCACCUCAUUUGCCAAGAGCACAAAUGAAUCAACCUAAUUGAAUUUUGACUCAACGAGUCGAAUUUCAAUUUAAUUUUUUAAAAUUUAAACCCGAACUCAAAAUGUAAAGUUGAAGUUCAAACUCAGGCUCUCAAGCAUAAAAAAAAAACUAUAUAAUUAUUUUUAUUUUUAAGAAAAAUAAAUAAAAUAAUAAUUUUAUUAACAAAUAAUAAAGUAUUAAAAAACAUUAUAUAUAUAAUCGCACCAACUCGCGAGCUAACGAGAUAAAUGUCUUUAAACUCGAGUUCGCCUUGAUUAACUCGAACCACUCACAAGCCGAUUCGUUUGCAACCCUAGAAGAGACUUGCUGGAACAAAAGCUAUCAGACAAUUAAGAAUCAGUUGUGAACCAGACCACAAAAAUCAAACGCUCAAGCACACCAUUGUCCAAGAAUAUCUGAUGCCACCACUUUGUUUCAACCCCAGCUGUGCGAGGGAGGAGUUAAAUCUGUUCAAACGGUACUCAAAUGGCAGGCUUGAAAUGACUCGAUAAGCAGGAGCAAUGCCAUUACAUAUAAGCACACCGCAUUGCUGACAUUCGACCAAAAAAAAAACAGCAAAUAGGGUGCGAAGAUCAAUAAUAACCACCGCAAUACAACUCUAUAUGAAUAGAUGGCACGGCAACAAAACCAUGUAUGAAUCGAUGGCCUGGAAGACAAUAAUACAAUACAUCCAUACUAAUAAAUCAUUAGCAUUAUUAAGUAGAAUGAGCGACUGUCUCUUGCUGGAAUUGAAAAGAACUAACUAGUAGAAGAAAUCUAUUCCUUGCGCAUAUCCGUUAACAUUUACAUUGCAAAAGCUACAGCUGCACAUCAAAAAUGGUCAGCUACACACAUGAUGCCAAUCUCUUUUAUCUCUCUCUUUCUAUCUACGUCAUUUUCUAAUUUCCUUUCAUUUUGCUAAAUACCUUUCUACUCCUGUAUUAAUCAUUCUAUUUCUACACUCUACACUGAGGCCACGUUAAACGAAAAUGCACCAACACGAACCGAACAAAAACUGGAUGGUGUUAACAUGUAAAAAUCAUGAUUGCCAGAACAAUUCGAAGUCAGUGCUAUACAAAGAGCGAUCUUGAAUCUCCAAAUUUGCAACAUGCCAAUUUAUAAGCUGCGACUGGAUACAUUUACACAAAACCAAAGCAAAAGGAAAUAUCCACCAUUCACUUUCAUCCCUGCAUCCACAGCAAUUAAGGAGACAACUUUAGAACAUGCAUUUGCUGUUCAAAAUCGCACUAACUCCUUAAAUGAAAUUAUUGAGCACUGCCAAUGAAUUCUCUUACAUGUUCCAAGGCUGAAUGUACGGAAUUUUUCUCCUUGAUUGGGUGGUGUAACGGACAUAUCCACAAACAAAGGCAACAACCUGAUACAAGAAUUCAAAUUUUAACAAAUCAUUUAUCACAUGAAUUUGUAGCUAUUUUGUUUGUGUGUGCUCGUGUGUUGGGGGUUGGGGGAGGGGGGGAAGGGGGGAGGAGAUUGGAAAUGAUUACUCACAAGGAAAACUUAAAUAAGCAUAAUGGCAGAAAUAAAGUUAAAAAAUCAGAUGAAGCAUAUAAUAACUAAAAGAUCUGCAUCAACCCCCUGCCAUUGGUGCUAAAGAACGAUUCUAGAAUAAACAUUUACAAAAAUAAGCUACUUACAACAUUUAUCAGGGAUGUGACAUUCCACAAAGCAUACAGACGGGCAAGACUGGCUGAAUGUCUUGGUCCAUGACUGAAUAGAGCAUUGAUUCCAGUAGGGAAUGGAAGUAAGAUCCCCAAUGGUAGAAUAAACAAAAAGAGGAAGACAUCGGCCAAUGAAACUGAGUACAGCUGGAGCAUAGUCAACAAAACUAAGCUGAAAUCACCUAGAAGUAGCAUUGAAAUGACCAAACCAACAAGAUCCUGCAGUAAAGGCGCAAGGCAUGUUCAGCGAGCAAAUAGCACCUUGAAUAAUAUUAACAGCACGACAUGCAACAAAUACCAUCACAGACAGCAUCUAUGCAUGCAUUUGCAGAAAGAGAGAGAGAGAGAGAGAGAGGAGCAACUACCUGGUGGCCAACAGGUUUAGUGUUAUGCAUUAGAAAAGAGAGCGCAAAAAGUAUAUCUCUUUUCUCCUCAAUUUUCUUUAAGCAGUUGACAUCUAGAAUCCCACCAUAAAUCUUCCGCCUGACAUUACUUUCACUGCUUCUACGAGUCAGACCAAAGAAUGAAUCUUCUGUUAAACUGGAUGGAACUUCCCAAUUAAUAGUGCUACCGCUGUAUCGAGAAAAAAAAAGAGAGGGGGGGGGGGUGGAGAAGAAGUUAUGCUCAAGGGAUUUGGCAAAAGGGUUGGCAAAUAAUAUCUAUAAAUUUUCCGUAACCAAGAGUAAUUCAGCUGGAAAUCUGCACGUCUAAGAAGACUACCCCAAAGCAAAUAGUAUUAGAGUUCCAGGACAAAUAAAAAUCAAACAAUUUAACACUUUUGUAAAAUUUAUCUAGCUACCUACUACUAUCGGGCUUUUCCAGCAAUGCUUCAAUGUUACCAACUGAACUUUCGGCAGAUUAUAAUACAUGCCACUAUUAGUCACUUGACUGAGAAUGUUGGUUAAACAAACUAUUGAAGUACUCCAGACUUAGUCUUAGAUGCAGCAGUCAAAACCACCGGCACCUCCCAGGCCAACCUCAUCCCAAUAGCUUUCAUUUACUUAUAUCAGGGGGACUGCAGCAUGCCCUUGCAUUGUAAAAAUUACUCUCCUUAAUUUUCCCCUUUUUUUGGCAAGAUGGGUUAAGCAAUUACUAAGAGAAAGAAAUUUAGAAACUUAACCCCCCCCCCCAAAUAUGUUUUUCUUUUAAUAAAAAAAGUAUUUAUGAGCCUAGUGGGACGACAGAGAUGGCCAUGGAAGGGGCAGUCAUCGUUGUUGCUGGAUAAGGGUGUGGUCUUUUAGUCUGGAUUCUGAAUCUCCUAGAGACGCAAGUCACAUUUUUCUCUUCGGAUGAUGUGCUUUCAUGCCUGCACUAGUUUAUUUUGUAGCUUUUUAUAUUAGCUCUGUUGACUACAGAAUUUUUUGACAAUAUCAUACCUGCAAAAGAACUAACAAUCAUGUCCACUUGGAACACCUAUUUGCAUUCUUGACUUCUGAAACAAAUACUCAUGCAACUAACAUAAUCUGCUGGAAUGGUGUAGUAUAGAACAAUACCGUAACUGAGGCCCAGUCCUAAGAGCUCCAUCAAGGUCUUGAAAAGACAAACGUCCAGUAUCUCCAUCAACAGCAUCUAACACAAGCCCAUAUUGACAAAAACCACCAGUGGUAGUCUGAAACCAAGCAAGAUCUACAUGUAUGGCAUAGAUCUUUAAAGCAGGAUUGGCAAAAGUUUCCAGCCACUUGAAAACAGGCCGAAACGUCGACCUGAGGCAACCACGACGUACUAAGCGUAAUUGGGCAUUCAAACCAGCAACAAAUCGGAACCAUGUGGUAGGUGGGACAGCCUGCAUACUAAGAAUUUUGAGAACCAUACCUUAUUUUUGUGUAGAAAAGUUUAAUGAAUAGCACAUGUGAACAAACAGUGAAAUCAGUGCCAAGCCAACUUGCUUGAAGCUAAGGAGAAAGAAAAGCUCAUGCAUUGUAUUCUAGUGUAUCAAACAUCUCAAGGCAAUCAAAAUAUCACAUCAACCAUCCGAGUAAAAACAUCUUGCCUUUCUAUUUGCAAUUGAGGUUCAUUUACCUACAUCCAGCUAUAAACCUAAGCGGUAUAACACAACAAACCUGACUCAUAAGACUAGUGGUGAUAUUGUCACUGUGAAGUGAGAAGGGAGCCAUGUAACUUCCAUCACCUCCAAACAGCAAAUACAUAGGAAACCUUUGAUGAAGACGAGGAGGUAGAUCACUUCUUUUCUCAUCCCCACCAAGAAAGAAGUCCAUAUAUGCAAGCAUUAGGUCAGAUGUAGCAGCUACCUAAAAAUUGAAAAAGCUCGAGUAUCAAUUCACAUUUAGGUUGCUCUGGACAAUGGAAAUACUUUUAAUCAGCUAAACAAGGGUUCUGCAACAUUCGCUCCAAAAACAGUACUAUGUUUUGUAGUAAUGACAAUAGCUAGCCAGGCAACAGUGCUUUAGAAAGAAAUAAUGAAUAAACAAACAUAAGAAGCUAAAAAAGGAGAACAAAUAAUACACCACAAUUCACCUGAAGAAAAGCCAAGUCUUUAUUUUUUGAGGUGGCCUUAAGAAUCAAUUACAUCCAGUUUUGGAAAAGAAAUAAAAGCAGAAUGGCUAAUCAGCUUACUAUUUCUAUUGAAUUAGUAUCAUCUGUUAUUUACAACUUUCCUAUUGUAUUUACAGAAAAAAGUCAGAAUGUGGGAAAGCAGAGAGCUAGAAACAACCAAAUGAGUCAUAUCAAAGAGCUAGUAUGCAAUUAUUUCCAUCCAGAAAGCACAUUGUGCCAGAAGUUCCCCUGAUCAAAUCUCGUAUACUUAUCCAUUACUUCACCCAGCAAUUGAAAGAAACAACGAUAAAACAGACCUAUCAACAAUUGAAAACUUUUUUUCCUCGUACUAACUUUUCCCCUUACUAUUAAUUUCUCAAAGAUUAUGACUGUGAAUUGGAAGAGCCUAUGGAUUCUGCUUCCAGUCCUGGCCAACCCCCAAAACCACCUUCCACCCUUCAUCAAUAAUAUGUAUGUCCUUUUCAUAGGCUCCUAUAGUAAAUAAUUUGCUGACACUAACAAGGUAUAAUUGAAGCUCUAAAAUAUAGUAGUAUGCUGCUAAGUCAAAAGGAAACAUCCCAAUCAAACAAGGAAACUCCCAAAAGUGAACAAAAGAGCUGACUAAUGUCCAAUUGACCACCACAAAUAAGAGCAAAUUGAAAGACAUAUCAUAAUGCACUUGAACUCCUCAAGAGACUGAACAGAAUUAUGCAAAACAUGUAUAACUACCUAAAUUCCUCUUUUCUAUUGAGCAAAAAGCUAACCUUAAGCCCUUCAUAGAGAGCACGGGACCGACAAGAACGUAAACAAGCAUGAUCAUAUUCUGAUCUCACAAACUCACGGAGACGUUGUAACUUGAUCCUACGGCGCCAUUGCUGCCACGACCAUGCAAGAGGAUAUGCAACAAUACAUAGAAUGCUAUGCACUGAUCCUUCCCACCACUGAUAUGCUGCUAUAGCAUUGAUCUCAUCUACAAAUGUGUUGAAUGCACCUUCAUACCUACAAAUUCAAUUUUCAAAUGCCAAACAAUUUCAUCAUACUUUUAGUGAGCACUAAUCUAAGAUCUAAAAGAAUGUAGAUCUAAAAAAAAUCCCAUCCACCAACUGCAAAGCCCAGAAGAGGAAAUUUCGGAAACAGAGAGAUGACAAACAUGGGUCCUCAGUAUGUAUAAACAAAUUAAUAAAACCAAGGCUUGAUCUCGGAUAUAAAUAUAUUUGGAAUGCAUUCGGACCAGAUGCAUAACUAUAAGAGAACUACAACAGGCCUUAAACUAAAACUUACACAAUUUCUUUUAUUUCUUCAGGAGGUGUAUGAGGAAGAUGCCAGGGUUCACCAAAAGUAUUAGGACCCAGAAAAUACAUUCUAUGUACGUGACUCUGUGACUCCUCAACUCUAUUCGUCUCCAAAACCUGAAAGUUUUGACAUGUAUCAGACUUUUAGUCCUUUCAAUGCUGGCUGAAAUUGUCUAGAUAUUAGAUCAGUCACAAUCUUGUUAUAGUAUUUUGAGUCCAUACAUCAGUCAUUAUAGCAAGAUAGGAUAAUGCAAUGUCAUCCAGAGAAUACCUCAUUAAGUGACUCCAGGAAUGGAAAUGAAUGAUCAAUUUGGGAGCCAUGCCGUGUGGGCCCAGGACCUGGUAAUUCAUCAACCCCAACAAACUUCAUUCGUGCAACGCUGAGGACCAGGGCUAAUAAAAUGAGGAGACCCAAUAGGAGAAGACCAAAAAGCCAAGGCCCUCCAAAUGUGUAUAUCAACUCCUCAAGGGCAGUGUAACAGUGAGGCAUGUGAUACCUCUCUGAAAGACAUUGAUAUGGACAAGGUGUUUCAGUAAUGCCGCCUGCAGUAGGGAUGUGGUGAAACAUUACAUUAGCACAAAAAUUAAAAGAUCAACCUCACUGCCACAACCAAAUGUUCGCUUAAACACCUUUACCUAGAAGCAAAAUGAGGGAUACAUUUACAGUCCUACCCUCUUUAUAAAACUCUUAAGACUUAUUUUGAAAAAGAAAAAAAACUCCAAUAAUACAUUCCCUAAACUGAAAUAUUUGCAUCUAUACGCAUUCGCAAGCAUUAAAUAUGUUCCACUAGAAUUAACAAAGCCAACAAAAUCAAGACUCACUGGUGAAACAGCUCCACCCUCCAUUGCGAAAAGACAGUAUAUUUACAGGAACAUAAAUUUUAUGAAUGGGGAGAGAUGUCAGUAGAUCAUGUUUUGCUUUUCAAAAUUUAUCCAAGUUUGCCCACAUAGGUUCCCCCUCCCCUCCCUCCCCCCACUCCCCCCCCCAGGGGCUGCCCAAAUGAGGCUGAUGAAACACGAAACCCAACAGAUAUAUAGGUUUGUUUGGAUUGCUUCAUAUUUCCCCAAUUUUAUUUGCUUGCAUCAUCUUUACAAUUUCCAAUACACCUUUUUAUCUUCCCAAUAUCUUUUUAUCUCACAUACAUCACAUCACAAAAAGUGCUACAGUAAAAAUAUCCCAAAUAAUCCCAAAUAACUUACAAUCCAAACAGACCAAAUUGCAUGCACCAUUUGAGGUUUAGGCAAAUGCAUGCACCACUCAACUGACACAAUGCAUAUAUAUAUGCCAUUGUAAGCACUGAAAAAUUCUCUGUUCUUGGGCCCACAUAAGGAAAGGUAAAAGUUGGAGGGUGUUAAGCUAAUAUCUAUUUCAGGAUAAACCAAAAUAAAAAGCAUGACGAGUUGAUGUGAGGGAGGGAGUAAAUGGUUUUGAUAAUAAAUCAUCUCCUGAAAAUCAGGCUUAUGUCUUGUGCUCCACUACAGCCAACUUUCCCCCCUAAAGUGCCUCCGGACUCUAAUUUUCUAUAGAUACUGUCCCCAAAUUCUCAGGCCAAAUGAAGAUGUAAAGUUCCAAAAUAAGUUAAAAGUCAAGAGCGAACUCCAGGAACAAAUUAGCCGCGAAAGCAAAAAACAAACACAGAGGAUCACAAUUCCCAGGCAUUGUAUAAGUACCCAUAAUUUGUCUAAUUCUCUGAAUAGCAUCAAUGGUAAUUGCAGUUAAAUUGUAUAUAAACCUAUGCAGCUCAUCAAAUGUGUUAAAAAAAAUCAAAGGCAUUAUACAAGAAAUACCUCGGACUGAAACAUAAGUAGCACGAUGAGGAAGCUCAUUCGUAGGGCAUGGGAAACAGAGAGAUCUAUCAGAUCCUGAUACAUUCUUAUAUGUGCCAGCUGGACAUUCCUGUAGAAUCACAAAAUAUGAUAUCCAUGAAUUAACCAACAAAUGGGAUGGCAGUUCCAAGAACAGAAAUGAAAUAUUUUCAGAAAGUUCUCUUUCUGCUUCAGGUUUGAACCUUUGGAGAUCAAUAUAAUAAAGAACAAAAAGGUCGAAAACCAUGUAAACAGUAUGAUGUGAGAUUCAUUAAAUAGCCAAAUCCCCCCCCCCCAAAAAAAAAAACUUUUGUUCAGUCUACAGAAAAAUAUAUACUUAGUUUCUGGGUAAUGUACACACUAAAAAGAAAUGGAAGCAACAAGUAUAAAACAUAUUUGACUCAGAAGCAAACAGAAAAUGAACGAUGGCAGAAAAAAGAAUGCUUCAAAAAAUAAUUAUGCUGACAAUAUCACAAGAAAUUACAAGAUUAACAUACCUCACAAAAUACUCCAAAAAGACCUUUUGGACAAGCUUUCCCAGUAAUGGUUCCAGCUUCCCCAGCAUUACAUUGGUCCACCCCAAUCCCACCUCUAAAGUAGAAGCACACUGGUUAAUGUACUUUGAGGCACAAUGAACUAGUAGUAAAGAAACUAAUCAAUCAUCACCUUUCACAAUUAUGAAUUAAUAAAAGAUUACAGAAAAACAAGAAUCUGAAACUACUUGAAGGCACAAUCAGCAGAUACCAAAGAAACUGGCCCUGCUGUUUUUUAAAUAAAAAGAGUCUUCAGCCACAUGAAAGAUGUCAGCAAAUGGAAAUGAAAGCUUGGUACUUACUACAUCUGAGUGGGUAUGUACAAAAGACGAUUAGACCUGAUAGUGAGAAACAUCUUGACAACAAUUUAACAGGCAACACACUAAUCAUAACUUUACCCUCAUGGAUGGAGUGGCAACUGGGUUUUUGCAGUCUCCUUGAAAAUCAAGGAUCAUCAUGGUUAGGUAUAAAGCAAAAAUUCAUGAGAAGAAGAAUCAUCAUUCAAACAGUGGGUUGCAGCAUUGAAGUGGGAGACAGAAUCAUAUAUUCGAAACAUGCAAGGCACCAAUUGCGGAAUCUUCAGUUUGGUAUUGACUUCUUGAAGCUACAUCUACCGAAGUCGAUAUUAAAAAUUUUAGAAAUUGCAGGGAAAUUAUCAGCUGCAUGCAAAUUGUGUAAGAAAAACUAUGGGCUUCAUUUUGAUAGCUUCCUAAAAUAAAUUCAAAAGAUGUCCAAACCACAAAUAAACAUCUCAGUUGCAUAGAGGUUCAGAUUGUGGGGGUUAUCCAUGCUUCACCUGCAUUUUGUUCUCGUGUCAAACUUUGUUCACCAAUUUCAUUAAUUUUCUAAGACAACAUUUUAGCAUACAUAUCUCUUUGUCUGGACCUAAACUAAAAUUAUUAAUACAUUAGCACCACAUCCUCAUGUUUUUUACGACAGUGAGGAGCAAAAUAUCUGCCAAAAGUUGGAGACAACCACCUCAUCUGGAAGUUAUAUCAGAAUACCACACAAGUCCAAUGUGGCAGCAACUAAAUUCAACGAGAGAUUGUAGAUCAUGCAUCACAAAAAAAAAUGUACAAUUACUAUUUCCACUAACCUGGCCAGGAUGCUUCCAUUUACAGUAGCUAUGGGCUGAUACAUGUCUCCAGUUGGAAUAUCUGACCAAUGGAAGUGAAUUCUCCCCCCACCACCUCCACCACCACCACCAACACUGCCAUGACCCCCAGCACUAGACAUAGCACCAGACUCACCAAGGUCCAGGGAAUGCAAAAACAGUAAGAUUGUUCCACCAGAACCUCCCCCAGGAUGGAAACUGUCUUUGCUUUUCAACUGUCCUCCAGAACCGUCUCCAUCAGCUUUAACCGAACCUUCAACAGAUAAACCUACCAGUGGAUGCUCCCACGAACCCAUCACUGCAUGAAUCAAGGGGAAAAAAAUGAAUAAUCAAGGAAGCAGUGCAACACAGACGAGAUCAUUUCAACAUUCAGAAAGCCAUGCAUAAACUUCAAAGACACAUAUUUCAAUGAAAUUGUCAGCAGUAUAAGCUGUUCAUUUCUCCACUCACAAGAAAUUACAGAUUUAAAAGAUCUUCAUUAAACAAAUCAGAAGGAAAAUUUUAAAAAUAAAUAAAUAAAUACUUGAAAAAUGACAAGUAAUAGUCUAUUGACGAAGCUACCAAAAACUAUAGAUGGUUUAUUAAGCUUGCAAAUUUGCAGAGAGACCGAAACGAUUAAUUCAUGAGGCCUGCAAAUGGCAAGAAUCUCCAUCUCAACACAAAUGCAUUAUUAAGCUUGCAAAUGGCAAGUACCUCCUUAACUUACUCAUAGUACCAGGUUUCAAAGAAGAAAGAGAUGGGUACUUUCCACCUCCCUGCGAUUCAGUAGCAGACCGUGUAAUAGAAGCAAAUACAAUCAGAAUCUUAAAGUUCACAACAAAUGUAACAUUUAAAACAAAUAAAAAAACUUCACUGGGUAAUUUUCAAAAUAUGGUCUAAAUAGGAAACACAUUUGAAAGGUUAUAUGGACUAAUUUGCAACAUUGAGAACAAGAAUACAAUCCAGCAAGAAAAAAUGAGCAAGUUCUAAAACCAAAAGUUAUGGAAACAUGUAGAUGUAGAUGCCGACAAUGAAACUGAAGUACUUUUAGCUUUACAAUAGUUUAAAUAUAAAAAAUCACUGUUAUUCAAGCAAAACAUACAUUUUACUCAAACUCUGUUAAUGAAAAUUUCUGUAAAUAUAACUAUCAGGUUAAUGGCAUAAUUCUUACCCAAGAUCAACACACAAAACUAACUCCAAUGCUGCUGCAAGUAAAAUACCUAAUUCCUAAUGGGAGAAAAGUCCUAGGAUGUACACAAUGAACCAAACAAACUAUGACUAGAAAAACAGGUUGAGUUCAGCAAUAUGUUUAAGCAUCCUGUGCAGCAGGAAAAUCUGACAAGACCCCUUUCUUCAUUCAGCUAUAUGGAGACUACAGAUUUCCUGGAAGGAACACUUAAUGCUUGGGUAACCAUCUCCCAAAUUUACAAAGUAUAUCCAUUAAAGUAUUAAUUGUCUCAUGUGAUGUUUCUAACAGUACACACAAUUGCUUAGAUUAGUCUCCAAAGUGAGACAAUCACAAUUUGAACUCAAUUAAAUACCAAGAAGCUAAGAGCCAAGAAAACCAGUUAUGCCCACAAGUCAGAAUUCAAAUACUGUCAUCAUUUUUUGACAGCAUGCUUCCAAUUUGGUUAGACAAAAUUUGAAAUUUUUAACGCAGUAUGACCUUCUGGUUCCUGUUGGCUCAUUUUUUAAAUAAAAAUGAAAGAGUUUCCCAAAGUGCUACAACAUCAACAUUUGGACCAAAGACAGUCCACUUUAGAGAGAUGAGCUGACCUAAAAUGCCACCACCAGCAUUUGCACUAGUUAGGCUUUCAUUUCCACUCCCACUUCCCAGCUCACAAGGUAAAUUAGUAUCCCCAUAUGACAUACCCCCCUCAAUGCAGCUAUUAUUGAAGCAUCCCAUUCCACCUCUACCACCAUGCCCACCACCACUGCCAAUACCACUAUCUGAAAAUGUCCCUUGUCCCACACCUCCAAUGCAACCUGAGGAACAAAAAACAUCACUGGUAAGGCCCUGGAACAAUAAUAAACCACAUGUAUGCCAAAUUCGCAAGGUUUUGAAAACAGAUUCAUUUUCAUGCUAAAUACAGAUGACGAAGGGCCACGCCAAUCACACUCAAAUGUUAAAUAAUGGCCACCUGAUGGCAAGGUAGGAGAUACACUUUGAAUAUGGUAAUUAAAAAGGAACUCAGAUGCAAUUAUACCCAUCCCAGUUGUGCUUAUUGUUCCAGAAGAAGGAACACUAAUAGUUCUGGCUCUAUGGAAAUGAACAACAGAUCCUAUCACGAGGCCUUCAACAAGGAUAUCUUCAACUCGGCAAAUCUGCAGAGACAAACCAACUUGAGACCUCACGGAAGUGAAAAGAACUAUAUCCCAAUAGAAUGCAGAACAAGAAAAACUCCACCUGAAGAGUGAAAGACAGUGAAGAGUUCACAUUGCAAUCUUCGGGUGGAUGGAGGAGUUCAACUGGACAAUCAUUCUGAUCACAAUGCAACUUUGGUGUCCUAUAAAAGAACAACACAAAUAUAGAUUAAAAUAGUUGCAUAUUUGAGAUAUUAUGCAACAAUUAUUCAACUUACACAGCUUCAGUUGAGGCAUUCUCUAAAGGACCACGUAAAACAGAUCCAGGACCAACCUGUAUCCAGAAACAGAAAAGUCAAAGGAGUCAACUGAUAUUGUAUAAAGUAUUUUGUACACACUUCUGGAAAAAACUACAAUGCAACUUUAGAGUUAAGCACAGAUAUUAGCAGUAUAUAAUAGUUUAACCAAAAAAAAGAGCAAUGCAUCCUUCAACUUACUUUGAUUGUGCAUAAUUAUGCAAGAGUAGAAACCUUUUUGUAGUCAAACACGUAUUUAAGCGAGAGGCAUAGUCACAUAGAUAGAUGUUUGCAUGCAUGUGUUUAUACACAAACGCAUGAGAGAGAGAGAGAGAGAAAACUAACAAAAUAGCAUACAAUUCCAACUUUGACUAAACCAGGGAAAAGAGUAGAAUAGCAACCUGAAAGGCUUAAAACCAAACAAAUGAGCCACGCAGUAUUUGGAUCUAACCAAACAUCUUGUUCUCACCAUAGGCACUACUUUUUUUUUAAAUAACUUUACGUAAAACCAUCCAACAUAUUCAAUCUCAUGGAUGCUGAAGGUAAUGAAUGAAUAGAAAUAUCAUGCCACAAAUUGCUUACAUGUAUACUAUAAAACAACGACAAAACCAGGCGUUCUGCUUCAAUGCAAUCUCCUGGUCCAGACAAAUUUAACAAACCUUGCCCGUGCACCCCUAGAUUAGCAUUGGAGUGAAUAAUAGAUGACUCCUGUUAUGGAAGCCAGGAAGAGGGAAAUUAAGAAAAGGUCAAACAAGUCAUGAGGAUCCAAAGCAAGACGGCAUACCAGUAAACUGAAGUAGAAUAACUAGAGCACCUUAAGAACAAUAAGAUUACUAGCUUCAAGCAUUGAGGUUUCAACAUUUUCAUCUCCUUCACCAUCAAUUAGCAUUCUCGAAUUCCACAUCAGAAACAUUUUAACAGACAUACGAAGAGCCCCAAAAACCUGAAAGGCCAAAAAAAGGCGAUCAUACAAGGCUACCUACCAAAUUAAAUAAAAGUAUUCUAGCGAGAUCAAAUUGCAAAAAGAAUAUGGCCAUGUCAACCUACAAGAGGCCACGUGCAAACAAUGCAUAAAAACUUCUGUAUUCAAGAAUAAUGAAAAAAACCAAAUUGUUAAAACAAAAAACCCAUGUUAAGAGCACAUCUAGAAUGAAUUGUACUACUCCAUCCACAUUUAUUUUGUCAUGGUUAUGAUUUUUUUCUGUUGCAUAGUCACUCUGUAAUGAUCUGAAACACAAGUAAAUAACCAUUUACCUAUAUAGACUUCCUUCAAGAUUUCUGCAGUGAAGAUCAUGAGAAAUAAACAAACACAUUACUUGAGGCUUAAUUAUGAAAAAUCACUUUUCCAACUAUUUUACCUUCAUCAAACAUAAAUUUUCCUUACUCUGUACCCAAUCAUCACCGUGACCAUAAAAUGGGUCAGCCAGUGCUUCAUCCAUCGCAACUUGGAUGUCUACUUAGAGUUUUAGGACUGUCCUUGACUUAGUUUGCACAACUAAAGAUGGGGACUACCUAAAGCUUCCUCAAGAGGGCCUAUAUGAUAUAUCACAACUCCACAUAGAACUGGUAGACUGCAGCAUGUCCUGGCAAUAGAGCUUGAAACGAAAAACAUGGACAAGAAUUCAUGCUGCAUUAAGUGCACAGAAUUUUAUAACUGCAUGCACCCGCUAAGUCUACAAGAACUUUAAACCAGUAGAAACACGACCACACAGAGAGAAAAAUGAGAAUAUAUGUCUAAAAACAACAGAUAAAGGGAGAAAAGUAGAGGAACAUGCUUCCAAAAAAUUAAUUGCAGGAGAAUCAUUUCGAAACACACCAUCUCAUCAUAUCAGUAUGAUACAACAAAGAAAACAUAAAAUGUUGCCAGUAUCCAAUGAAAAAGAAAAAGGUUACCGCUACCUUAAUAACAGAAUCACUCAUUAACAGUUCUUCUGCCAAUAUUUCAAAUUCUGACAUAGAAUAAUGUGCCAAUCCAAAGCUCAGUUCUCCACCAGACAAGAGGCUAAUUUGCCCUUGGACCUAAUACAUAAGAAUUACAGAUACAUCAAGUACUUGAAUAAUUCAAAGGAAAAAAGCAGAAUAAUGUACUGAAUAUCCACUGACAGUCAAUGCAUUAGCUUCAAUUCCAAAAGCUAAUAAUAACUGAAAAUAAUCAUAUCUGCAGAUAUAGAAAGGCACACAUGGCCUAGGACACAAAUAGCAGAACAACAUACAAAAUAUCCAAUGAGAGAACCAAUACAUUACAUUAGUUCCAAAGUAUAUAAUAGCUGAAAGUAUUCAGAUCUGCUAACACAGAAGGCACAUCACAAACAGAACAAGGCACGCGUAGGCAUGGACAUCGCUAGUGCUUGAUUUGACUUUCCACUUUUAUUUGAUGUCAAUUUGUCUCCUUAUUAUCCAAAAGAGUUUUAAGAUAAAUCUGAACAAAUAAAUAGGUUCUGACUAUGUCACUAAGAAAGUAAGAAAGACUAAAUUUAUAGACCUGAACACGACUCCAAAGCAAGGGAACAGAGGCCUUGGCCUGAUUUUGGAUGUAGAUAUUUGUCAAAAAUGGUUGAGGAAAGUCCAAAAGAAGUGUGUCUGUAUCUGUAGAUUUGUUGUAAUUGUCAAUAGUAAGACUGCGCGGAACAGCAUCAUAAAUGCUCCCCGCUGCACCAGCGUUUUCUUGGCAGCCACGACUGCUUCCUCCUGUAAGAACAGAAAUUAACUCAGCAUGCACACUAAAUCCACAUUCCACAUUUAAAGCUGGGUAAAUUUAAGGCAAUAACCAGCAAAUUAUUGUACUCAUUUGAUGUUUUAGAUCAAAACAGGAACAAACUCUCAUCCACUUGUUAUCCUAUUCAAGGCAUAGCCCAGGCUGAUGAUGACAUAUCCAAGCAAGGCCAAUUCUAAGAGACCAGAGAAUGUACAGUAGUAUUACAACCAGACCACGGAAGACCAUUGCUUUCAAAAAAGCCCAAAAUAAGCUACCAACAAACAGGUUAGUAGUAUAUGCAACAAAAAUUAUUCCCAAAAAAAGGGGAGAGAGAGUCUAUGAUAAUCCCUCAAGCUAUGUUACUUGGACUCGGCUACUGACUCCUGCCGACAUGGUUACUCUAGUGCAAAAUGAUGAGUCAGAUAUGGGUACAGCAGGGAAAAGUGAAGAGUCUGAGUAACAUAGCCCCCCAGCCUCGUUACCUCAUCAAUUUUAUGACAAAACUUCCCAACAGAUUAAUUUGGCUAUACAAAAGUUCCAAUGAAAUGAACCCCUUCUCUAAUCUCUUUUCACCUCUCACAAAUAUAGACUUGUCAUCUCUGGUAAAUACUAGAUGGCCAUAUGUGUAGAAACCUGUUGCUGUCAACAAAUAGGAUGAAGAAAAAGCCUCCCCAAUUGCUCCCUUUUUAGGGUUUACCACAACGGAUAUAAGCAAAAUAUCGAGCUAUAAACAAAUAUAUCACAGGUUCAACCUCCAAUAAUGCCCUUCAAUGCAUUCAAUUUAUCCUGAGCUUCAACUCUAAAUUAUAGUACAGAAAAAGCCAACAGGAUCCAAUUUAGAUAAUUAAGACAGAAAUAAAAGCCCCGCGUUUAGGAAAAAAGCAACUAAGGAUAGAAAGAUCUGCAACAUUAUUAUUACAGAGGUGAGUAGCAUAAAAAGGAGACUGAUUAUCUAGCAAUCAAAAAAGUGGACAUCAGAAGAAAAGUCAAAUUGCAGAUAUAGUAUUUUCCAGCACUGAAAGAACUAAUGAAACUUCAAACAAUUAUGGAUAAAGAGCAAUAUCAUGUUUGGCUUACAGCUUGGAAAACUUUUACCACAAGAAAAUCAUAUUAUGAAUCAUACCAUAUGCAAAAAUCUCCGGAUCCUCAUGGUGGCUAAAAACAUCAACAGAUACUCUUCCGCCACCUCCACCAGCAAAGCCAUUACCUCCACAUGCACUGAUAUAACCACUCCCAAUCCUAAACUUGCAAAAAUUGUUGUACUUUAGAAUAAAACUACAUUAUCAAUACUCAUGAGUACUAAAGGUGCUAAUAAAUUGAUUAUAACUCACAAAGAUAAGAAUAAUUUCAGAAACCAAUAGCAUAUAUGAGAAAGUAAUUGCAAAAAUUUUGGCUUGUGUCAUGACAGCUAAGCCACAAUCCUAUUAUUCCUAUUCAAUAAGUUGGACCCAAAAAAAAAAAAAAAAAAGCAUCAGAGAACCAAUAAAAGAUUAUUAUUCAAUAGAAUGACAUUCUCCAGCAAAUAGACAAAUAUUUUAGAUAAUUAUAUGCACAAAAGAACUCGUAAAAUGGAUAGAUAUGGACUGUGACACAAUUACAUGACAGUAAACAGACCAUGUACAAUUCUAGAUUAUUAGUGAACUCAUCCACUCUAUGAACAAGAAACAUUGUGCUUGAAACACUGAUCUAGAUCAUAUUAGCAUAUCCCUAGAACCAAAAAUCGUAUGUCAGGAACCAUGAAAUAUAAUGGGUAUGUUUGGAUUGCAAGACUUUCAAAUAAAAAUCUCAAAUUUUGUUUUGCUUGCAUCAUACACACAAUUUCCAACGACCUUUUUAUCUCACAUACAUCACAUCACAAAAAGUGCUACAGUAAUUAUUUCAAAUAACCUCCUAUCCAAACAAACCCAAUUUAUCACUACUGCAAUGCAACUGUUUAGCAGCCUUAUACAGUAACUAUAACAAGUAUUAGCAUCAACAAAGUCGUUUGAAGAUUAAGUUCUACUAGAAUUAGUAAAAACACAAAUAAAAUUGAAAAAAAUAGAACUAAGAUAAUAGGUAAAACUCAAAUUCUCAUUCCGAAUUACACUCUGUUCAAAAAAAGCAAUGGGUUUAUAGCAAAUUCUCAUUUCUCCAGGACGGACUCCAAAAAUACAAAGUAUUGCAAAAGACUCCAAACCCACUUCAUGACAGGCUGUCAGCUUGACUGGGGCAUUAGCUUAGUGUAGCUUUUGAAGGGAAGUUCCCCUCCCACAAAGAAAAUCCAGAUGCCUCCCUCUCUCCCCCUCUCAAAUAGUCUUCAGCAUGCAAUAGACCAAACCAAUUGAUACUAAUGCACAUAACAGGAGAGCUCCUAUUGAUAUUUAGUAACAUGCAGAAUACAAAUUUCCAGUAUAAAGAAAAAGGACAAUAUAUAGCGAGAACUGAAAUGGAUUUGACAAGUGGCAAUAUAAGUUUUUGCAAAUGUUGUCCAGAAAUCAACCAAGAUACACCAGUUUCAUGGUUGAACGCUUAUAUCCAGCUAUUUACCAUGCACUCGCAAAGAACCUGCAUUAGAAGAAAUUACACUUUCCUGUGCAUAUUUCACAAUGUUCUCAAUAUCUGUUUUCCACUUUUAUAUGCUAAAAGGUAUUAAACCAUAAGUAACUUCUUUUAUUUUCUACCUUAGUAUUGGGAAUCUCUAUCCCUGAAGUUCAUCUACACGUGUAUGAUUUUUUCCACUUUUCCUUGCUCUAGUUCUUAUUAAUUUGGAGAUAACAUUUGUUAUUCAUUUUUGGGAGGGCAAAAAACCCAUAUGACCACUGCACCAAUCCUAUUCCAAGAAAAAACCUUGUAAAACAAUCUCUCUACACAUCAGCAUUGCCCCAACCUAACAAAAUUCCUCAUUGUAAAUUGUAAAAAUCCAAAUCCCAGUGAAAUGCAGUAAAGGGGAACACCACAAAACUGGCCAAAAGCUUAAGCAGUUUAACAGCAGUUAGAUGCUUUCACACCACCUCAAAAACAAGACCCUAAAGUAUGUGUCAGGAUCAGUAAAAUUUCAAGGCUAUUAAUGUCAAGCUUAAGACCUAGCACUAAUCACAAUUGUCAAUUAAAAAAGACGAGACAUAGUUGACCAUUGAUACAUCGUUUUAGGUUGAUUACGACGUUACCAAUUAUGCGAACAACAUAACUUCCAAAUGGAUCUUUCAGCUUGCAAAACAAAGAAUAUUUUAUGCAUGGCCUUAUUGUUUACCUACAUAAUACCUGAGCAGUUUAUUAAUGCGAUUUGUUGUUAAGCAAUGUUAUGUAUCCUAAAUGACUCUAGAAGAAUGAGGCUGUAAAUGAAAAUGCUUGGCAUUAAAACCGUAUCAGCUCCGGUCCAAGCUUGUAACUGAGUAUUGGGUGGUUCUCAAUGGCUUCUGAUUUUCAGAAGCAAAAUCAGAAGGCAGAAAAACCUGCUAUGCUGCUUCCGAUUUUUCAGAUUUUUUGCCUCAAAAAAGGUGUGAACAGGUAUUGGAAAGCAAUUGAGAACUUUAAAAUAACAGCUUUUCCAGAAUCAAGAGCUACAAUCAGGUAUUGAAAAUCAAUUUAGAACAAAUCACUGUCCUUUAGACAAGUCCAAUAAUAAAACUCAAAACAACCCUCAAAAAAAAAAUUGAUCUUGAAGUUGACAUCCAAAAUGAUAACAAUUAUAAGCCCAUAGCUUUAGCAAGUUUAUAUUACAAAAAACCUUGCGUAGGUAAUCUCUGCUUAACUCUGCUGGGUUUACACCUGUAAAGUGAAAAAACACAAAAGACGGAAACCUGACAAUAAUUCAAAGUCUUGCAAAGGAGGGAAAAGGAAUAAGGAAAAUGUACUGUCUGUCUGAAAACUGUAUUUAAGUGCUGGAAGUGAAUGAAUCGCAAGUUUUUACAUUCAUCCUGAGCAAUAUGAUACUUUUCCGAUCAAUUGAUACACUAAGCACCAGUUCUUUUUUUUCCCACAAACCAAAAAAAAAAUCACUUAACUUUUUAAACAGAUAAAGCCAUGAAUGAAUUGUGAGUUUGUUAUAUUCAUCCAGUUCAACAUGAUACUUUUCCAAACAAAUAAUACACAAAGAACCAGUUAUUUUUUUAUAGAAACAAAAGAGAAUACCACUUAAUUUGUUGAACUGUUUAACAGUCUAGCUUUUUGUCACUCGGUAAUGUUUAAAAAAUAACUCAGACACACACACAACCUCCUCUCAUGCAGAAUGCCAAAAUAUCCCCUCUCAUACUGCCCCCCAACACCCCCCCCACCUUCUGUCUCUCAAAUACAAGAAAAAUUGUAUUAUGUUUCUGACAGUAUAUAUGACUGUUCAUCAGAACACCUUUGUUCUGAGGUCUAAUUAAAAUAAGUUCAUCAUAUGCUACUUAUUUACAUUUAUUAAUCAAAUAGCUUUCUCCUAUAAUAUUUGAUUACUCAUAUAUUAAUGGACCAACUAUGGCAUUCAAAAAGUAGAAGUCUAUUGAAAAAUAGAAAACUAAAUUAAAAGAAGAAGAAGAAGCAGAAGAAUAGCUAAUCAAGAAGAUAAAAUAAACACUAACAAUCUAAAUGAAAAGUAACGAAUAGCUAAUCAAGAAGAUAAAAUAAACACUAACAAUCUAAAUGAAAAGUAACAUUUAAAGAGAAGCUAACUGGACGUCUCAAAGAAAAUUCACAUACAGCAAUCAUUCUUAAGUUAAAUUGAAGUAUUUGCCACAUUGAUUUCUCAACUUAGGCUGCCAUAUUGGUUAACAGAAGGUUAUGGUUUCAUUUUUAUCAGCAACUUGAACUGCCAGCAUUUAAAAUAACUUCCAGAUUCCAAUGUUUCAGCUUUUAACUUUAGGCAAGAAUAUAAGCAAGUUCUCUUAGCAAGCCUAUCAACCACUGCCAACUUGUUGGAUAGAGAUCAGCAUGCCAAGGUGUUUCCAAAAGAGAAAUGCCCCCUAACCACUUAAUGUUCUUCAUUUUACUUAAAAAGCCAAUAAUCUAGCAGAGAAACCAAAUAAGCCAGAAAACAUUAAUGAUUACUACACAGUCAAGCUAAAAUCAGAGUUUCAGGUAGCGAAAAAGUUGCUUUUGCAGGCAAAUGGGAUUUACAUAGGUUGAAAAGAAUUAAAAUUAUGAUGACAACAGCAAAUAAUAAUAAUAAAUGCUUGAGUUUCAAGAAACAACAGCCUUCUACAUUCUCUUCAACCUAUGAGCAAACAAUACCAUAAUCCAAAGCUUAUAAGACACUCCAUGCUAAAACAAACUUAAUCAGCCCCAAAGAACAGGAUAUUAGUUAACAUAUAACACUUUGAAGUUUUCAUUCUUUUAACAAACUCAAGGAAAUUUGAACUUCCAACAAUGAUUUUACUCCGUCAUUCUUUGCAUGAACCACCUCCAAACAAUCCUUUUAAAUUCAAAUUGAGUGAAAUCCCAGUUUUCCUUUGAUUCCUUGUGUUCCUAAUCAACGUAAAGGAUGACAUUAUUUGUAUCAUUUACAGAAAAGGCUCAAAUGAUGACUCUAAUGAUAACAAAAGGAGUUCGGCUCACCAGUAAAAUUUAAAAACAAAAGAAGCCAAAGGAGAAAUAUGUAAACCUAAAUCACCCAGAAAACAAUGAUCCGAAGACAAAAUCCCUAAAUGAGGGUCAAGAAAAGUGCAAUAAAACAAAAUUAUAUACAAUUUUCUGUCUUCAAUUCUCAUCAGAUUCUAAGUCAAAUUCAACAAUUCCACUAAGUGCAGCAAGGAGAAACCACUUAUAUGGAUUUCCAAGUGUACUCCAAUAUUAACAACAUUCUGAAUACAAAGUAUGAAUGUGGAUGCAACUACCAAUUGAUAUACAUAAUAAAACCAUAAAACGUGGUAAAUCUACUCACAGAGUCUACACAUAUUAAGAAAACGAAAACAAGUUUUUAAAGGCCAAACGCAAGUCUACAUGCUAAGUAUUCUCUGUCUUUUCAACUCUACAAUCUAAAGUAGACGUUUCUACAAAAUCCAAUUAAAAAGGCAAAGAGGAGAAUAGUUACAUCUUAAAGGCCUUGAUGUAGAUGCUACCACCGGACCCGCCUCCUCCUUUGCUUCCUCCAUCACCACCGUCAGCGAGCAAGCUCCCAUUAACUUCCAAAAGCUUAAGCACUUUCAUUUGAAUUAUCCCACCUCCACCCCCACCAUAAUCCACCUCCCUGUUUGUUGUCCCACCUUUGCUCCCAUAGCUACAAGGAUCCUGCAAAUAUGACCACCCAUAUGCAUCCCCACCCCAUACAUCAUCUGGAAGCUUCUUCUGGUCCAACAAACAAGCCGCACCUCGUCCCCCAUAACCCCCACCAGCACCAUCCACCCCCUGGGGUGUCCCGCUCGUCUGGGGAGGAGGAUCACCGGCUAAACCAGUAGUAUUCACAACUGACCCAUUCGAAAAAGUAGCAUUAUCUGCCGUCAAAUCAAAAGUUCCAGCAAAAAUAGUCGAAUUCUGACCCAAAGUAAAGUUCCCAGAGACAUUUAUCACUAGCUCGCAACCCGGAAACAUGCAAUUAACCGUAAUAUUGGGAAGAAUAUUAAAAUUCCCCUUCCCUUGUAUAUACACGUUAUCACUGAUAUUCAAAUUAGAAACUAUAUUGCAAGUAGUAUCUAACGAACCAACUCCUCCGAGAUCAGCUUCGCAAGUCACCGACGGCGGAUGAGGAGGCGGUGGCGGUGGCGCCGGAGGUGAGUAAUCCCGGUGAAACAAGAAUGAAUCGAAGUCGCCGGAGUCGUCAUCUAAGUCAAAAUCGGCGUCUCCGCCACCGUCCUGGACUAAAGUACCAUAACCGCAGCUAGGAAUCGGAAGCAAGCCUAUUAUUAGUAUCACCACUAAGAGUAAAGUGAAAGAAAGUACAGACAUGUCAAAAGGUGAAGAAGACGCCAUUGACUGAUGAAGAUGGGAAUAUUCAUCAGAAAUGAUGGUUGGGAGAGGGAGAAAUGGAUUGCAUCGGUGGAAUUUUUUGCUCGAAAACAAAACCCACCAGAAAAGUUUAUUAGUUUUUCGUUCCAAAUGCGGUUUAACUGUUUGAUAUAUGCCGGUGCGGAUGGAAAAAAGUGGCGCUUUGGGAACGGAGAAUGCCCUAGAAAAAGGGGUUUCUGGUGAGGAGCCAAAGACAACUACUCCCUAGCGGAUUCUGCAGGGCGAAGAAAAGAGGGAGGCAGUUUUUGGGGAAAAUUGAACAUGAGGAAAGCAAAAGAGAGGGCAAUAAAGGUAAAGGGUUAAGGGGGCGACUGAUUACUGAUUAGAUAGGGGACUAGAGAAAUUGGGGAGUUGAAUAUUGGGUUAGUGGUUUAAUGAGAGGAGGGUGAAGGGGUUAAAGAUUAGACUGAGAGAUUUUGAGGUAGAAAGCAUGACUGAUCACAACAAUCACAUCCGUUAAAAACUUGGUGUUGAAUUUUAUAAAUAAUAAAUUGUGAUGACGUUUUCUUUUUUUUUGGGAUAAUUUCAGAAACUUGCCUUGAACUAUUCAUAGUAUCAGUUGGCUCCUUUGAAGUUUUUAAAAUCUCACCCACCUCUCUCAAAAUAUUUAGGCCUCGAAAAAUUCACACGUAUGAAGAGAUUAUUUAUUAAAAUAUAUUUCCUAAAAAAAAUUUCUUAACUCCCGUAUAAUUAUCUAUAAAAUUUUUCAAGGGCUCCAUCACUCACUAUAAUCCUUCUAAGUGGUUGAUUUUGACUAAAUUUAAUUUACCACGUUCUUUGUUGUCCCACCAUGAUCUCGAUAUAGAGAAAUAUGGACCAUUAUUAGAUAUCAAUUUAUUUUUCUCUAAUCUACAUAUUUUUGUUUAAAAUUUUAUUUUAUUUUUUGGUUAAGCAAUUAUUAAGAGCUAGGGUAAUGUUGUCACUUUUUGACCUGUGAUGGGAAUAUUUUAGUCUUAUAAAACUGAUAGGCGAGAUAAGUGAAAUUUUAAAAUUUUGAAUAGGAGAACUCAGUGAAAUUAUGCUCCUCAUGGGCAACUCGGUUGGUCUCAGCAAACCUCCUUAGAAGCUGGUGUCCAAUGCCCACAAGGAUUCAAGUCCUAUGGUUAUCGUGUUCGGAAGGAUGGGGCCUCUCCUCCCGGAUGGGAGUGGGAUUAGUCGGGCCCCGUAAGAAUUGGUCCGGACACCCAUUCCGUCAAAAAAAAAAAAAAACUGAGUGAUAUUAUGAAAAAUCUCGGGACAAUUUUUUGAAAUUUUGCCUUUCUUUUUUCAUCUUUGUCUCUCUUUCCCUUUCCUAUUUUUUCUUGGCUUUCUGUGGAUUCUCUUUCUUUUUUUUUUUUUAAGUUUCUUUUUUGCGUUGGAGGAAUCUGACAGGAAGGUUUGACAAUUUUUAUCAAAACGAGAAAAAGAAAAAAGCAAGAAUGUUUGAAUUGAGAUUCUUCCUCUUAUUUACAUACAUCUUAUGGUAUCUUCUUUAUAUCUUAAUCAAGGAAUAGAGAGAUUCUUUUCUUUUCUGUUCUUUUUUGUCUAAAAUAGUGCAGCGUGAUAAGUGAUAGGUUGUUUCCUUGCACAAAUGUCUCAUGUUUGUGAUUGGGGGCUGAUUCGUAAUUUAAUGAGGAGGAAGAUUAGAUUGACUCAUUGAUAUUGAGGUUGAGUGCAUGGCUGAUUGAGCCACUUUCAGUCAAAGUUUGCAAUUGUACUAAUUACAAAUUGUGAUGGCGCCCUUGUUCUAUACUUUUGUCUCUUUGUUUUGUCGGGGGAAUUUGAAUUAUGAUUUGACAUUUUUUAGAGAGAAAAAAGAGUUAAAAAAAAAUAUGAAGGAAUGACUGAGAAUGAGAGGAUUUUCAAGGGAUAUAUGCAUCCUUUUGUCUUUCUUUUUUGUCUACAAAGUAUGAUAAAGAUAAAUUACUUCUUUAUUUAUUGAUGGGAUGACUGAUGAGAUGUUUUAACUCUUUUUCUAUUUUCUUGUUUUCUUUUCUUCUGAUCAUAAGAAAUUUUCGGUAUUUUGUUAGUUCUUAAGUUCCUAAAGUAAGGAAACGGUCAAAAAUAUAACGAACAAGGAACUCAUUGAUGCAAGCCUUUCUUAUAAUUAUUAACUUAAUUUUAAGUCACGAUGUGGCCUUGUUUGGAAUGCAUUUUUCUGGAUUUUUUUGUAGAAAAAUUACAGUAACGAUUUGAUAUAUGUGAGGUGAAAAGGCGAUUGGAAAAUAUGUUUACAAAAAAUAUAGCAAUUUUGCUGUCCAAACAAGGUUGUCUAAAAUAUUAAUUAACAACCAUUUUUCAAAAUUGAAAUUCUAUGUAUAAAUGCAGAAUCCCUCAAGAGGAAAAUGUUGAGAAAGUAAAAUUAUCAAAGGAUAUCACAAAAUGAUCUGGCUUGAUCUUGUUGACAAUGCCACCCACUAUGUCAGAUCGCGAUAUAAAGAAGAUGAUAGGCCUUCGCAAAAAGGGUUGAUAUGACUCAAUUUACAGGUACUCGCCUCGACAUAUACCAUAUGUAGUUAAUUUUCUAAUAUCAUAGAUAUCUAUACUUACGAUAUAUAAAGCAGGAAACUUGACCUAAGGUUUGGAUAGCAAAUUUUUUCAAAAAAACUUUUCAGUUGCAUUACAAACACAUUUUUCAAUUUAUUUUUUUAUCUCACAUACAUCAUAUCACAAAAAAUGCUAUAAUAAUUAUUCCAAAUAAUUAUUUGGAAUAAUGCUCUAUCCAAACAAAGCCUCGAGUUUUGAUGUAAAUGUUUUUUUGUCACUUUUUGAACUUUCAUUUUUGGCCUCGUACGAUCUAAAUUUUAUCAUGAUCACAACUUAUUUCAUUAUAAGUACCAAAGCAUAGCUUUUCAAACAAACUUAUUUUCAUUAUAACUACUCAUAAACACACAACAUAAUUAUACUCUUAAAAGAAAAAAUCUUAAAAGAGCAAAAUCAUGUUCAUUAAUUAAAAAAAUAUAUAUAUGUAAAAUAAGUUCAUACAAAAAAUAAUUUAUUUCUAAAUUGCACAUACAUUGGGUGUCUCCUGUAUGCUAGUGAUAAAAAUUGCAAAUGAAUCGAAACAAAUCAAGUUUUUGGUCUAAUCGAGUUAAGCCUCGACUCAAUUUUACCAAAUUUGAGCUCAUCGAUCUCUCAAUGUAAAACUCGAGUUCGAAUUUGACAGUAAAUUUGAGCCAAGCCAAGUUGGAACUCGAGCCCACUCAUGUUUUAAAAAAAUAAUAAUUAUUAUUAUUUUAUUUUAUUUUUAAAAUAAUAAAUAAAAUAGUAUUUUUUUUCUUAACAAAUAAUAAAACAUUAGAUAUAUAUAUGUAAUUUUAUUAUUAUUAAUAUAUAUAUCUUAAUAUAAUCGAGCGACUCGCGAACUAAUGAACUAAGUUUUUCUGUGCUCGAACUCGACUCCAGUUUGAUGUUGACCAAACUCAAAUUGGAUUUUGAUCAAGCUAACUCACAAGAGGCUCGCAAGUAAUUUGACUCGUUUGCAACCCUACUAAUGACUAUAAUUGUUUUGAAAGACUGUUGGAAGAAAUUUGGGUUAGGUUAUAAAGUGGAAGGGAGUGUAAAUGAAAUAUACUAUAUUCAAAACCACUCAUUUAAUAAAAAAAAAAAAAAAGUAUCAUACUAUUAGUUGCAUAUAAACGGUUAAAAACAUUAAACUAAGUGUAGAAUUAUGUGAAAGUAACUAUACCUUAGUUUUGGACCGUCGAAUUUCCUUAAAAUAUUUGUUACGGAUAAGGCCCCGUUUAUAUCUUAUCUUUGAAGUGAAGGAUAAGAGUACAUCAAGAAGUCCUAGUUUAUAUGCUUGGCCCCUACAGUUGGCUUUGCGGGUUUAGUUUUCAAAAACAUGUGUGUUGACUAACCUAAAUCACUUGUUAGCAUUGAAUAGGAGUUCAAAAAUUCAAAAGCAGAAAUGAAUAACAAUAUAGACUAGUGCACCUAAAGCUUAUUUGGUCCAAAACAAACUCUCUUUCAUGUAUGUGGUCCAAAUUUGAAGAGCAAAUCUCUUAGGCUUUUACACUAACACCAAAUGGCAUUUAGCUCUAACGAGUAAAAACCAAAUCUUCCAGCAAAUAAAGUGCCCAUAUCCCAUUGGCAACCAUUAUUGACUUUGGCAUCCUACAUUUCAUAGGGUAACAAAACGGACAAAAGGUAUGUGACUUUGUACAUAAAAAUUUAUUCCAGUGUAAGGUUGCCAUCACUUUCGACAUUUUUAUGCGUAUGAAAACAAAAUUAUCAACAACAUUGAAACCUUCCAAAACAAAACCAGUGACUAGAUAAUUUGAUUAUUUGCCAAAUGAUUCUUUCUAUUUUGUGACUUUGACAAAGUCACAAAACCAAUUGGCUAUGAGUGAAAUGGCCCAACAUCUUUUAUAUAUAUAUAUAUAUAUGGUUGGAAAUCCUUAGAAUAUCAAUGUAGGAUAUACAACUAACACGUAAAGCUAUAAACAAGUCGAAUCGAAUCGAGUAUCUCAUGUUUGAACUCUGUUCGUUAAGCCAUUCGAUCAACGUUCGUGUUCGUACGUUAAUUUUCGAACUCCAAACAUGUGUUUGUGUUCGGCUCGUUAAGCAAAGUUUGUAUUCGUGUUCAGCUCGUUUAACAUAAACGAGCCGUUCGCAAACAUGCUUGAAAUGCUCGAAUCCAAAUUAUUUUAAGCCUUAAAUAUGUCAUGCAAAUCAUUCAUCAUUCUCAAAAACAAUUAAAGCACUAAGUGACUAAAUUCUAUUAUUUAUUAACUAUAUAACUAACAUUAACAUAAAAACAACAAAUAAAACAAAGCAAUUUGCCCUCCAAAUAUAAAAGUUCAGCCAUAAAAUUAAUCUUCAAAUUUGUCAAAUGAUAAUUAUGCCCAUGUUCGCGAACAUUCGUUAAAACUCACGAACAUGCUCGUGUUCACGAACGUUCAUUAAAACUCGCGACUAUACUCAUGUUCGCUCAAUUAUUAAUCGAACAAAAAAAUUCGUUCGAACUUGGUUCGUUUAAAAUUUCGAACGAGUCUUUCACGAACACGAACGAGUCGAAAUGAAUCGAGCUACCGAACAGCUCGGUUUGUUGAACAGCCCUCGCAAAUGUGACUUGACAAAUGGGUUUAAGCCAACACAAGAAAUCCCAAGUCACGGGUGAAAUAAAUGGGUAACAAACAAACCCAAGGCCCUGCUCCAAUACCAUGUUAAAUGACUUGGACUCUCAUCUCAAAAUCAAUUAGGUAUGAGUUGAGUGGCCUAAUAUCUUUCAUAGAAAUAUAUAUAUUUAUAUAUAUGGCUAGAAAUUCUUGGAAUAUCAAUGUGGGAUAUACAACUAACAAGGAUUAUCUAAAGAAAAGAAAAAAAAAAGCAGAAAAAACAUAUCUAAAGAGGAUGGCCCGCAUGAAACUUGUACAAAUUGGACAAGGUAAUAGGUUACUUCAAAGAUUUUGAUGGCACCUGCAGAUAUAUUAUCCUAAUGUAUCUUUAUUUUUCCCAACUCUUCUCCCUAAAAUUCUAUUUCUCUAAAAGGAAUGUAGUAUUUUCUUCUCAGUUGGAUCUACACCAAGUAAUGCAGUGAAAUGUGUCCAGCAGAGAAGGACUUUUGAUCUAGUUUCUGAGUUUUUGGAGAAAGUGAAGAAAAGCUGCUCUUUCUUCACAUAAUUAAUUAAUGCUUUAACUGUUUGAGGCCGUAUGGAGUGGGCCGGCCUGAAUUUUAGCACGAACUUACCUGGAAAUGGUUUAUUGUGGGAUUCACAAAGGUGUACACGUACUAAUGAAAACAAAAAUGUGUACUUUGUUUUGGACCACUGAUCCUCCCGAUUGUGACCAUUAAACCCCUCCAAUCAAUUAUUUGUCAUGCAAUUAUCCAAGAAGAAAAUAGACAAUUAUUCAUACUCUACGAGACGGGAUAAGUUGAUUGUGAUGUUCUACAGAAAAAUUUUUACGUUUUUCGUAAAUACGUUUCUCAGUUACUUUUUUACCUCACAUACAUUAAAUCAUUAUACUAUACAUAUAUAUUUUUUUACAAAAAGUCCUAAAAAUAGCAAUCCAAACGGGUCAGGAUUUCUCAUUUCAUUUAAAAUAAUUAUUUUAAAUUUGAUUAGUAUAGGACUAUUCAUCAAAUACUACGAGGGUAAUUCUUACAUGAAUUUGUUGGCAACAGAUGGGGAUGCAUGCUAAUAAAUUCGUAAAUUACAGCCCCAUCCCCUAAAUCCCAGACAGUACGCGCCAAAAGAUCUCACAUCAAUGGCCAUUUGUUGGAGACAAUCGCCAAAUCUGCAUGGUCCUCCUUUUCUUCAUUUCCUACGUACUUUAAUACUAAAAAUUUAAAACCCAAGUCCAACUUUAUUUUUUAGAGGAUAAGGUUCUAUCCAACCACGAAACUUUUAGGCCCUUAAAACAUCUCCACUACUAUAAAUAGUUGCCAUGAAAAGUUGCAUGUCUUAGCAUAUUUAUAGUGGUACAUAAUAAACUUAUAGUUACUUAAAAGAUAAUCUACAUAUUGACACGGAUAUUCGUUAAAAUAGGGUUCAGGUAUUAAUAUCUCGACCAAGCAAAAUUAAAUAGGAAAAGUGUAUAAAAAGUAAGACGAUAGUUGUUACGAGUACGUACCUUUACAUAAUAUAUUGAUUGAGAACGAUUUAGGUGUACAAAUAAAUGCCCAUUUAACGCCUGUGUCGGGAAAAUACUAAUUUGAAAUUUAGACAACACAAAAUCUUUUUUCUAGCUGCUUCUAGUGCUGCAUGGAAUGCUUGAGAUUCAAUAGCCAUUGCUUCUUCUUGCAGCUGAUAGGAGCGUGGUGGUGUUACUUGUCAGAUACUAGGAGGUUGAAUCUUGGCACAUUUACAGCCAAUACUGCAAACUUCACCUGUCACCCCAAAUAAUUGUACUGGUGUCACUAAUUGCUUUGUCUACCUUGUUUCCAUGUCUUAAUUGUUCCUCCACGUACUGCCUUUACAUUCACUGAUUAAAUGCACCUACUUCCGUUUGCAAUUGACUUUGCAAUUUGUGAUUCUUUUUUCUCACGUAACUGAUCAAUUGGAGUUGAAUUGAUGUAUCACUGCUAUUAAUGGAAGGCAAAAUGAAUAAAACUAAUCAUGCAAGUAUAUUAAAGAGAAUGAUGUUACUCAAGUUCAAUAACUUGAGCAAUCAAGACUAGAAAGAAAUUUAAGAUUUCUUAAUUUCAUUCUUGUUAGUAACAAUUACCAACUUUUUUAAUUUCGUCUGCUUCGUGCAUUAAUUUGCACGUACCUGCAUGCAUGCUUAAUUUGUCGACAAAUGCUUAACAACACCCAGUUAAUGACGGUUUAGAAUAUAUAUAUAUAUAUGUAUGUAUAAUAGUAAUUUAUAAAUUUUUUAGGCAGUACAAUAUUGGCAACCUUUCUAACUUCCUGGGAUUCUCUGCAUCUUUUUGGAAAGAAUGUACCGAGAAAUUCAAGGGAUUAAAGAAACACUUCUUGAUUGCAUAUAAGGUCUCAAUGAUGAUUGUUGUUACUUGUUAGGUCCUCCAAACAUAUAUAGAUAAGUACAUGUGAAGUUGACGUCUACUUUCCUCCUCGAGGCCUCCACUUUUUACGACUAAAAUCCUGCAGGACUACUGCUCAAGGAACUGAAGGCCAUGGGAACAAACAAGUUCCAAGGGCAUGUCAUGGAAGUUAGGGAAUCAACAACACCCAAAUGAACAAUCAUUUCUAGGGUACCCCAGAAAGUAGGGAAGGUCAUUCUUUCCUUUCCUUUUUCAGGGGAACAUUGAUCAAAGCUAAGAACCAAAGAUCAUGUGAUGUACUCAGUAUAAACUCACCUUGGAUCAAGAUUUUGUUAUAUUCAAUGUCUUAAUAUGUAUAUAUAAAUGUCAUAUGAAGACUCAGUAUUACUUUACACUAAUGUUUAGAUUAUCAAGACGAAGAAUUGAAUAAAUAGGUGUAUGUCAAGAUGCAUUGCACAACGAAAAUUCAGCAUUCAAGUGGAGAAAGGAAAAUGAGCAGUAAUAUCAGUUUCUGUCUGGUUUUUAAGGGGCAAUGACAUUAAAUUACACUACGUUAACACAGAAUGUUCCAAGGUGGGGCUAAGCCAAUUUUGGAGCCUGCUAAAUUUUACUAAUGCAUAUUUCCUGGCCAACAGCUUCACGCCCCAUUUCACAAACCAAGGUUCAAACCUGGUUGCUAGGAUUGAGGCAAGGAGGGAUUAUGGAGGAAGGGGGGGGGGUGUGUGGGGGUGGGAGAGGGAAAAAGAAAAAGCCUAAAUCUUGUUGAUUCCUGAAGAAUUGUACGUAUUAGUUAUAGCAGGAAGCAUACUGUCGAUUUAACAAAUGCUGAAGGAAAUACUAAGGCAAGCCUAUUGAUACACAAGAUAGAGAAUAAACAAGUUAGAAUAGGGGAGAAAACUCGCAGUUUCGGGCUAAGAGAGAUUAGUAGUAACAAAAAGCAGGGGAAGUGUAUCUGUAAUAUUCAUGUACAAGACAAACUACACAGAAAUUGCUCAAUUUUGGCAACUGCUCUUGGAAGUUGGAAUACACCAACCAAAGAUCACUUGAUGAGGAAGAAACAUCCUCUUAAUCUUUUCAGUGCAGUUCUAAUGGCUGACCAGCUUGACAAAGUUGACAGGAAUCAAGUGACUAUAUGCCAAACUUGUUGGCUCAUAAAAUAGCGUACUUUAGACAUAACUGCAGCUACAUAUACAUAUAUUGACUUAAAUCUUGAAAGACAUCCUUUUUUCUUAGUUUUGUCAGCGCUCUUCUUUCUAUUUUUCUUACCCACUCUUUGCUUACAGAAUACAGCCUCCCAAUCUCCUCAAGUGACUUCCUUUGAUGAGAUCUAAGCCCAAACCUUAGGACUAAUACUUGCCUUUCCCGUGGCUCUAAGUCUUUCAUAAGGCCAUACAUGCCUUGUAGCAUGUGCUGUCUCACCACUGUUUCUCCUGGGCUUCUCAUUGAUGUAUCAGAUAUGAGUUCCUGCACCAAGAGUUCCAAGGCCAUUAACCUCAUAAACCUGUGUAGGGGAACUGUGGGGGAAAAAAAAAACUCUUGUGGACUAUAAAAGACAAACAGGCGCAUCACUCUCUAGUUAAUUCCAGCCUAUGGAUAAAAUACUUAUAAUAACCAAAACAUCUAAGAUGCUAUUCAUUUAUGAAAAUUUCAAGAAGCAUGCUGAAGAAAGUUGUCUAAAUUAAUCAGAUCAUCCUUGCUUUCCUCUGUAAGAAAUCUACAUAAUAUAUCAACACACACACAAUAUAUAUAUAUAUAUAUAUUAUAAUUUUAGUUCGAUGUUUACAACAGAAAAACCACAAAAAGCUAUUUUAUGUUUUUAUACAUAGUUUGAGACCAGGAAAUUCACCCAAGAUAUGGUGCCCUAAAAAAAAGUUGCUUUGUUUCUUCUCCUCAGGGGUACCCAAAAAGCAUAGGGGCUUCCUUGUCUGUCUGAUGACAGUACUAAACAUGAUUUUUAGAGAUACCCCCAACCCCCCCCCCCCCCCCAAACAAAAAAAAAUCCCCAAUAGGAUCCCUCGGACAACCAUUUUCUGACAGCCAAGCCAAGUGGCACUGUUUCUGAUGAGACUAAGCAAACAGCUACUAAAUUAAAAACCUGUCAUAAAUGUAAUCUAAACAAAUAUAAUCAUCAAGAAGGAAGAUUCUAUAAAAUAGAGAAUGCCAUACGUACUAAACGUUUUGCACUGCUAGAGUCUCCCACUUUCUGAUCGAUCGAACCAACAAUCCUGAGGCAUUUGCUCACUGACAUAAUUUUAGCAGUAGAGAGACCAGUGAACUUUGCAAUUUCAUUAACAUCCGGAUAUUUUCCGUGGCUGCUCUUCAGGGCCUUUCGAGCUUUCUGUAUUUGACUUAUUGCCUUGCUCAAUGAUGACUGCAUGAAGAUCAGAAUAAAAGAAGUGGAAACUCAGGUUUCUUUCUCCUUGUAUGGACUUUUAAAAAAAGAGACGAUCUCACGAAAAUUAAAAUCACAUACAGGAAUUCUAAUUCCUCUUGCAUGUUGUGCUACCACCAUUGAGAUUGAUUUCCUUAUCCAAUACUGGACGUAGGUUGAGAACUUGUAUCCCCGUGUGUGAUCAAAUCUUUGAGCUCCUUGCAGGACACCAAGAUUUCCAGCCUGACAAACAUGGUUAAAACCUAGAAAAUCAAUCUUCAUAAACAGAAUAAGAUAUAAAUGAGAAUAAAAUUUAAUAGGACCAGACUCAGUUUCUCUCCAAACUAUUGACAACUUUUCUCCUCAUUCCUGACUACUGUGUCUAGAAUUAAACUGUUGGAAACAAAUACCUGCCGGAAGAAAUGCUUGACUAAAUAUCAUUAAGGGGAAGCAACUACUUCCUUUUUGGUGUCCUGUCAAUCUAAUUAUUCUUCCUAUUUUCACACCAAAUGCAAGACAAACAUUUUUCAUCGCUGAAAGACAAUUGCAAUUUAAUUCAAUCGACCACAUGAGUAGACAAUUAAACUAACAGGCAGGCUUGCUUGGGUUCUUUUGGGACAUGGAAUGAGGUUUUGAUAGGAUUGUGAUCUGGCAAUAUCACAUGUUUAAUUCACUUUUGUACAUGGAUCACUUAUCCUAUUUUAUUUCCUCAACCAUGCAUGAAUUGAGUCAUGCUCCAUUGAAAGGGGAUUAUUAUCUCUUCUCUUGGCCGGAGCUACCUAUUUAUAAUCCUAUAGAACCAAACAUGAGACUCAUUCAAAAAGAAGAGACAACCGGCAUAACCCUCGGACAACUGAGCCUUAAGAUGUCUUAAUUCCCUCAAUCCACUCCACAAGUCAAUUCAACCCUAAAAGCAUUUUUACUCUGAACAAAAUCAACCUUGACAGGCACAUCUCAGAGCAAUGUUGGACUCGGUUGAGUUGUUACCUAACUAUUUAUAAAAACUGAGCUCGAAAAUUGAGCAGAGUGCCAAGGAGAAAAACUUGGUUCAGAUUGGAAGCACCGAAAACCAAGCAUAUAGCAAUUCAAUCAUAUUUUCUUAUGUCUUGAGUAGGGCAUUUUCUGUAUUUUCAAUAGCUUGCCAUAUUCUAAUUUGAAACUUUAUAUCACAAUGGCAACAAUUAAGUUUAAAUGAGAACAUAUGGGACACCAAAUGUUUAACUAUAUUGACUUUUCAGAAUAAAAGACAUAAAAUUGUGAUCUCAAAUGCAUGUCAAUUCAUCACCAACAGAACUUUUAAUUUGGACAGGCUUGGCAACCUAGUUGGUCCAUCUACACAUAAGAGAUCCCGAAACUCAGUCACGGUUGUGUCAUUAGAAACUUGUAAGAUUUAUUGGCUAAUUAAGCAGUUAUUAAUGUAUAGUGCUGAACUGAAUUUACCAAUUAGAUUAAUACCAAACAUAAAUUGAAUCAGAUUCUCAUUUGCUCAUGAUAACUAAAAUAGAGCCAGUUUCUGCCAGAUGGUUAAACACAUUUCACACUUUUGAAAAUUAAGUGGAGUUUGAAGAACCUACUUUGGCCAGGCUGGAUUAAUUUUUUGUCACAAGCUAUCUCAUGAUGAUCAUCAGACUAACACUUUAACGAAAGGAAUAAAGAAGAGCGGGAACGACCAAAACAUAGCUGAACACAGUAAACUCCAUAUUACCAACCUGAACUAAAUCUUCAAAGGCAACUCCCAGUCCCCUGUAAUUUCUAGCAAUGUAUAAAACUAAAGAACGUGUGCUUCUUAGAAGCUCAUCCCUACAAUACCAACCAAACUGCAGAUGUUGCUGCAACACCUGUAUAUUAACUUGAGCAGCUUCUGCCCAGUUACUCAUGCCAACUACCUGUCCAGUGUUCUCUUCAACUAUUGUCCUGAUUCUUUCAAGCUCAGAAACUAACUGCAUGUAAAAAAUAUUGUCCUCAGCCUGUGUGAAAUAUGAGAAGCAGAAAUUAGUUAUCAGUGAAAGACAACAAAACCACCUUAACACCUUGAGACAUUUCUGCCUCAGUUCGAGCAAUUUUCAGGCUUCUACUUCUAGAAUCGGAUGAUUUCCUCCCAGGAGAAAAUUCAACCUGUUGAGCAUCCUCUAGCGUACUUGAGUACUUUUCCUGCAUAAAUUUACCAUUUCCUUUAUCCAAUGGCCUCUUUCUUCUUGAUUUUCUUUUUUCUUUCUUUACAGAGUGAACAACCUUCUUACCCACAACAUCUUCCACUGGGCAAUUUAUUUGAGAUGCUUCAACAGGCUUAGUUGCUUUGUCAGACAGAUCAUAUAAGGUUGAGGGCUUAAGCAUCCUACAUAGACAGGUCUGGAAUAACUCCAGAGCCCCAAGUCUUUCCAAUUGCACCAGAAUAUCUUCUUCCAACCUUAGGACCCCUGAAUCUGCAAUUGUCUCCUCCAACACAUCAAGAUUUUUCAUCAGUAAACCAAAAUGUAAUGCUUUAGUAUUCCGUAAACUUGCAAGAUAUAUUGAAUUGUUAUUCUCUCUCGAGCUUGAGAUAUCAUUGUGAGCCAUAUUGCAUGAACCAUGGUAGGACCAUCUGCUAACUGCAUC
rnacentral:lncRNA from 1 species